UGUUCAGGUUUUUUUUUUUUUUUUUGGAGGGGGGAGGUUGGUUCACUGAUUUGUUUAGAAGAAAUGUUAGGAAAAGGAUUCCUAAAGGAGAAAAUAAUAUUGUUAUUUCCCCUUUUUGAAAGCAUUAUCCUAGAACCAACCUUGACCUCAGAUUAUCUUUUGCAAGUUAUAUUCUAUUUCGUAGAAAGUGGGAAACUGUGAAGUUCAUGUUUUGUUUAGCUGGGUUGGAACUGGUCAGUGCAGAGAUUAGGGAAUGAUUUCACUCAAUCUCAAAGAUUUACAAAGAGCUAAGUUCUGGUAAUGGAUGCAUUUGGAAAAUGAAGUUGGAGGUUGAACUCUGCAUUUAAUAUGAAUGAGAGGGGGAAACAAAAAGCUGUGUAAUGAAAAUUUUGUAACCUUUGUUAUUUACUCCCCAUUUAUGGGUGAUACAAGUUACUUAGCCUUAAUUUUCUUCUCUGUAAACUAGGAAUAAUAAUAUUCUCUACUUCAUGUGUUGGUUAUGAGGAGUAAAUUUAAAAAUUAUAUGCAGUGUGCGUCCCUGUGCAUAUUAUCUGGUUUAAUUUCAUCGGCUUACUCACAGCUACUUGAUGUGAGUUCCAUAUCCUACCUUGUUCAGGGACAGGAAAAUGUUGUAUGGAAAAAUCACCCUUAAAUGAAUUCAACAUAAUUCCAGUGGAAAUCUCAAUAAGAUUUUAAUUUUGGAACUUGACCAAACUCUACUUUCCCUACCUGGAAGAAUAAAUCCAACAUCUAGACACAGAUAUUACAGAAACUUAAAAAUAAAUUAUAUUCCAAGAAUGCCUUCUUUAGUACAUGCCUAGAAAUAGAAACUUAAGCUGAGGCCUGAAUGAUGAACAGGAAUUAGCAAGGUAAAUAUCUGGGUGAACAUUUGUAUGUGGGGAGGUGUGAUGGCAGGGAGAGUGGGGGGUCCUGGUUAUCUAUUAUUGCAUAACAAAUUACCCUCAAACAAUGCAUGAGUUUCCUAUGGCUACUGUAAAAAAGUACCACUAAUUUAGUGGCUUCAUGUAACACAAAUCUGUGAUCUUACAGUUCUGAAGGUCAGAAGCUCUAAAUGAGUCUCCAGCGGCUAAAAUCAAGGUGUUGGUAGGGCUUUUUCUUCUGGAAGCUCUAGGGGAGAAUCCAUUCCUUGCUCUAUUCCAUCCUGGUUCAUGGUCUCUUCAUCAUCAAAGCCAGCACCAUGACAUUUUCAAAUCUCUCUCUCUGAUCCUUCUGUUUCCCUGUUGUAAGGAUUACUUUGGACCCACCCAGAUAUUCCAGGAUUAUCCCACCAUCUCAAGAUCUUUAACUUAAUCACAUCUACAAAGUCCCUUUUAUCAUGUAAUAACAGUUCAAGUUUCUGGGGACUAGGACAUGGACAUCUUUGGGGAAGCCAUUAUUCUGCCUUUGACAUUUAUUUACUUAAAACACCAACCAUUUUAUUGUAUCUCACAUUUCUUUUUCCAAAGAGAAACUUGGGUGGGGCUUGGCUCUAAUUCUUCUGUUCCAUGUGUCAUGGACCGAGGCUACUGGUGGUAUUCUGCUGAUGGAUAGGCUGGUCUACAAGAUGAACAGUGUGCGCCUGCACCUUGCCUACGAUGGCUGGACUGUCAAUUGGAGAGCCUACAGGUGACCUCUCUAGCGGGAUGGUUUCAGGGUAAUUGGACACCUUACAUGGUUGCUCAGGGUUCCAGAAAGAGUAUCUCUAGAGAGAGGCAGUGGGAAGGGUGGUGGGUGGGGGAAUAGGGUAACUAGGUGAUGGACAUUAAGGAGGGUACUUGAUGUAAUGAGCACGGGGUGUUAUAUGUAACUGAUGAAUCAUUACAUUCUACCUCUGAAACUGAUAUACACUAUAUGCUAAUUAAGUUGAAUUUAAAUAAAAAAUUUAAAAAAGACAGGAAGUGGAAGCUGCCAGUUUCUUAUGGCCUGGGUUCUGAAAUUAGCACAACUUCACUUCUGCCAUAUUGUAUUAGUCACACCAUUACAGAACCACUGAUUUGAGGGUGGGGACACUGACUCCUCCAUUUCAUGCACAAAUGUUGAUGUAUUUGCUGCUAUUUUGAAUCACUAGGGUGGAUGGUUAGUGGCGCAGGAUUCCAUGAAGAGGGAUGAGAUUUGGGAACGCCUUGGACCUGGAGGGACAGUUGGGCUUCUCUGAACCAUGGCUUCUGUGUAUUUGCAACACAAUGACAGAGGAGAGCUGACACUGGAUGAGUAGUAGGACCUUCUAGACCACAUGCAGGUUAUGGGUUUAUUCUAAACAGUGAGGAGAAGCCCCUGAGGACUUUGAGCAGGGACAGAUCUGCUGUGACUACUGGGUGAUCCGGGCAGUGGGCAGUGAGGGAAGCCCAUGAGAAGUCAGUUGUGGGCCUAGUCAGAAAUAACAGUAGUAGCUUAUGGUAGAGGAGUGAUAACGUGAGGAUAGUGAUGGUCUGUGAACUCUUUGUCUAUAUGGAGGUCAGUAUGGAAAUUGAGAGUGAUUAGAAUCCUUUGUAACAACUUGAUGGGCUGCAGCAUCCAGAGGAAUGAGCAUGGGCUUGUAUUUUUUAUAUCUGGGCGGGGGGGGGGCGUUGUUGUUUUUUUAACUUUUAUUUUUCUCUUCAUUUUUGUUGCAUUUUAGUAUAUUCAUUAAGAAUUUGAGAUUUGAAAAAAUACUGGUCUUUUCCAACUCAUAGGUUGAGAAACUCACCCUUCCUAGAUUCCUAGAACACAGUCUCUCACCAUAGCACACCUUGUGUCUCUCUUAGGUGCCCUGGACUCUCCUCAUGAAAAGAAACACCUCCAGCUUGUCAGUAUUUAUUUGUCAUACUUGCAUUUUAGAAUUAAGUGUUCUCUGGUUGCAUUAGCCAUGGAAGACUUCUUGCUCACAGUGACGGGCCAACUGGUGGUUGGCAAAUGUUAGAAAACAUAGAUUAAAACAAGGAAUCCUUUAAAAAUGAGUAUGUAGGCUGUAAAUAUUUCCAUUAACUCAAAACAUAUGCAUUCGUUUUCUAGUCUUUUGAAGUUCGGUUAAAACCUUCUGUUUGAAUAUGUGGCUACUGAUUGGAGUUCUGCAGUGUGUUUUCUUGCAUGGAUCACGGAGCAGUAGAUCCUUUAUAAUUUUCAGUGUUGUUGCCUUUCAAUUUAGCAGGAUGAAAUAUACUUUUAUUUUCUCAAAAGUAACAGAUCUAAUAGAAAGGGGAGGAAUACAGUCUAAUUUUACAAUCUAAAAGUGUUAUGUCACAUACUUAAUCAGAAAGCCACAGAUUUUAAAUUAGAAAUAGUGCAUUUUCAUUAUGGUAAAAGGAGAAAGAAGCAGAAAUGGUUCAUUUUUGCUGUACUGAAUGCAUGGAUGACACAGCCUUCUAUCUUGGCAGAGAGAAGAGAGAUGUGUGAUGGGUCUCUCAGCUCCUCAAAUGUCUAAUUCUCAUUCUGCUAAUUAAGAGCAGCUGAUAAAUUUAGAUACUUCCUACUGAUAGUUUUAUAUUUCAGAAAUAAGAAAAAGUAAUGAUGGGAAAGCUUAUAAAAUAUAAAAAUCAAAAAUGAAAUUUUGAUGAUAUAAUUGACACCAUCUCCCAUGAGCAGAAAUUGGAGCCAAUGUGAAUGGAUCUCUUUUGAGGUCAGAUUUUAAAGCCCAUAUAAAACAAAUAAAGACAGGCACAUAAUCAAGGGGAAGUAAUAUCAAAUCUUUAGGAAUAGUAUCAGUAGGAGGAGCAUGGCAAGUGAGCUGAGAUGGACAAAAACGAAAAGGCAGAAAACUGCACAAAGUCAUGUUCAAAGUUAUGUAAGAACGUGAAGUGGAGGGGCACCUGGAUGGCUCAGUCAGUUAAGCGUCUGCCUUCGGCUCAGGUCAUGAUCCCACGGUCAUGAUCCCACGGUCCUGGGAUCAAGCCCUACAUCAGGCUCCCUGCUCAGCAGGGAGUCUGAUUCUUCCUCUCCCUCUGCCCCUCCCCCCCACUUGUGUGUAUGCGCUCCCUCUCUCUCUCUUAAAAGAAAAAAUAGGUCGAAGUGGGAAGCCUGCCAAAGAAAGCGUAAUGCAAUGACAGAUGACAGUAUCAUUGAACAGGUGACCUAGGGAGUGUAGAAGGACACAGAUGUUGGAACCAGUUCUUUCAAUAGAAAGGAGCUUGUCUUCAUAAAUACUGAAAGGCAUAAAUGAGAGCAACAGGCAGCCACUCUCAGUGCUUACUAUGUGCUCGGCAUGGUUCUAAGUGCGUUACAUAUAUUAACUCAUUUAACCGUAACACCAGUGAGGCAGGUACUAUUAUUAUAACCACAUUAGGAGUGAGAGGCGGGGAGCAAGAGUAAUUUGUUCAGAAUGGUGUGGCUACUAAGUGCCUUGAACUAAAGCAUCUUUUUUCUGGACUCUAUUCUUCUGAGUAGGGCUGUGUGAUUCAAAAUGGAAGCCCACAGAAAGUGACCUGUCUUAAAAAGAAUCUUUAAAAUGAGUACAAGUCAACAUGGCUAAGCCAAUCACACCACGGACUGAAGGACUGGAGAUUUGGAAGAUUGCAAACAGUGUAGAUCAGGAUCCUGCUCCCCCAGCUUACUGAGUGUGCUUCAUUCAUUCAGCUAACACAGUUUAGCACCAGGUCCGUGACAGUCACUGUGCAGAGUGUUAAGGUGUUAAGGAUAAGAAAACACAGUGGAUGCCAUCCUUGCCCUCCAGAAGUGCAAUCUAUGGCAAAGACCAAAAGAUGAAGGAGAACUAUAAUUCUAUUUGAUGCAUUACUUAAAAACCACAAUGGGCCCAGAGGAAGCAUGGGGAAGCAGAUGUAGCGGAGGCUUCGCAGAGGAGCUGAUGUUUGAUCCAGGCUUCGCAUGAUGAGGGUGAGUCACCCAGUGAGAAUUGGGAGGAAGAGUCUGCUCAAAGUGGGAUCCAGGACCAGCAGCAUUGUAUCUCCAGGAGCUUGUUAGAGAUGCAGAAUUUCAGGCUUCACCCCAGACCUGCCAGAUCUGCAUUUUAACAAGUUAUCUGGCUGAUGAGCACGUACACUGAAGUUUAGAAAGCUCUGUCGGAGGGUGAGUCUGUAAUUUCAGCCUCGUGUGCACCCAGUAGGUGGCGCUGUGGGGUGGGGGGGGGAAUGUGUUUCCCAAGUCUGGCUACCUUUAAACUAUAUCCUGAGGGCAAUGAUGACCUGUUGCAAAACCCUAGCAGUUUAGCAAGUAGAUUGCACACCUGGUCCUUGAAAGUCAUCAGUCUGCAGAUCAACCUGCUCCCAGUUUCCCAAAACAGCAUUUCUACAAUGUUUGUGGAAAGCGAUAUUCCAGAAUUUGUGAUACUAGAAAAUAGAUUCAGAAAAUAGAUGCCUCUGGCACUGUCCUUCACACUGCUCUGAGCCUUAAAAUAGAGUCUGAGCUGUAUAGACCCAAGUGUGACUUCCCCACCUAGUCUGGAUUUCCCCAGCAGAAUCAGAAAAUGAUCUUUGAGUGAGAGGUUCUCAGGAAGGAGUAUUAUUUUGUGUUUCGAUCAUUCAGGAUCUCUCAUGUCUUAGGCACUUUCUGAUGAAUCCUUACCGAGCUUGUAUUCUCUUGUUGUUGUUUCUCUCUGGCACUGUGAUUUAUUCUUAAAUUUCCAAAUUGUGGAAUCCAUCUGGUUCUUGAUGUCCAGAAAUAUCUCUAGGACUGAGCUGGGUGGGGCUUCAGACGCAGGCCUGGCCUCAAAAUUGGGCUCCAUGAUUUACGGGACCUGUACAAAGCUCCCUUUCUCAUUCCAAAAAAAUGAAGAUAAAAAUGCUCAUCUCUCAAGUUAUUGCAAGCAUCAGAAUAUAAUCCAUGCAAAGAUUGCUAAAUCACUGCCUGGCAUAUGGAAUAUGCUUAAUGAACAGAUGCCAUUGCUCGUCAUAGCAUACAGAUUCAUGUCUAUUGAAGUAGACCAGGGCUACAAACGGUGGCUUGCAGAAGCCGGGAGCAGAGAAAGACAGUGGCUACUGUAUUGGUGACUUCUGAUGUUCUUGCUGCCUCUGCCUGGUUCUGUCCUGUUUGCUGCGCCCACUCCAUCUCCGCCUCUAAUCAUCACAUUGCCGUCUCCUAGCAUGUCCGCGUCUCCUCUCUUCUUCUAUAAGGAGUAGGGGCCCACCCUACUUCAGUAUGACCUCAUCCUCACUAAUUUUAUCUUCAAGGACCCGAUCUCCAAAUAAGGUCACAUUCCAGGCUAAUGGGGCCUGGGACAUCAAUAUAUCUUUUUGGUGGACACAGUUUAACCCAUAACAGAGUCUUCGGGGGGUUAGUCUGCUUCUCCUCAGUCUUACCCGUAACACCAGGCCAAAUGAAGCCUGUGUCAUUUACAACGAGCAGUAGCACCUCACAUGCUAGAGCUGGAACAGUUAAGGCCAGGUCCCUAAGGCUCACAUAGCUGGCACUGGCUGGGCGCUGUGGCCAGAGCUUGCUGAUGUACCCCAGCGUUCAAGCCACGAGAGGCAAGCCCCCACCGAGCCAACACACAUUCCAGCUGUUAUUUUGCUUCUGGAAAUCCAUAACCUGUUUCUUUAGGUUCCCAGCAAAUACCCUAUAUAUUAGUGUUUUAGGGACUUCUUGAAGUGAGCUAGUCCCCCCACACCUUUCCAUGGGACUGAGAGCUGAGGGUGGUUAAACUGUGUCCACCAAAAGGAUAUGUUGAAGUCCCAGGCCAUUCUGCAAUGAGGUGCCUUCAAGGUAGUGGGUGCAUGCAGGGCAGGGUCCUGCACAUCUGCUUCCUCCUUCCAGACUUAAUUAUCCUCUUCUUCUCUGACUGUGAGUCUGGGAGGCAGAGAGUGGCAGGGAGUUUUGGUUGCAUGGAAAUUCCUUCACAGGGAAGCAGAGGGAAUAGAAGUAAGGGUCUCUCCUAAGUCAUCACCACCAUUUUAAUUAUGGGUUAAUUUCACAUGCAGAGUAGCCAGACAUUUGGUUCAACAUUAUUCUGUUUGUGCCUGUGAGGGCAUUUCUGGUUGAGAUGAACGCUUGAAAUAGUGGGCCCAGGAAAACAAAUGGCCCUUCCCAGCGUGGGUGGGCAUUGUCCAAUCCAUGAAAGGCCUGAAUGGAAGAAAAGGCUGAGUGGGAAAGAAUUCUCUCUCUGCCUGUCUUCGAGCUGGGGUGUCAGUCCCCACUUCCGCCUUUGGACAAGGGCUCAGACUUGGGCUGGAACUUACAGCAUCAGCUCUCCUGGUCCUCAGGUCUUCUGGCUCAGACUGGAACCACACCACUGCCCUUUUGGGUCUCCAGCUUGCUGACUGCAGAUCUUGGGACUUCUCAGCCUCUGUAAUCACGUGUGCUAAUUUUUUAAUAAUAAAUCUAUUUUUCUAUAUAAUCUCCUGUUGGUUCUGUUUCUCUGGAGAACCCCAACUAGUACAUUAGUAAAUGUGACCUCCAGCAUAUUUGGGGAUCCAAUGAGAUUUUGAAAGAGCAAUGCUUUCUGACACAUGAUUUCAAUAAUCUUAGUAGUUAAAAUAAUUGGUAUUUUUAAGCAAAGAGAUCUUAGAGACGUUCUCCCCAACCCUCCCCUGGUGAUCUCUCCAUUUCUCCCAGCUGCUUUUCUGUUCUGGUGUAGGGAAAAUUCACACAUGGAUGACUUUUAUCUGUUUCUCCAUUGCUUUCUGUUUGUUACAAAAAGAAAAAAGAUGAUUGCUCAAAUCCAUUUUGAAAGUAGCUGGGAUAUAUAAUCCUUCAAGGGUGCCAUACACAAUAGGUUUUUUGCUGACAAGCCUCCCUGAGUCACAGAUUUCGGGGCUCAUGCACCUGUUCAACUCAAAGCUCUAGUGAGAAAGUCUUUCCUUGCACUUGAUUUCUGAUUCAGAGGAGUCUGGAGCGGUAAGCAUGAUCAAGAAUUUGGGGUUAUUUACAAAGUAAAAAUUGAUGGUCUGUGAAACCUGCUCUUCCUUACCUAAACUCAAACCCUCAAGUGGUAGGAGAACUAACUAGGCCUUUCAGUAUGUUCUAAAUGCAAGGAAAUUUGGCUUGUUCUCAACCCAGUUGAUGCCAUGGAGCAAACCAGGCUAAUUUUUGUAUCCCUGGAACGAAGACAGACCUCGACAGGCUUCUGCGUGGAAAGUGGGGAGGAAAUGGAAGAGGAGACUUGGAAUCCAUAGCAGAGUCCUCCGCUGGUGUUCGUCUAACAACGACCCAUUCUCCUAAAUUCUUAAGUCCCACAACGACAACUUGUCAACCUGUUCAAAUGACUUUGUGAUUCUAUUUAAGAAAAAGAACCAUGGCAUCUCCCUUUCAUAAAUUAAGUGCAAAACUCUGAGUGCUUUUUGCCUUCCUUCUUUUGACCAGAGUACCAUUUUACUCAUCUCAAUUAUAAUUUGUUUAACAGGUUUCAUUUGCUUUUCCCCACUUAAUACACAAACCCUUUUAUGUGUUUAACUGCUAUUUGUUUAAGAGGGUCUGCAAUGAAUAAUGCAACGAACAGCCAAAUUUUUCAUGUAAUAAUUUUUUAUGAACCAUACAAAGACAACUCGAGUUUUAUAAAUCCAAAUGAACUCACUAGCAGCAAGGGUCUCAGUCCUUAGGAGCUGCUUCUCUUUCUAUAUGUUUGAAUUAUUAAUCUAUCCAACCUCAUCUUUUCCCUUAGCUGCUAAAUUUACAAGAAAGGAACCAGCUAAACCUAGCUAGAGAUUUGCAUGAAAUCUGAUUUUUAAGAGCCAACAAAUUCAGCCAAGAAUCACCUUGUCUUCUGUACCCUACUUGUAUUUGUAGGUUAGAACCUUAAUGCUAUGCCUGUAAAAAACAACAACAACAACAACAAAACUCAUGCUGGCUUCCUCACACCUGAAAAGCAGAUGUACAGAAAGAUCUGGGACAGAGCAGCUGAUUUUGGGCGGAACAACAUGCAUAAACAUUCAUUGUCUUUCUUUUUUCCUUUCUUUACCUCUAACAUUGCGGCCAAGGUUGGAAACAUGGGUGGAUGAAGGGUUUAACUUCUUUGAAAUACUAAGUAUGGAACUUUGAACCGUGCUUGACUUCCCUGGAUCAAGCAAGAAUUGGAGGCUGAGCUCAGAGAGCUUGAAGGAAGCAUUUGUUUUUCUACAGUAUGAGGUGGAUGUAGAUGAAGACUGGUUUGGUCAAGGAGGAGGAAAUAGUUCUUGCAUGAGCCAUUGGUGUCAUGUGCUUUGAAUGUCUGUUGAUUGGAAACAGUGAUCAUCUGUGAGUGGAUAAUCUGGCUAUAGAGGUGACCACUUGGAUUUGAUCUGAGGCCAUGUCAAGGCAUGUCUAGCAAAUAGAAGAAUGUAGUCCAAAUGAGUGCUUGGUUGCAUGUCUCACUAAAUGUUAUCUUCCGUUAUAAAACCAAAAGAAAUGAUUUUUGAAUUAAGCAUUGUUUUGACAAUUUAUAUUUUAAUUCAUUCAAAGGAAUGGUGAGUUUGUCAGGCCACAAUAACCUGCCGGUCAUUUUCCUUUUCAAAUCCAUCCUCACAGAGAAUUUGCUAUUUAUGCUGAUGAUUUGGAGUGAGGAGUUAAAGAAUAGUCUUAUUAUUGCCCUUAUAUGGGAAGUGAUAUAGCAUCUAUGUGAAAUGCUAAUGACUCCUCCUUUCCUUCCAUAUCGAGAGAGAAAGAGAGUUUAUUUAACACUUUUGCCUACUUGAGUAAUGUUUCAUUUCUUUUUUUCUUUUUCUUUUUUUAAAUUUUAUUAUGUUAUGUUAGUCACCAUACAAUACAUCAUUAGUUUUUGAUGUGGUGAUCCACGAUCCAUUGUUUUCGUAUAACACCCAGUGCUCCAUGCAGUACGUGCCCUCCUUAAUACCCAUCACCGGGCUAACCAAUCCCCCCUCUCCCCUCCCCUCUAAAGCCCUGUUUGUUUCUCAGAGUCCAUAGACUCUCAUGGUUCAUCUCUCCCUCCAAUUCCCCCCCCUCAUUUUUCCCUUCCUUCUCCUAGUGUCCUCCAUGCUAUUCCUUAUGUCUCACAAAUAAGUGAAACCAUAUGAUAAUUGACUUUCUCUGCUUGACUUUUUUCACUUAGUAUAAUCUCCUCCAGUCCCAUUCAUGUUGAUGUAAAAGUUGGGUAUUCAUCCUUUCUGAUGGCUGAGUAAUAUUCCAUUGUAUAUAUGGACCACAUCUCCUUUAUCCAUUCACCUGUUGAAGGGCAUCUCAGCUCUUUCCACAGUUUGGCUAUUGUGGACAUUGCUGCUAUGAACAUUGGGGUUAAAACUCUUCAGAGUAUAGGGAUAGAGGGAACAUUCCUCAAGUUCAUAAAAUCCAUCUAUGAAAAACCCACAGUGAAUAUCAUCCUCAAUGGGGAAAAGCUGAGAGCCUUUCCCUUAAGAUCAGGAACACGUCAAGGAUGCCCACUCUCACCACUAUUGUUUGACAUAGUACUAGAAGUCCUAGCAACAGCAAUCAGACAACAAAAAGAAAUAAAGGGUAUUCAAAUUGGCAAAGAAGAAGUCAAACUCUCUCUUUUCGCAGAUGACAUGAUACUUUAUGUGGAAAACCCAAAAGACUCCACCCCCAAAUUACUAGAACUCAUACAACAAUUCAGUAAUGUGGCAGGAUACAAAAUCAAUGCACAGAAAUCAGUUGCUUUCUUAUACACUAACAACACAACUGUAGAGAGAGAAAUUAGAGAAACAAUUCCAUUUACAGUAGCACCAAAACCAUAAGAUACCUCGGAAUAAACCUAACCAAAGAGGUAAAGGAUCUAUACUCUAGGAACUACAGAACCCUCAUGAGAGAAAUUGAAGAAGACACAAAAAGAUGGAAAAAUAUUCCAUGCUCAUGGAUCGGAAGAAUAAACAUUGUUAAAAUGUCUAUGCUACCCAGAGCAAUCUAUACCUUCAAUGCCAUCCCGAUCAAAAUUCCAAUGACAUUUUUCAAAGUGCUGGAACAAACAAUCCUAAAAUUUGUAUGGAAUCAGAAAAGACCCCGAAUCGCCAAGGAGAUGUUGAAAAAGAAAAACAAAGCUGGGGACAUCACGUUGCCUGAUUUCAAGCUAUAUUACACAGCUGUGAUCACCAAGACAGCAUGGUGCUGGCACAAAAACAUAUAGACCAAUGGAACAGAAUAGAGAACCCAGAUAUGGACCCUCAACUCUAUGGUCAAAUAAUCUUUGACAAAGCAGGAAAAAACAUGCAAUGGAAAAAAGACAGUCUCUUCAAAAAUGGUGCUGGGAAAAUUGGACAGCCACAUGCACAAGAAUGAAACUCGAUCAUUCUCUAACACCAUUCACAAAGUAAUGCUUCAUUUCUAAGGAGACAGACCGUUAGUCUUGCAUGACUUCAGUUCGACAUUUGCUUUAGGAGACUGGAUUUGAGCACAUCAGAGAUGUGCAAGAAGCUGAAGAUUUAAUGAAACCUGCUGCUUUAAUGGAAUUAAUGGCAUAUUUGAGAUGCUCCUUAGUUGAUGGUUUUUAGAUCUAGAGAAUCUAGUAAGCGCAUGAGGAAAUAAAUCCCCUCCCCCAUUCCCCUGAAUGAGGAGACAAAGUGACACCCAGGUGUGUUCUGAUUGUGUUGAUAGAGCAUCUGGUCACUCUCACCUUUGGAUGGACCCAGAACAAUGGCAGAGACAAAGAUACUGGAAGCCAACAGCCUCCAUGCAAAUCUUUGCGCUCCUGGGAUUUUAUAUUUGCCUUGUUCCUUUCCUAGCUGGGGUGUUGACCCACUCUGAUAAUCAGCAAUUUUCAUGGACAAAGUGAUAUGCACAACUAACAUGGUUCAGACAGUUUUUACCACAAUCUGGGCAAGUUUCCUUAUGUGGAUAUUUGAUUUUGGAAAGUAAUUUUCCAUUUUUGUUGUUGUUUUUCAUUAAGCCAGUGUGUGUGUUCAUUAGUUACACCUUUACAUCAGUUGAUGCCUUCAUCUGUUACUAAGCUCCAUGAUAUGAAAGCUAUCUCAUGUUUUCUUAGAUUUUUUUUGCCUUUAUGGUUUUUUUUAAUUGAGAUACAAUUGAUAUAUAACAUUAUUUUAGUUUCAGGUGUACAACAUAAUGAUUGUGAAAUGUUCACCAGAAUAAGUCUCGUUAACAUCUGUCACCGUAUAGUUACAAAACUUUAUUUUCCUUGUGAUUGAGAACUUUUAAGAUUUACUUACUCUCUUAGCAACUUUCAACUAUGCAAAACUAUUAACUAUAGUCACCAUGCUGUGCAUUACAUCCCCAUGACUUACUUUAUGACUGGAAGUUUAUAUCUUUUUUUUUUUUUUAAGGUUUUAUUUAUUUAUUUGCCAGAGAGAGACAUAGCGAGAGAGGAAACACAAGCAGGGGGAGUGGGAGAGGGAGAAGCAGGCUUCCCGCGGAGCAGGGAGCCCGAUGUGGGGCUCAGUCCCAGGACCCUGGGAUCAUGACCUGAGCCAAAGGCAGAUGCUUAACAACUGAGCUACCCAGGCGCCUGGAAGUUUAUAUCUUUUGACCUCCUUCACCCAUUUCACCUUGGUAGAUUGUUUUUAAAAGUAUCUUUAUCACUCUUUGUCUCCUUUGUAACAGGCUUACUUGGGUCAAUUCUAUAUGAAACUUUACAGAAUGAAAGUUCUGUCCAAUAACAAAAUAACUUGGCUGCAUUGUUCACUUGAAAAUGACAACAUGAUUGCUUAGCCUUCCUUUCAAACAUGGAAUUUUGGCUUGUUUAGAGCUUGUUCUCUGUUCUAACAAUCACCCACAGCGAUUACUUCAUUCAUUUGUAUUUCUAAGAAACUUUAAAACUCUUGGAGGCAUUGAGGUUUAAUGGGUGUGGGUAGAGGUGGGAGGAGGAGGAGAAAUGUUAGAAACCAUGAUUAAGCCACUAACUUGUUGGGUAAUGUUGGAAAUUCAGCCUCCCCAACGGUCUCUUGGUUUACAGAAUGAGGCUAACAGUACAUGCCUGACAUCUUACACCAUUGAAGGCAUCAGUUUGGUACACUAUACAGGACAUGCAGAAACUUACUUCGUUUUGAGCUUUAUAUACCCCUUAAUGAUAAUAAUAGUAAACACUUAUUGCGUAACUACUUUGUGUCUGGAAUUACUUUAGUUACUUCCAACUUAAUUCUUCCAACACUCAAAUAAGGUAGCUUUGCAUGACCCCCAUUUUACAGAUGAAGAAACUGAGACAGAGAGGUUAAGGAAGUUGCCUGAGGUUAUAAUGCUGGUAAGUGGUCAACUUAUGAAUUGAACCCAGACAGUUUGGCUCCAGAAUGAAGAACUUGAAACAAUGCCAGGAAAUGAUUUUCACCAAGUUUAGCUGGAACUGGGCUUGAAAACUCUCUCAAAUGCUGCUUCUCUGGCUGUGGCAAGAGCUGAAUAGAUACUCCUACAUUAAUGGAAAUUAGACAUUCUCCUUGGCUGAUCUUAUCCCUCAAAUCAUUUUCAGCUGUUUCAGAGCCUUGGAAUUGCUGGAAAUGUUUAAACACCGCAUUGUUGAUUUAACUUACUUUGGUGUUUUGAAUCCCCUCCCCACCUGAGUUUUCUCUCUGUUGUGUGUUACUCUGCGAUACUGAUGGACCAUUGUUACCCACCCCAUGUCGAGACCUUAUGGACUAUGAGUCUCAGAGACUUAGACUGUGUUAUGGUGAGCUCGAUGGACAGUCCCCAGGGGAGUAUGUGACCAAGUGAUAUUCCAAAAAAAACUCAGGAGCCUGGAGUGACCUGGUUGGCUCUAGAAUUCACCCAGAGUUUAGAUCAUAUUUUGUGGAACUGGCCUGGCCAGAGAUAAUGUGUCCUCACUGUGUCUGUUGGUCCAAGUCACAAAACAACCCCAAUUCAGUCUGGUCUUCCGGUAUUAAGUUACCAGUUAAACUCUGAUGUCAACUCAGAGUGUGUGGAAGUCCUACACUACAUUGGAUUAGACUGCCUUCAGACUGGGAGCAAGAUGACCCCGUGAAGAAAAGAAUUCCAAUGUCUGUGUGACCUUCUAAUGACAAAAAUAGGCCAACCAUUAACAUUUAUUUAGCACUUAAAAAGACAUGCCACAAAUAAUUGCAGUUGAGCUCCACAAAUUCUUAUGGUUUCGAGAGAUGAAGCAUUAUUAUGCACAUUUCCAAUGUGGGAAAUAAAACUCAGAAAAAUCAGGACAAUAAGGCCUGUACUGUGGACUUAACCACAAGCCUCAGACACCAAGCCUUCCGAUGGCCCCGUGAUGCAGCAUCUCUUUUAUUCCAUCGUAUCUCUCAAUAUACUUAGAGGCAACUCAGUUUUUCAUGCUGUCUCAUAAAAUGGUACCUCCCAAAUACCAGUGGUAGAGCAUAGCAAAAUCGGAACUCCAGAAGGCAGAGAGGCUGAAUGGCUAGAAAAAGGGAGUGCUACAAAGGAAGUGGUGAAGAAGAAUCCAGGGGUGAAGAUAGUGAAGAACAUAGUGUACCCUUUCAUGCUUAUUCCUUCUCAGUAUUAUUUAGUAGGCAACAAUUAAGAAACCCCGAAAGAAGAACACUUUUAAUCAAAUAUAUUUUGUACCAGUGAUCAUGGAAGAGGGAGUAGAGGGGCACUGACAGUUACUGGAGGAUUUUGACAUCUCCUUUGUGCUACGGUAAGGUCGUAUUUCUUCAUCUUUGCCCCAACCCAGGUAGGCAAUAGUCCCUCCAUUUUACAGAUGAGUAAACUUAGGAUCAGAAUUGGAAAUAACUUGGCCUGAGCUCACACAGCAGGGAGUGUCUGUAUCAGAAUUUGAAAGCAAAAUGUCUGUUGUUUCUCACUUUCUUGGUCUGCCUCUCUAAAGCCUGGAGGUGAGAGGAAGCGCUGAAUAUACUAGUGUGCGGUAACACUUUAUAAACACUUGCCACCAGCACACAUUUGAAAUGAGAACUUUAAUAAAGGAAACAUAAACAUGCAGUGGCUAGAAUGAGCGGACACUUUUUGAAUGCAUACUUAAUUUUCUUGCUACUGCUGGCGAUUGAAUUUAGUUUGCCUUGAACGUAUCAACCAUCGAUGUGACUACCAAUAUACAUUGAGGUGUGUUUUCACUAAGAUUUAAGUCAUACAAGAAUUGAUGUUGGUUUUGUAGGAUCCUCUAUGGUUUCUUCUUAAACACUGCGCCUUGGAUUUAUGUGGGUAUGUGUUUGUUUUGUUUCGUUUGUUUGUUUACAUCUGAAUUGAGAAUGAGGGCACCCGCUUGUCACCCAAGUCCACAUGUUUAAGUAUAGGUGAAAGGACAUGUAUAAAACCUUUUGAGAUGUGGAGCAUGAAGAGAUCCCUAACUAGACGUACGUGAAAAAAUACCAAACUCUGCCGUUAGGCUUUCUAUAAAGGAUUUUCUCCUCCAGUGACAUGGCCAUUUCUGCAUUUUAAAAUCUCUGGAACAUUCCUGUGGUGAUCGUUUUUAUCCUGUCUGAACUAAAGCUCAGUUUAACUGUUCAGUAUUCACAGAGUCAAGUGGAUCAAGCCCCAGGAUGGCUCGAACCUGGCCAAUGGAAGUGGCCACAUUCCUGCAAGAUAAGGUCUGUUACCAACUUCACAGGCAUUUGUGUGAAGCUUAUUUUUCCAUUCGGGUUCUGAGAGCCACAGUAAUUUUCCAUGUGUCCAUCCUCUCCGGAUGCCCUGUUGAAGAUUCUGUUGAACGAUGAACUCCAGCUGAAAUGAUCUUUCCCCGGAAACUAUGGAGAAAUGACCACUUGAACUCAGACUCUAUUAACAGUUUUAUUGUCUCAGACUGUGCUCAUCAGAGUCUGAUCCAAGUCAAUUUCAUCUUUUCUUGGAGCCAGAUUUGUUCUUAGGCUCUUAGGAAAAUGGCUAUAUUUUCAUUUCCUUUCUUGAUAUACUUACUGUCUUCUUGUUGCAGUACGUGUAUAUGUUGACAUUGGAAAUCUAACAAGCCUUCCUUAUUGGUUGCUCAAUUAACAUAUUACUGGUUCGAGUUACUGAUGUGGACAAGUUUUGUAGUUAUAAAAGCUAUGGCUGGACCUAGGGGACAAUAGAAUAGCUAAAGAAAAUUUGUGUUAUGAGGUCCUGAGAAUAAAAAGGAAGAAAAGAGGCCAUCACGUUUCUGCAGGAUAACUCUUAAGUUAUCUAGUUAAUCUUUUUUUUUUUUUAAUAUUUUAUUUAUUUAUUUGACAGAGAGACAACGAGAGAGAGAACACAAACAGGGGGAGUAGGAGAGGGAGAAGCAGGCUUCCCGCUGAGCAGGGAGCCCGAUGCGGGGCUCGAUCCCAGGACCGUGGGAUCAUGACCUGAGCCGAAGGCAGACGCUUAACGACUGAGCCACCCAGGCGCCCCGUUAUCUAGUUAAUCUUGUCUCAGCUCUCCUAAAGGCAUUCUCAUGCUUGGCUUUUUAGAUAGUUGUCUCACAAAAGUAUAAGUACAGUGGACUGCUUAUGUGUCAUCUAGGCAGGACUAGAGGAAAAAAAAAUAAGAUACUGAGCUGGUUAUUCCAAUAUCCUAUCAAUCUGUGGCCAAGAGUCUGAGGUCCUUUUUAAUCUUCUUUCUGUUGCUUCCACUUUCUGGUGGGGACUGCUUCACUCCUCCCUGUAACAUUAGCUUCACUUGGUCUCCAGGACCAAUCUUUACUCUGGCUGGAGAGAUGUAAGGAGUUGCAACAGUGUUCUCUGGACCUCUUCACCAAAUGACAUUUAUUUUUAUUUGGUUCUGUUUUUGUGUCUGGUCAUUGGAAAUGGAGUACUGCCUGAUCCCAAGACUAUAAACCUAUAGGAAACAUGACAGUGUGUACUAAUGCAAAGACAGACAAAUAAUGGUUCAGUAGAAUAGGACAGAGUCCACAAAUAGACUUACAGAAUUGAUUUUUGACAACCGUGCCAAGCCAGUUCAAUGGGGAAAGGAUAAUCUUUAUAACAAAUGGUGCUGGAACAACUGGAUUCCAUGUGCAAGUAAAGUGUUCCCAAUCCAUACUUUGCACUAUGUACAAAAAAUAACUCAAAAUGGAUUGUAGACCAAAAUGUAGGAGCUAAGACUAACAACAACAACAACAAACAAAACUUCUGUAGGAAAACAUAGGAGAAAAUAUUAGUGACUUUGGGUUUGCCAAGACUUAUUAAAUAAGACAUAAAAAGUCCAAAUGAUGAAAGAAAAAAAUCAAUGAGUUGAACUUCAUUACACUUCAAACCUUUUGCUUUUCAAAAGACACUUUUUUUUUUUUUAAGAUUUUUAUUUAUUUAUUUGAGAGAGAGAGAGCAUGAGGGAAAGGCAGAGGAAGAAGCAGACUCUGCUGAGCAGGGAGCCCAAGGCAGGGUUGAUCCCAGGACCCUGAGAUCACGACCCAAGCUGAAGGCAGCUGUUUAACCGACUGAGCCACCCAGGCACCCCUCAAAAGACACUUUUAAGGAAAAAGGAGGGGGGGGAAGACAGGCCACAGGCUAGAAAAAGAUAUUUUCAAUGUAUCAAUCUGACAAGAACUUGAUUCCAGAAGAUGUAAAGUAUUCUUAUAAAUCAAUAAUAAAAAGACCAACAACCCAAUAAAAAAUGGGCCAAAUAUUUGAAUAGACACUUCACUAAAGAAGAUGUAUGAAUGUCAAAAAGGUACAUGAGGAAAUGCUCAAAAUCAUUAGUCAUGGAGGAAACGCCAGUUAAAGCCACAAUGAGACAUUACUACAGACCAAUUAGAAUGGCUAAAAUUUUAAAAGAUUAAAAAGACUGAAUACAUGAUGUAUAGGUGAGGAUAUGGAGCAAGCAGAACUCUCACUCACUGCUAGGGGAAUGUAUAAUGCUAUACUCAAUGAAAAAAAAAAUUCGGCAGUUUUUUAAAAAGUUAAAUAUACUCUGACCAUUUGAUCCAGUCAUUCCACAUCUAAAUGCUUACCCUAAAGAAGCAAAGUAUAUGGUCCAUACAAAGACUGUACACCAGCGUUCAUCGCAGCUUUAUUUACAAUAGCAUAGAACUGGAAAUAACCCGAGUAUUCAUCAGUAGUUCAGUGGACAAACUGAAAUAUGCAUACAAUGAAAUACUAUUCAGGAAUCAAAAAAAUAAUUAACUGUUGAAACAUGCAUCAACAUAGAUGGAUCUCAAACUAAUCAUGCUGAGAGAAAGAACCCAGGGAAAAGCAUACAAUAAGACUCUAUAAAGUUCUAGAGAAUGUAAACUAAUCUGAGGGGCCAAAACCAGAUCAUUGAUUGCCUGGGGACAUCAAGGAAUGGGGAGAGCAGAGAGAGAUUACAGAGGGACACAAGGUGACUUCUGGCAGGUGAUUUAUCUAUUUAUUUAUUUACUUGAUUGUGGAAAUGGUUUCCAGGUUGUAUACCUAUGUUACAGCUCCUCAAAAUGUGCAUUUUAAAUAUGUGCUUUUUAUUGCAUAUCAGUUAUACCUCACCAAAGGAAAAUGAAAACUCAUUUAACCACAAAAGAAAUGCUAAUGUAUCCUACUAAUGAAAGUUUUUUAAAAAACAGAUUGUGAUCCCCUUUCUACUUGGCAUCUUAUUUCUAGGACAUUCUCCCCAUGCAUGAGCCCCCUUGUCAGCCUGUAACUAUAGGGCUUGCUUCAGCCUGUCCCCCAAUUUAAUACUCUGAUACCUUCUCACCAAUUUCAUUCUUACCCAUCUGAGUAUUGAGAAUCCAGUGGUAGGAUUCUCACUAUCCUACCACUGGAUUCUCCCCAGCUGAGCUUUUCCUCUCCAUCGGGGUACACUGUUAGUCUGCAUCUUGCCCUUGCUGUCUAUGACGGCACACCUGCGUAACAGUGUACUUUUCCCUUGCUCUCUACAAUGAUGUUGGCCAGACCACAUUUUAUUUCAUUUGUGGGACCUAGGACUUUCCCAUUGCUUAUCCUGCCCCACCCCCAGAUUUCUUCCUCAUCAGUUGCUAAAACUUUAUCUGACACUGACUUCUGAAAUUUGAUUAGACAUGUCAAUAACGUGUCUAUAACAUGUCUAUAACAUGACUGUGGUCAAAAUUUAAGAACAUGUUGCAAUAAUACACCAUUUUGCCAAUUUGUGCUGAAAUGUUAUAGAUCCAUGUAUAAUAUUUAAAUAGGGGAAGAUUAAAGUCUUUACACCGUAAAUUUCCUUUGAUAUUUGAACCUCAAGACCUAACAUAGACCCGAAUUUCUGUUUUAUGAUUUAUUAGGAGUGAAAUUUUGUAUUUGGUUUAUUUCCCUUUGUUGUUUUUAAAGCUGCACUUGCCUCCAUUUUUCCUCACCUGUGUGCAUUUCUUCUUUCCCUUUUAUCAAUCUGAAAUAUAAAUGCCAAUGUAUCUUCUUUUACAUCUGACUUAUUUACAGAUCUUUCGUUUCUCAGUUCUCAGAUGUUCUCAGCUAUCUCAGUACCCAUGGCUGUACCGGCAUUUCUGUUUUCAUUUGUUGAUUUCUUGUUGGUGAGUGAUUCUCUUGCCUCUCUUACUUCUGAUUUUCUCUGACUUCCUGUAUUAGGAUGGAAACAACUCUUGCAUCAGCAAAUGGCUGGGUAAAAAGCAUUCACUCAUCCACUUUACGUGGCAAGUUUUAUCUGUGUGAUCUAAAUGUAGGACUGUUUCUGUGAAGCAGUGAUUGUCUUGAUGGUUAAGGAGUUUUGCCUUUCCGGGAUCAGCUUUUCUCCAGUCGUUAGAUACAGGCGUACUUGGAGACCAGCUCUACCUACACCAAAGUCACUUCUGUGGCUUCUUCUUCCCUCUGGGUUCACCUUUUCUCCUUUCCAUCAUACUUCCCGGAGUAGAAAGAAUUUUACUCAAGCCACAGGCCAACACCACAGCCUCCUGUGUCAUGCGCAAUUUUAAAAGCCUAUUUCAUUCUCUGUUUGGAAGUUUGUGUUACUACCCACAGGAAAGAAAUGCCUUAAAAGAUUUCAUUUAAAUUCCAGCUUAUCUGGAAUUGCUGAUAACCUUCAUUCAGAUUCCAUUGUUAAAGGACUUGUGACCGACAUACGGGCCUGAUUUCCCUGAUAGGAAUUAUAUUCCUGGAUGGAAAAGUUAUCAGAAUUUACCAAGUAACUUUGCCCCUCAUUCAUCUGGUACAGUGUGUUGUAAGACUACUUAAGUUCUUGAGGAACAGAGUUAAAGAAGAUACGCCGUAAAAGCUCUUGGCCAAUAAAAAGAGCAAGGUGAAAUGUGAAGCAAUUUCAACUUCCCCAAAGUGUCACCUAUAAUGGAAAAAGUUAAUGGAAUCACAAAGGCUUGUUUUAUCCAUUUGCCCUCACUGUAUUAAUCCACAGUGAUAUCAUCAUUUCCUUUCGGGGAGUUCUGAACAGAAGCUACCCAAAAGUACAUGUACCUUUAGUUUUCCUGACUUUGCAUGACCAAACUGAGUUCAAUUUUCCUCAGUGUGGUAUUUAUAUACGCAACUUGCCCAUUUACUGAAAACAUGAAUGACUUUGACUCAAACUUGGAGAACCAAUAAACAUCCUUUAGCAGCGGUGAACCUGUCAGCACAUGGAACUAAGGUUUAUGGUCAUGCAAAUGUCUUGUACUUCAUUUGGGUCAAAUACAACAAACAGUGAACUAAUUAGCCUUAAGUAAACUGGCUUUAAUUUCCACAGACAGUGGAACCAAUUAUUUCUUAGAGAAAGGUUUAUUUUUACUCUAGGGCAAGGGUCUGUAACUCCUUGGAACACCCCUGAAUGAUUCUCCAAAUCAGGCCAGAUGAAAUUGGCAAGUCACAGAUGGUUACCUUGAUGUGUAAAUGGUAGGGUCCUUAAUUAGGCUCAUUGACAUCACUGAGAAAGGAGCCUAGGAAUCCAUUUGCGCAGGGAUAAGAUUAAAAGAAGAUCAUCUGCCACUUAAUGCUGCUUAUGAGGGAAAUUUAUAAAACAACAACAGAACUGUUCUUUAGCAAUCUACUUAACUUCCAGCCACAGACUUUCUUUUGAUUUGAAUGCCUGAUACAUAUUCAGUAGCCAUAUCUCUAUUUUAAUAUUCCUGAUGUCUAUUACUUAUGGCUCAUUUUGUCUUGAAUUUAAUACCUGAAGGAUUCAAGGUUAUUUAAAGGAUUCCAGACCUCUAACUAUUCCCCAGAGCUUUAAUCUCUGAAACAGAAAACUUCCUGAUUAGAAAAACAGACGCCUGCUUUAGCCCCUUGAAACACUGAACUGUUAGAGAUAUUGUCCAAGGUUUUUGGUGGUUUUUCUCUGCGUGUAUUGAAUAAAUUCUGGAAGAGUGGGUCUUAACAUUUCAUUUGAGAUUUUAAAAAAAUUAUGUAAUAGGAAUCUACCAUAAGCCUUACUUUAUUUAGAUAUACACAUGUGGGUUCUGUAAUUGUAAGUCUCUACAAUAUAAACUACAUGUUGAAAAUUGUGUAUAUUCAGUUUUAUGUUUGCAUACUAUUUACGUGCUAGAAAAUUUCUCAGAAUGUGGUUCAAAUGGAUCUUACUGUAAACUGGGAUGUGGUUAAUUUGUCAUGACACAUGUAGAGUGCCUGCUUUAGAAACACCCGUGCUCCUGGUGUGGCCAUGUCAAGAUGGUUACUGAUGUCAGGACACAUUUUAGUCCAAGUUUCAUUUAAACAUCCUGUGUCAGCCAGUCCAAGGUGUGGAAAUAAGCAGAAGCUGUAUUUCUUAGUGUGGUAUCAGAAUUGAAAUAGAAAAACAACAUUUGACUAGAUUAAUCCCUACUUCCAUAUAUGUGGUGGUAUAAUCAAACAAAGAUCUUGGCUACAGUAAAAUGUCUUUAUAAACAAACUAUGGUUGAUCAGUUUGCCUGAAAGUUGUAGUUUUGAUGUGCCUGAAAUAGUUCUGUUUCCAUGGAUUCAGACAUGUCAGCCAUUUCCCAUGGUCUUGGGGGGAGCAAGAGAGUCCACUUCUGAAACUUGGAGUCUCAGAACAUGAAAAGUGAGAGGACCUCAAUGCCUAUUAGAUGAACUCACUCAUUUUAUAGAAGCAGGACUGAGAAGCUAAAUGAAUUGCAAGACCUGGUAUCUCACAAAGACUUGACGCAAACUUGAAUCACUUGGCCCAGUUCAUUGCUGCAGCCAGUAGUCUUAUUGUUGCCUCUGAAGUGCUCUACUCUGUGAAGCACGUUCCCAUUCACAGAACUCGGCCCUGUUGGAACCCCCAACUUUGAUCACCUUGUGCAAUAGGAUCAGAAUUAUUUUUGAGUGAAUUAUUUUAUUAUACUAUGAGUAUUUUACAGGAAAAAACAAACUUCUUCAUGUGCUUAUCCCUUGUUUCACCGUCAUUUGGAAAUUUUUUCUUUGAGUUCGCAGUAGAAACUGGAACUAUAGGCUGUGUACAGAGAAACAUAAUUUCACAAUGUUUGCUAGAGAGUUGAUUUGUGAAUGCAUAGGAUUAUGGGAAUCGGUGUGACUUAGGAACAUGUCAAAUUGCAAAGUAACACUGGUAAAUAGUAAAGAUGCACAUGCACACAUGUAGUUAUUAUUACAGUAAAAACAAGUUAGAACUAUAAACUCUAGAGAAUGAAUAUCUAAAAGAUGUGUCAGUUGAGGGGUGCCUAAGUGGGCUCAGAGGGUGCCUGGGUGGCUCAGUCAGUGAAGUGUCUGGCUCGGUUUUAGCUCAGGUCAUGUUCUCAGUAUCUUGAGAUCAAGCCUCAUGUUGGGCUCCACCCUGAGCGUGGAGUCUGCUUGAGAUUUUCUCUUGCCUUCUCCCUCUGUCCCUCCCCCCACCCCACUCACACGCAUAGACUCUCUAAAAUAAAUAAAUAAAUCUUAAAAAAAAAAAAAAAGAUGUGUCAGUUUGAAAAAGAAUAAAUCUAGUGCACGAGACAAGUGUAAUUAGGAAAUUGUCACUUUAUAUAAAAGAUUAAAUUAUCAACAUAGGGCACUCUGGGAGUUACUUACAUGAAGGGUAGACUCUGCGUUUUAUAUAUCGUAGAAUUAGAUGCUGUUAGAAAAAUUGGCUAAAUUGACAUUAUAAAAAUGGAAAUGAGAAAAAUCCCAUUCAUAAUCAUGUGGGAGAAAAAGCCAUGAAAUACCUGGGAAUGAAUUUAAUGAGAAAGAUUCUACGAAAAGACCUAUAAAAUUAUAUUGAAGGAUAUAAAACAAAAUCCGAAUAAAUGGAAAGAAAGACCAUGGCCUGGAUAGGAAGACUUAAUAUAAAAAUGUCACUUAUCUUGAAAUUAACAUAUAAAUUUCAUGCAGUUCCAAUCAGAAUUCAUUUUUCUCUUUUUUGAACCACAUAAGUGAUUCUAAAGUGUGUAUGGAAGAAUAAACAUGUGAAAAUGGCCAAGAAAAUUUUGAAAUGGAGCAACAACAAGGAAGCUUGCCUUACUAGAUAUGGAAACCUAAUUUAAGCUACUUUAAACAAACAGUAUAGUAUUGGCCUACCACAAACAAUUCUAUAGAACACAUAAAGAUCAUUUAACAUACAAUUAAAGAUAGCAGUAUAAGUCAUCAAAUAAAUAUGUGUUAUUCAAUUAAUGAAAUUGGAAGAACUGGCUGUGCUUUUGUAAGAGAAUAAAAUUUUAUUCAUACUUUAUUAUAUAACAACAAAUUACAGAUGAAUGAAAAAUCUGAAUGCUAAAAAGACACUUGGAAGACACUCCAAGCAGAUAUUUGUGUAAUCAUCAUGUGGUGAUUUUUUUGUUGUUGUUGUUGUUUUUUAAGCAAGACUAAAGCCAUAAAAACAGAAAAAGAAGUGACAUACUUUAUUUCAUGAAAUUUAAAAACAUAUGAAAGACAGUCUUCAUAUAAUGGACAUUUUAAAUCUUUUCUGACUAGUCAACAAUUUUGAAUGCCAUUCAGAUGCUUGGGGAAUUAAUCCCAUUUAUAAAUUCUGUCUUCCUAAGGUAGAAGCAGAAAUCCACUUUCCCAGGCCCCCUUGCAGCUGGUAUUGGGACUUUAGCCUAGUGUUUAAGAUGCACCCAUUCAUUCUAAAUUCUCAUUCAGAAAAGUGUGAUGUGAAGAAGGAGGUGACUCAUGGAGCUAAUUAUAUCAAGAGCGACAGAGACAUGUUCAGCUGUUGUAAUAAGCAAUGGCAGUGACCUCCGGCAUUCUAGGCGUUGGGGGACAACACAGUACCCCAUGGAACAAUGCCACAGCUUCAUUCGGACAUUUUCCCUAGCUCUGUGGCUCAGAAAUCAGUUGUGUAUUUCUCCUUGGAACUUCUGUGAUCCGUCUACUACCCUUUAAUAAAUUUCUUUUCUGCUUAAACUAGUAGGAGAGAGUUGUUUUGCAACUAAGAAUUCUGACUGAGUCAUCCCCAUAAAAGGUCAAAAGACAAAUGAUAGACUUGAAAAGGAUAAUUAUCACCCAAAUAAGAAAGGGUCAAAACAACCAAAGAGGAAAAAUAUGCAAAUGAUACUCAAAUGAUAUAAAUAGGCAAUGUAUUAAGAAAAGAAAAAUGCAAAAAAAGCUACAUAAUCUUCUAGGUGAUUAGGGCAGCAGUAAUAAAGUCACAAAUUUCAACCAUCAUAUUUGUUAAAACUUAAAAUAUGGUUGGAAUUCAGGGCUUGUAGGAAUGUAGAAAAGUACUCUCAUAUCCUGUUGGUGGGAAUGGCUGUGUGUGAGGCCUUGUGAUCUGGCAAUACUUUGUACAAUUAAAAUGUGGACACAAAUUGAUCUAUUAGUUUCAUUCACAGAGAUUUAUCCAAAAACAAAUCAAAGCACUUGAUUAUUAAGAUAAACAUAAACACACAUAAAUAGAAACUCAGAGGUUUAUCACCGCUUUCUUUGGAAACAGCUGCAAGGACCGUCGGAAGGAGAAUGCUUGGUGUAAUCUGUACUCUAGGAUUCCACAGCACCGUUUAGGUGGGUCUAUCUGUGUGGGCUUGGAAGACUGUUCUUGGUAUUCUGUUAAAUGAAAAUGUCAAGGUACAAUCUUACCUCGAUAUAAAAGAUUCUGUAUAAAAAUAAAAGUUAGUAUUAUAAAAGAUACACACGAAAUUGCUAAUAGUUCUUAUGUUGUAAAUGAGAUACUGGGUGUGGGAGGGAGAAACUAUAAGCUUUACUUUAGAUGUUUCUAUAUAGUUCAAUUUGACACAGUUGGUUUCACAAUCCAAAUAAUUGUGAAAGAGUCAGAAUAGUGAAUUCUGUACCAGCAUCACAGUUUCAUCCAGCAGCCUCUUAUUUGUAAAAUGAUAAGGUGUGGUUGUCAAUUUUAUUUUCCAUUCCGUAACUCCCCAAGGAAUGAGCCACCCUAGGCCAAACUCUGAUAGAAACAUUUUGGUUCUUUGCAUACCAUCCCCUCUGAAGAGUAGAUUCCUAUUCCUUCAUUCUUUGCUUUCUCACUUUUCACUUUUUCACAAAGAAACUGAAUGAUCGCCAUUACUACCAGUCCCUGAAGCGGACCAGAUUUCAUUGGAAAGUACUUGGAUGCUGGGACUUGCAGAAGAGGAAUUAAUUAGGAGCAAAAAAGAUAACUGCUCAGACUUCUUUGUAGAUUUCCUAAGUGAUAGGCAGCCAUCCAAUUUCUCUCUCCAAACUCCCAUUAAUUAUAAGAAGGAAAACAAGUUUAUUGUUAAUUUAAUGUUUACUACUGCCCACACAGUAGCUUGAAAUCAAAUUUAUGACACAGCCAUAGGUGGUAUAUGCGUACUUGAUGGUGCAUGCAGGCUCUUCACCUAAUCUUAAGUGUACAGCACACACAUGCCCAUUUUGUAGAACUUGGAGUGUAAUCCAACUGUUUUUUAAAUGCUUCUGGUUGCAUUUUCUUUUAUUUUUGCAGCAUUUCCUAUGACAUAUUAUGGCUUUGCAAAAGAUUGGGGGAUCUUACUUCUCUUAGUUCAAAUUCCCUUGUACCAGUUUGCUGUUCGAGGAUGGAACAUCUAUAGUUUCUUAAAGCUGUUGGGUAGUCCAUGUAGGUUCUCCAUAUGUCUGACUAUUAAGAGGCAAUCUUUUAUAUUGACAAAGUUGUCAUUGUUUUCUAUCUUUCACCUGUUGGUCUUAGGGUGGCACAAAUAUAACUUCAAAUUACAAAUGUUCAUUACUAACAUAUAGAAAUAUGAUUGAUUUUUAUUAAAUGACUUGUGUUCUGUGACCUUGUUUAGGUUACUUACUAGUUUUGUUGUCAGAUCUUUGGGAUUUUGUCUGUAGGAGAUCACAUCAUCUGCAAAUAAAGACAAUUUGAGUUCUUCCUGAUUUCUGUGUAUUCUGUUUGUUUGCCUUGCAUCAUUACAUCACCUAAGACUCCUGUACAAUACUGAGUUGAAGUGAUGACAUUGUACAUCCUUGCUAAUCUUGGGAAAAAGCACUCAGUCUUUGGCCAUUAAGUAUAUUUUUAGUUGUAGGGCUUUUAGUAGACAUUCUUUAUCAGGUUGAAGAAGUAUCUUUUUGAAAAACUAGUUUGCUGAGAGUUUUUAUUAUAGAUGUUUGAUUUUGUCAAAUGCCCUUUUUUGCCACUAUUGAUCAUCUAUUGAGAUGAUCAUAUGGUUUUUAUUUUUCAGUCUUUUGAAUUUUAAAUUCAGCACUUUUUGAAUGUUGAACCAACUUUCCAUUCAAGGGGGAGAAAGCAUUUGCUCAUGAUGUGUUAGCUGUUUAUAUAUUGUUGGAUUUAAUUUGCUCUUUUGUUAAGGAUUUUUUUUUUAUCCAUCAAUAUGAGGGAUAUUGGUCUGUCAUUUUUCCUAUCUUGAAGUAGCUUUGUCUGGUUUGGUGUGAGGAUUCCGGAAUGCUGAUCUCCUAAGAUGUGUUGGGAAGAAUUCUUUUAUCCUAUGUUUUCUGGUAGAGCUUGUGUGGAGUUGGCAUUAUUUCUUUUUUUAAAUGUUUGGUGGGUGUCAGUUGUGAAGCAUUAUGGACCUGCAGUUUUCUUUGUGGAAAUGUCUUUGCAUUGUGAAUUUAGUUUAAUGGGUAAAUGACUAUUCAGGUUAUUUUUUUUCUUGAAUGAAAUUUGGUAAUUCAUAUCUCUCAAGGAAUCUGUCCAUUUCAUUUAUUUUAUCAAAAUUAUUGGCCCAGAGACUUUCAGAAUGUCAUCUUAUUAUUCUCUUAUGUCUGUAAGAUCUGUAAUGAUGUCUCCUCUUUCAUUCCUGAUAUUGGUAAUUGUUUCAUAUUCUCUCUAUCCUUCUCCCCUCAUCUCUGCAUAUCAGUCUGACUAAAGGUUUAGCAGUUUUCUCACCUUUUCAAAAGACCAGAUUUUGUCAUUUUUGUUACUGUUUUUCCAUUUCAAAAUGAUUUCUGUAUUGACGUCUGCUCUUUAUUAUUUCUUCAUUUCUGCUUAUUUUGAGCUUAAUUUGCUUUUCUUUUUUAAGCAUUUGAUGGUAUAAACCCUUAAUUACUACUUCCUUUGCAUCCCACAAGUUUGAUAUGUGUAUUUUCAUUUAUCAAUUCCAAAUUUUUUUUUAUUUUGCUUGUGACUUUCCAUGUGUUAUUUUAAAAUAUUUCCUUAUUUUUUUCAUUUAUAAAGAUACUGGGAUUUUCCAGAUAAUUUCAGAUAUUGAUUUCUAGUUUUAUUCCACUGUCAUUAGGAAAUAUACUUUGUGUGAUUUCGGGUCAUUUUAAAUUUGUUGAGAUUUAUUUUAUGACACAGAGUAUCUUCUGUGUUGCACUUCAAUCUGUAUUUAGCUAUUACUGAAUUAAGUGUUCUUUAAAUGUUAAUUAGGUCAAUUUAGCAAAUUGUAUUAUUGUUCACAUCUUCUGUAUCCUUAGUGAUUUUCUGUGCAUUUGUUCUAUCAAUUAUUCAGAGAGGAGUGUUAAAGUCUCUAAACUGUGGAUUUCUUUAUUUCUCCUUGCAGUUCUAUUAGUUUUUGCUACAUAUAUUUUGAAUCACUUAGGAUCAUUGUGCCUUCUUAAGGAAUUAGCCCUUUAUAAUUAUAAAAUACCCCUCUGUAUCUCUAGAGUAUUCCUUUACCUGAAAUCUACUUUUCUUGGUAAUAAUAUUGCCAUUCAAGCUUUCUUUUCAUUAGUAUUUGAGUGCAUUUACUUUAAUCUAGCUAUGCCUUUUUACUUAAAGUGGAUUUCUUACGUACAGUGUAAUUGGAUCUUGCUUUUAAAAAUCAUUUAGUAUCUCUUCAAUCUACUUUUUGCAAUUGGGGUGUUCAUGUUACCUACAUUUUGUAAUCGUUGAUGUGAUUGGCUUCAUAUCUACCAUUUUGCCAGUUAUUUUCUUUUCAUCUUAUCUGCCCAGUUUUUCUUUUUUCAUCUUUUCCUGCCUUCUUUUGUACUACUUUGUUGUUAUCUUUAAGAUUCUAUCUUAUAUUUACUCUUGUUUCUUCUUGAUUUAAUUCUUUGGAGGGUUCUUUAGGGUUACGGUAUAUAUCAUUAGCUUAUUACAGUCUACCUUAUAGUGUAAGGUCCUUAUACCAGUGUACAUCCAUUUUCUCUUUCCAGCCUUUGUGCUACUGAAGCCAUUUAUUUUACUUCUACAUAUGUUAUAAAUGCUGCAACCUACAUAACUGUAGCUUAGACAUUCAAUUAUCCUUAGAAAAAGUAUCUUUAACACUCACCUUCAUUUUUAUCUUUUCUGGAGUUCACUGUUACUUUGUAAAGUUUCAAAUUUUAUCUGGUCUCAUAUUCCUUUCUGAAGGACCUCUUUUAACAUUUUUUGUUGUGGUUGUUGCUUUGGGCUUAGGUGAUAAAUUCUUUUAGCUUGUGUUUCUCUAAUAAAGUGCUUACCAUGAUUUCAUUUUUGAAACAUGUUUUAAUGGGGUAAAGGAUUUUCAAUUGACAGUUUUUUGUUUGUUUUUCUUUAGUACAUUAAAGAUGUUAUUUUACUGUCUUCUGGCUUGCAUGGCACCUAACAAGAAGUUUGCUGUCAUGUCUAUCUUUAUUUCCUAAAUUAUGUUAAGGUACUUUCAUCCCUUCCAUGGUAAGGAUUAUACUUUUAAUAAAAGAAAGACUCAAGAAAACUGGGGACAUUUCAUGCCUGCUCCCCAUAGCAGCUGAUCCUUAUUUGCACACCAGCACCACUGAGAAGUGUUCUCACCAUUUUCUCUCCCUGCCCCCAAUUCUUACCAAGGAGCUGGUGGAAGCCUGUGAAAAAGCCUAUUAAUAAAUAGUGAAACUUUCCCUGUCUUUUGGACUUUCAGCUAUUAUAAGCUGACCCCCUAGCCCAAGUUCCUUAAGAACCCAAUUAGCUUUUAGCUGAUUUCUUCUUACCUACUUGUAUGGUAGCCACCUCUUCCUCCCAUGCUCUGACAAAGGUUGUCUCCUGUCUCUCCUUAGAAUUCAGUAUAGGUUGCUUUACAAACUCAAUUCUUAGAUGGGGAUCACAAGUUUCUGAGUUUUUAUCAUUGCUACAAUGAGAACAGCAUUAUCUUGCAACUCUCUGUGUUGUAAUUUGCUUUUUAAAGCUGUUCACCAUCCUAGAUACUCUUUUAUGAACAGAUUGCAGUUUGUUUAUAGCCCACUUAAAUUACCCUGAAAUAAAAAUAAUUCUUCAGGUGAACAGAGUAGAGUAGGACAAAUAGGGCAUAUCUCCAGCUAUAUACUUGUCAGUGUCGUGCAUACUGUUGUGUCAUGCAAGCUAUUGGGUCAUAAUGUGUUUACUGUCAAAAUAUCGACCAGGUCUUUUUCAUACACCCUGCCUCUUCUAAGCCAUUUCUUCCCAACCCUGCACUUUGAACUGAUUUUUUUUUAAAGAUUUUUUUAUUUAUUUGAGAGCGAGAAUGAGAGACAGCAUGAGAGGGAGGAGGGUCAGAGGGAGAAGCAGACUCCCUGCAGAGCAGGGAGCCCGAUGCAGGACUCGAUCCCGGGACUCCAGGAUCAUGACCUGAGCCGAAGGCAGUUGCUUAACCAACUGAGCCACCCAGGUGCCCUGAACUGAUUUUUUGAUCCCUUGAGCAAAGCUUUACAAACUGUCAUUUAAAAAGUAGGGUUUGGGGAUUAAUAGAAUCUCUUCGGACCACCUGGAUUUGGGGGAUCCUGAUCUUCCAUUUAACAGAGUUGCUGUUCUUUCAAUAAGUCACUGAUGAAACUAUUGAAUAGGUCACAGCCGAGUCCAAAGAGGGAUCCGCCAGAAAUCCCUCCUCUCAGACUUAACAUUGAUUCAUGAAUUGCUAUGUUUAGCUUGAUAAAAUCCACUUAAAUAAUCUUUUUUAUUUUUUAUUGGUCUUGGUCAUAAGAUUGAUUGCAUGAUAGUUCUGAGUUGCUUUCUCAGAAGUCCACAUAUAUUAUCUAUUAUAUUUACAAAUUGUAUUUAUUUGUGUAAUAGCCUUGUCCAAGAAAAGGUUUGUUGUACAUAGUAAAGCCAUGCUAGCUAUUGACAAUUAUUGUUUCCGCAUAUAACCACUUUCCCACCAUCCCUUAAUAAUCCAUAGUAAUAUCUACAGUUUGGAGAGUGCCUUGCUCAUUUUUUUGAAAAAUCUGAAUAUUUGUCCAUUUAUUGUUUUAUUCUUUUGGCAUCAUUUACAUUUUCCAUAAUUAUUUCAAUACCAUGUUUGAUGGUUUUAGGUACAUGUUUCGACUGGUACUCUGGGACAUUUUUAACCCGAGGCAGAAAACUGGAACUCACUUGGAUCAGAUAGCAGCUAUUCCCUGUGCUGCUUUAUUCUUUUGUGGAUUCACACACAUUUAGCUAUUUUUUUCCCACCAUUUUCAAAUAGUAGCUCAUGAGCAUUAGUAGGGAAAACAAAACAUAAGGUAGGAGCUCUCUCUUUGUUAUUUCUUACUACCUGUUGGCUCCAAGUAGAGUUUUUAGGCCUGCCUUAAUCUUAGUUGAUCAUUUAUUAAUUUGAGAUCAAGUCUUAGAUUUUAACCUUUAUAAGUUACAUUAUGACCUUGUUUGUGGGAUUGCUCUAUGGUACAACUGGAGAUCUCCCGUACUUUGUUCUAAUUUUGUAACAAAUAAAAAAGAAAGUUUAUGGGGAUAUAAUGAUGGGCCAUCAUAAAUUUUAGUCACUGGCUCACAAUUUUGAAAGCCUAGAAAAUAAAUGAUAGUAAUUAUGUACUAACAUCAAUCCUAGGCUAAUAUUCCACAUCCAGGCUGGUUGAAGCAGGAUUUUUUUCAUUUGGAGUGUGUUCCUUUCUUUCCUUUUUAUAGUAAAAAUGACUGCCAGAAUGUUGAUCAGUCAAGCUUAAUUUCAAUCCGUUUGUUUUGGACCAGUUUCAUCUGAUGGAAUCGAACAGGUUUACAGUGUGAAGUGGGUAGACAAGUAGCAAGAAAAAAAAACAUUAAAUGCUAGUGGAUUUCCUGCAGGGCACUAGUUUAUAAAACUUGAACCUCUUAUUCCUGGAAAAGAGGACUAUACUUGAUAAACUUAAGCAGUUUCCUAGAAGUUAGAGUAAGAAUCGUUGAGUGCAGAUUAGCUGCUAAUGCUAGUUGCUGUAAAAGUUAUCUUAAAAUUAUAAAAAAAACAAGCUGAAUUUAUGGCAUGAGUAAACUCUGACUUAUGUCAAUGACAGUGACUUCUACUUUAUCCUUCCUGUCUUUUGGGGCAAGAGAAAGCCAUGGUCCCGUGUGUGUGUGUAGCUUGGCCAUGUAAGAAUACAACAAAAGGAUAUUUUCAAGACAUCUUAAUGUCUCUAAACAGAUUUCUUCCAAGAAUUUUAGCAAGUAAUGCCUUUUAACUAUUUGAAAGAGUUGUUAUCUUAGAGCCUUAACUCUUGAAAAUAUUCUUAGAGUUUGUUUCAUGUGGUUGAAACACCUUUGGUCAGCAUUACAUCUCUUUUUCCUCCUGUUUAAAAUUAGAUAUAUUAACAGUGUUUUCAUUUAGUUUCUAAAAAUGAUUCUGUUUCCAUAGAGAGAUUUUAUGCUGGAAAUAACUUUCGAAGAGGUCUUUUAAAAUCUGAAGUUGUAAAUUCAAAAAUGAUAUUGUAAUUUGUUUUCCUAAAUUGAAUUCUUGUCGGUUGUCUACCUGUUCUUUCUCUAUUUUAGAAAAUGUAUUUGGUUGCUAUUUUUAGCCACUUUCAAAUGUUCCACCAGAUGUUGGAGAUGAUUCAGAGUAAGAUUUGAGAGAUACCUAGAAGAUAUUUCAUGGAGUUUUCUUGGACCUUUCAGAGCCACUGAAGUUAGAAAAAAAUUCUAAAUAAUCAGACUGAAAAUAAUGCUCUCAUCCUCAUUGAUGGCUUAUAAUAUACUCUAGAAGAAUAGUCAUUUAUCAAUCACUUAGUUACCACAAAAAAGUGUUGGUAUACUCUUAAUGACUAUACUGAUGGUAAACAUUGAUCAUGGAACACAGAAACGAAGUUUUAUUUCUGCAAAAUGAAUUUUGUCCUUUAGUGGUAACAUGGUAAGAAUGUGCACUGAUUCCAACAGUAUUACCCUGCUUAAACAAUUUUGGGUUUCCUUGGAAUUAUCUUCAGAGUCUAUGGACCACAGAAGAAAAUGAAUCUUUUACUUUCAGGUACACCUCACUUUUGAUCCAAAAUAGUAUCCCCAAGCCUGAUCAUCCAUUUUUUAUACAUCUUGGCUCUUCAUGAUAGUUUUUGUAGUAUUCAAUAAACACAUAUUUUAGGAACAGAGGUUUGUUACCAUUUAUGUUUAAAUGUUUUAAACUCUGAAAUUCCAAAAGGAAGAAGUCCAAAAAAUAUGUGAAUCAAUGGCAGCAUACUAGAAAACACAUGUAAUUCCCUGAGCAAAUUAUCUUACAAGUGAGAACAUGCAUUUGGAAAUGAGUCUGGCAUGUCGGGGAGAUCAGUUACAUUGCAUUGUAAUUUUACAUAAGGGGAAAACUGCAUAUGCAGGCUUUAAGGAGUCCUGGAGAUUAGUUCAAAAAGAGCUCCAGGACUUGCUAACUGUGUGCAGGUGUCUUUUUGAACUACAGUUUCUUCAGCUUAGAAGUGGAAUUGAGAGAAGCAACCUUGCAGACUGAGUAAGAACUGGGGGUAAGCCACUUGCAGGGCCUGGGGUCACUCCAGCCUCAAUAAUGGCACCAUUAAUGAGGUUAAUACUAUCAGAAUAUCUGAACGUAGCUCAUAGAAUGCUUUAUGUACCUUCUUGCUCUCUUGCUCAUAUAGCUGUAUUAUUGGAUAUCAACUCUUACAUUAUAGAAACAAAUAGAUAUGUGAAGAGGUUUCUUGAAAAGUUUUUUAAAAGGACCAGACCCAACUAUUAACUGCUUAAAAGUUUGUUGCAAAGAUGUCAAGGUUGUUAAAGAAAAACACUGAAAACAACGAUCAGGUUGGAAGAUCUUUAGAGAUAGUUGAAUUGUUCAUAGCAAAUCCAACCAGGAGGGCUUGAGGUGUCUGUUCAGAAAGAAAGCUCACACACUGAAUUGUCCCAUUAUUUGAGGAAAGAACUGCAAUCCACAAAGUUCAUAAACAUAACUCACACAGUUUGCAAUUUCAGUUUACCUGAAGAGUUUUUGGUUUACCCAAAAAAGAUAGGGAGGGGGCAAUGAUGAAAUUUGAAAGCUGUAACAGAACUCCUCCUCUCUUACUAUUGGGUUAGAGUUUAGCCCAACUUCUCUGGACCACAAAAAUGCAACUGAUCAUUAUUUUAGGUAAUUCUGAUAUUUUGCCACGCAUGGGAGCUUUUAGUGUUGCACUAUGUUAUCAGAAGGAGUUAAGGUUUCUUAAUUCACAGAAAUACUUUUACUGGCUCCAACAGUAUCACAACAUUUCCUUCAGAUAGAUCAUUAAGAUUGCAGGCCUGAAGGGUUCCUGGAAUUCAUAGCACUGCAUCCAUGUCUUUUCCGUCUUUGCUAUGUGAAUGAACCUGAUAUCAACAGGCUUCCUCAAGACCUCCUUGAACUGCAAUGGGCUGGGUCAGACUAUCUGCGUUUAUUUUGGAACACAAAAUAAAUCAGGAAUCAGCUGUAUAAUGCAUCAGUUGCAGUGCCUGGCUUAGGAUGUAAACUAAAACAACAACAACAACAACAACAACAAAACAAACAUUGAGUCAAAAUAUGGUUUAUAUUCAAAAUGUUAUUUUAUAUUACAUAUUAAUUGAAAGUAUUUUUGCUAUAGUUGAACUUUAAGAAGAAUUUUUAUGCUAUUUGUAUACUCUGAUUGUUAAAAAAAUUAUUGUAUAUGCAAGGUUUUCUCCUGAAUUUAGAUGUUAUCUGAAAUAAAUAGGAGUCGACAACUUACUAUCUGGGAAACUUUAACAGAUAAAACAAUCUCAUAUCAUCUCAAUUUUCUGGAUAUUUUGGAUCAAAGCGUUGGCUUCUAAAGGCUUGAGAAAUCUGUUUAAUUGCUUCCAUUCAUCAUUUCAAUUAGCUUAUGUAAGUGCUUCAAAAAACUUAAUUUACUUACCGAGCUGAAAUGUAAGGUUUUCUUCUGUACGGAUUAUUCAUUUGGUGAAAACGUGCAGCAGGAAAGCAUUCCAUUGCUCAGCCCUUUUGUGCAUGGUGCUCCUACUUCUCUCAGUGGGUUUGCAUUCUCACCGUUGCUCAUACAUUUGCUGGGAUAAAUACCUACGAACAUGCAGUCCAUGAAAUUCCCAUUCUGUAGGUCCUGAUCUGUCUGCAUCAUUCUAAGGGUACUAUCUGAAGGAGUUUGAAGGUAGUGUUAUCUCAUUGGUUUUAAUAAGACCAUUGAUUUGAUCACAUAAAUGUUCACUCCCUGGCUUGGGUUAGAUUUGGGGGGGCAUCAGACAGAAGUAUAGGAUUGUUUUAUUCCUUUACUACUUUCCAUGCCUUUUGGGUGAUAGAACUUGGCCACUAGAAUGGAGUCCAGAAUGGUAGUGGCAUCACCAGACUAAGAACACAAAGGAGGGAACACUAACUAAGACAGACUUGUAAGAAUUUCACCCCAUUCCAGCUGGAGGUUUGUACAAUCCGUAAAUCAUGUAUUCCAUAUUAAUGAUUAUCUAUAAAUCCUGUUGCUUUUUGGGUCUCCCCUUGUUAUUUGGAAUAAAGUGGCUCCACUUAGGUCUGUUCUUAAGGGUUAAUGCAUCUAGUGUUGUUUAAGUGCAUAUUUGAUCUGAUUUCUCUUCAGUGAUUCCCUGUCACAUACAACCUUUCCUAACUGUGUUCCAUGAAGCACUUAGCUAGUAAGUAAGUUUACUCACAUGUUCAGGCAAAUAUUACUCAAAAAUUAUUCAGUUACACAAUGCUAGGUAAAAUCAAAGUUGGGAAUGAUUCUUUUUGCUUGAUAUUUGAAACUAUCAAUAUAAUGGUAAGAGUUGUGACCUCUCGGGGGUGAGUGAUAGUAUUUUUUUUUUUUUUAUCAAAGAGCAUCUUCUUAGAUUGGUACUCCAUGACACACACCUUGGGCUUUAUGAUAAAGCUAUAAUUCCUUUGCAUGUCAUACAAGGCCAUUGCCUAGCUUUGGAAAUUCACCUUCUGCCAUUCUCAUUCUUUGUACAAUGCAUAUUAGCCGUAGCAAACUGCUUCACCUUUCUCCAGGAUACCACCCUGCCGAUUGACCACAGGAUGUUUCCAUCUUGCUGGAUUCUUCUUCUUCCCUCUGACACCCAAGCCAACUUGUAUUCACCCUUUAAGACACAACACAAGGCAUCCCUGCCUCUGAGACGUCUUCUCUGACAACGCCUAACAGCACUCAGCCCUCAACAUCUUUAAUGCAUGGAAUAUUCACCUACUGAACUUAAAGGCAGUUUUGAGUGCUGUUAUCUCCGGGUCCUUACCCCAGGGUUUGGUCAUUCAUUGCUUCCAUGGAUCUCUUUCUUACACAAUCUUAACUCUUCUUAAUAUUUGCAUUCCUAAUGCACACCAGAGUAGGCUGUACAGAGUAGGGGAAAAGUGUGAAGUGGCCAAAUGUACAGCCCUUGAAUGUCCUUAAUGUGUUGUGCUGUGAUCCUUGAGGUUACAUUUUUAUGCUUUUAACUAUAUGAAUUUUUUUUUUUUACCCAAUAUUGUAUAGAGGGAAAGCAGGAAGUCAGGAGAUCUAAGAUCUCUCAUUUUUCUAAUUAAUUUGGAACAUGCGUCUAACUUCAAUGAGCCUCAGCUUACUUAUCCAUAAAAUAAGGCUGAAACAAUCUGCGGGGCAAUUUCCAGCUCUCAAAUUCUGUGAGACUAAACCAUCUUUGCAGAUGCUCUUUAGGUAAUGAGUUGAUUUACAAGUGAACUAAGGGAGACUUGAAAAUCCUUUCCUUCUUCACUUUUCUGCCCUUAAAUCUGAUUGGUCCCACAUCCUUUCUUGACCCCACUUUUUGAUCCUUAAAAUGCAGUAGGAUAUUGAUGCCAGGGUUUUCGUUAGACUUUGUAAUUUAAGAAGCAGAAAAUCUGGUUACAUUUUCAGAAAACAACUGCGAAGAUUUUUGUUUUUAUAUUUUUUUAAGUCUUACUCAAGCUUUUCAAAACAGUCAUUUUUCUGGUUCUUAGCAUCGCCCUCAGACAGUUUUACUGAAAAUAUUUGAUAGAGAUGGAAAACCCCCCUACCUAGUGAAAUGUUUCAUCUUCCAUGAUUUGCCCCGCGAGAGCUCAUCUUUGUGUUAGGAAGGCUUCUUGCUCAUGGCUCCAGUUACAGGAGCUGGACCACAGGUCACCGUGCUGCAGGGCACUGCUCUUCACGAGGGGCCGGCCAAAGAAAACAAAGCAAGCAAAGAUGAAACGAAUGCUUUUCAAGGAGGAAAGAGCUCGUGAACUGGCCCCCAAGAAAAUGUUCCACAUGAUAAAUCCUGACUGCAGUGGAAGCAGUUUACCAUGGAGUGUUCUACCUGGGAAAUCUCUGCUCCAGCUUCUCACAGCUGCCAUUUUAUAUUCUUUUAUUGCAAAGCCACAAAUUAAAUAUGGUCCCCAACUGUAAAAGCAGAACCUGUUAAUGCAGAUGUUAAGUGCUUGUGGUAAACAUGAAAAUACAAAGGGCCUCUUUCUUGUUGGUUAAAUCAUCAUCAUUUUCAUUAUAUCAUCAAUAGAUAAGAUUCUGGCUCAUCAGUAGCAUGAGUAGCGUGUUGUUGUUUUUGAGGUAAAGAAAUCAUGAUGAAAUAUAGUUACUGUCCUCAAGAAAUUUCUGGACAGGACAGAGAUUGAAUGUGUCAAUAGAUGUUUUAAUAGGUGUGAGAUUUAAUGCUCAUCCGUUUCUCAGUGAAAUCUUUUUUAGUUUAGGGAGUGUGCGCGCGCGCGCGCGUGUGUGUGUGUGUGUGUGUAGCAACACUUAGCAUGAGAUCUCUCCUCUUAAAAUUUUAAAUGUACAAUAAAUACAGUAUUAUUAACUAUAGGUGCUAUGUUAUACAGCAGAUCUUUAGAACUUAAUCAUAUUGCACAGUUGAAACUUUAUAUCCUUUGGAUAACAACACCCCAUUUUCCCUCUCCCUGCCCCUUGGCAACCCUCUUUUCUGCUAUGUGUUGUACUAUUCCAGAUAAUCUCAUCUAAGUGAAAUAAUACAGUAUUUGUCCUUCUGUGACUGGCUUAUCUCAUUUAGCAUAAUACCCUCAAGGUUCAUCCCAGUUAUCCUUGGCUGGAUAAUAUUCUAUCAUAUGUAUAUACCACAUUUUCUUUGUCAGUUUAUCUGAGAAAUACAAAUUCAAACCAUGAUGAGAUAUCGCUUCACACCUGUUAGGAUGGCUAUCAUUAAAAACAACAAUAACAACACAAAGAUAACAAGUGUUGGUGAGCACAUGGAGAAAUUGGAACCCUUGUCCACUGUUGGUGGGAAUGGAAAAUGGAAAACAGUAUGGAAGUUCCUCAGAAAAUUAAAAAUUGAACUACCCUAUGAUCAAGCAAGUCCACUUCUGGAUAUGUAUCCAAAAGAGUUGAAAUCAGAAUCUUGAAGAGGUAUCUACACCCCUGUGUUCACUGUGGCAUUAUUCACAAUGGCCAAAUUAUGGAGACAGCUUAGUUUAGGGUGAAUUUUAUUUAGAGUUAUCAAAAUCAGAAACAAAAUACUUUAGUAUAAUAGCAUGUCUUGCACAUAUAUCUCAAGCUACCAUGUGGAUUUGGUUUCUGAACUACCACACUUACCAACCUUUUUUUUAAAUGCCAACACCAGGGGAGAAAGAAAAAGACAGUGGCAAAUCCUGAACUUUGACUCCUCUUCCAGUCUGAUUAUGUCCUGGAGAUCCCCUUUCUCUUUAGCUUCAUGUCCUAAGAAAGGAGAUAACAUGGAGGACCCCAAACACCUGGAACAUUAAGUGUGACAAUCUCUCUGUAGUGUUGGAGUAAAACUGGAAUACCUCAACGUCGUCUCCCUUCCAGUCUUCUGCCUCCUGCAGGGGAGAUGAAGCUGUCCUCCUGCUUCCACUGACAGCUUCGCCUAGUUGGCUGAGGGAGGCUGAAGGGAUAUACAUCACAUUACAGCCUUCUCCCUGCCAAGUUGUACUUAGUUUCAGCAAUGUAUGUGAAAACCUCCAAAGCAAACACAGAGAGAGGAAAUCAAAAUUAAAUUAAUCCCCUCCAAGGAUAAAUAAAACAUGGAUGCAUUGCUCUUGAGCUUACGGGAUGGAAAUCAGAAAGACUUUGCUUGGGUUUCCAUGAUACCAGUGUUCAGAUUCCUGAUUCUUAGCCCAGAAAAGAGGAGAGAUACAGACUUACCAAGGCUCCUUACUAAUGUCUGUAUAUGGAAGAAGAUAUGCCUCAGUUGUUAAUAUUUAUAGACAUCUUCAAGAUGGUGUAUGUGACUUAGCAACAGAAAAUCAUCCUUAAAACCAGCCAGUGUGUCUUGAGAGGAAAGAAAUCAUGCUCUUUCUUUGAACAUAUUAGAUGUCAAAGAACAAAAUAUCACAUAAUUUCAGACAGAUACAAGUGGCUUUGAACUUCUAGUCCUCAUUUUUACCAGUUGAGAUAAUUUGGGUGGGGUAGAGUUCUCUACUUUUCUUCAGACUCUGUGUUACCACACAGCUAAAAAUUCUAUUGCCUCUUCAAUUUUGUUGACUACCUAAAUGAUUUUGACUAACCCCUUGACUCUGGCCCUCUGACCAACCUCGGAAAGGCAGCUACAGAAAAAAUACCACCAGCUACUAAUCCGCUUACAAAUGAUGAGUGAUUUUGGACCAGAUGAAUUGAAAAUUUUGGUUAUUUUUUUCAUCAUUUCUUAACUAGAUGACGAGUCCAAUGGAAAACCUCACCUGGUUUUUCUAAAUACUGAUAAACUACCCUAUGUGUUGAAACCUAACUUAACAGUUGAAUGGACUAUUAUGGACUGUGCUUUAGCCAGCAUACUGUGGUGCUUCUUAAUAUCCCUAUUUUAGAUGUGAUUACAGUUCUUAAUUAUUGUUUUCCAGUUUGGUUUUUGAAUAGGGUACACACCAUUCUGGUAACUAUGCCAGGAAACUGUCUAUAUGUUAAUUAAGAUUGGAAAAUAUAAGCUCGUCUAAGAUACUGCAUUGAUUUUACUUUUUUCUUUUCCAGAAUACUGGCCUUUUCAUAUUUAGAUACAAAAGCUAAAAUGUAUUUCAUGAAUAUAAUUGUGGAAAGUUACAUUUUUUUUUUCUUAAAAAGAACAGUAAAUAUCCAAGUGCCAAUAUCGAGUGGAUACCUGAGUGUCUAAUGAAUUUUGAGAUGGUAAAGUCUUGCUGGCUGCCCUGUUUGGGGGGAAGUCUUAGAGGACCAUCCACUAUUCCAUAGAAUGAGAGUUAAUUAACCACAUCUAACAAUUCAGUCAUGAGGGAAAAAAUGAAAUGAUGGUAACACUGAAAAUGGAAUUAAAAAAAUAGACAUUUACACCAACUACAGGAUUGGGAGACAAAGGAACAGAGGUUUAUUUUUGUACAAUAAACAUAUGGCCAAAGCUCCUCAUUAAAUGAUGGAAGUAGCAGAAAGGUAGAUUAAUAGGUGUUACAGACAAGUUUUCAUUGAGCUUUUGCUUGUCUGUAGAACAAGUAUCCACAUUCACAGUUGAAUGGAAUUUUGUUCAGUGCUUUGGCUGCUCACUUCUGCAAACUACUGAAGCCACUGGGGUCAAAGCUGCUGCUACAUGAUGCCUUCAUGUGAUUUUGAAAAAGGUAAUUCCUCCUGAGACAUUGUCUCUCCAAUUAUUAGAAAGUUAUUCUAAAUAUUAAGUUGAUUCGAAAAUGAAUUCAUUGCCAGUUUUUUUUUGAAAAUUGUCUUAAUAAAUAAACACUCAUCUCUGGAGGUGAUGAAAGCAUAGUAAAAAAAAAAUAUAUAGCUAGAUGAGAAUUACGGUCUAUUAAAUAUGUUACCCUUGUGCAAUUCACAACCUAAACAACUAUACUAGGCAGCUAUUUCAGGGGAUAAUUACUCCAAGAGUCAAAAAUCGAUCUAGUUUUAUCUUCCUGUCCUAUAGUCAAAUAGAGAAGAAAGAACCAAGCUUAAAUAGAUCACAUGGUCUUUUAUUACAUUGUGUUUGGUUUUCAGUAGACUUCCAAUUAAUGUAUCCAAAGUAGGGAAGAACAAUUAUAAAAAUGAGAUGUCAGUUAGAAAUAAUUAGGCAGGUAAGUUGUGCUGAGUAAAUGCUUGUUAAAGACCACAGACAUUAUAAAUGUGAGCAAGUUUCAGUCUUUGUCAAUGAUAUUUAUCUAAACGUGUAGAUUUCUGAAAAUGUAUUGAUGUUCUGUUAGUUCAGUUUACUGAAUUUUACUAAUUGCUUAUUAGGUACUUUGAUAUUGUGCUGAAUGCAUUCUAUGUAAUAUCUUAGUGAGUGGUUGCAAUAAUUCCGUGAGAGGUAUUGUUUUAGUUAUUCCUAUCAUCUAAAUGAAAAAAUUAAGGCUUCGAGUAAAGUAGACACCCUACCCUAUGUGGGACUCCAAAGUCCAUGCCCUUAAUGACAAUGGAAAUGAAAAAGCAAUGAUAAAUAGUGUUCUUAUAUGCUACAAAGAAUCAGCUGGGAAAAUAUAUUAUUAAAAGAUGCAAACAGGCCCCUGGGUGGCUCAGUUGGUUAAGCCUCCAACUCUUGGUUUCUGCUCAUGUCAUGAUCUCAGGGUUGUGGGAUCAAGCCCCACAUUGGGGUCUGUGCUCAGUGUGGAGUUUGCUUGGGAUUCUCUCUCUCCCUCUGCCCCUCCUCCUGUGCAUGUGCACGCACUCUCUCUCUCUCUCCCCCUAAGAUAAAGAAAUUAAAAAAAAAAUAAAAGAUGCAAACAAACAGGUACACGUAACAUUUAGGAAAAAAUCUGUUGAGAAAUACAGGGAUCAAGGUGAAGAACAUGACAAACCUGGUAGGAACAUAAAUUGGUACAGACUUUCUGGAGGAUAAUUUGACAAUUUGUGUCAAACCUUUAGAGAAAGUCAUGUUCUCAAAUUCAUAAAUUUCAAUACGACAAAUUCAUCCAAAAGAUGUAAUUAAAGAGAUAGCAAAGAUUUCUCUAAGGUUUAUUCACUUUAGCAUUGCUUCUGCUAACAACAUUUGAAAUAACAAAUAUCCAUCAAUAAAAGAUUUUAUGAAUAAAGUAUAUUGAUACACAGGUUUACAAAUGAUGUUGUAGAAGAAACUUUCUAUCAGAAAUGUUCUUAACUUGUGGUAUAUAUAUACAAUGGAAUAUUAUGCAGCCAUCAAGAAAGGGAAAUCUUGCCAUUUGCAAUGGUGUGGAUGGAACUAGAGGGUAUUAUGCUAAGCGAAAUAAGUCAAUCAGAGAAAGACAUGUAUCAUAUGAUCUCACUGAUAUGAGGAAUUCUUAGUCUCAGGAAACAAACUGAGGGUUGCUGGAGUGGUGGGGGAUGGGAAGGAGGGGGUGCCUGGGUGAUGGACAUUGGGGAGGGUAUGUUCUAUGGUGAGCACUGUGAAUUGUGUAAGACUGAUGAAUCACAGACCUGUACCUCUGAAACAAAUAAUACAUUAUAUGUUAAAAAAAAAAAAAGAGAGAGAAGAUAGUAGGAAGGGGAAAAUGAAGGGGGGGAAUCGAAAGGGUGUUAUGCACAAACAGUGAAUCAUGGAACACUACAUCAAAAACUAAUGAUGUGUAAUGCAUGAUGACUAACAUGAUAUAAUAAAAUAAAAUUUAAAAAAAUGUUCUUAACUUACUGAAAAAUAUUUAAUGGCAUUAUUGAAAGGGUGUCAUUACAAAUUUGUAAAAUUAAAUAGGUAUCUGUAUACUCACACACAUGCAGAGAAAAGACUUGACUUGUUUCUAUGAUCCUGUGAAUAGUAGUUACCAAUGGGUGGUGUGAUAAUGGGUGAUUUUUCUUCCUUUCCAUUUUUGUGUAUUUCUUCUAUUUCCUAUAAUAAACUGUAUUGCUUUUAUAAUCAGAGAAAGACUUUAAAAAUAGGGUUUUCAUAUAACCAUUUAUCCUGUGAUUACACUUGAACCAAAUAUAAAGGUGAGUUAACAUGGUUUGGUUUUUGUGAUUAUCUCAGGCUUAUAUGUUCUCUUUGCCUUUGUUAGGAAGUAUAGGAGCCAGUAAUGUAACAGAAGGAAAAUGAAUUUUCUUGUUUUUUAAGGUAGGACAUAACUGUGCUGUCUAGGCAUGAUGAUUUCUCUCAAGGAAUAAGAAAUCUCUGGUUUGCUUCAUUGAGACUAGGUUUAUGUAAACACAGCAUGCCAGUCACCCAGAUAAUCCAGGUCUGCUCUAGUCAGAAUAUGCUGUUGUAACAAAAACACCUAAAAUAGCAGCGACUUAAUACAGUAAAAACUUACUGCUUCGUUAUGUCAUAGACCAUUGUGUCAUUUAGACAUCUGGGAACCCAGGCUUUGUUCAUCAUGAUCAACAUGUGGCCUCCAAAAUUGUCACAAAAUAAGGAGAGAUAAUAGUGAGGCUGCAAGGGAGUUUAUUGCCAGGUGUGAUGUGGCCUCUGUCACCUGUGUCCAUAUUCCAUUGGCCACAUUCCAUCACAUGACUUACUUGAGGUUAAUGCAAAGGAGGGCUGGAGAUGGACCUUACUGUGUAUUCAGGAGGGAAAUAAGACAGGUUGAGUGAAUAUAUGACAUGUCAUUACCACUUCCCAUACCACAUCCCAUACAAAAUUGAUCUUUAUCUUUAAUGACAGGGAAUGGCACGUUCAUACUUCAUCUUACUUUGGCAUCUAAAUAAAAUAUUGCUUUUAAGUUUUCUCUAAGGAGCUUCUUCAGUACUUUGUUUUUAGAGCACAUGGUUGUAAAACCUUUCCAUCCAGCUGAGAAGAUCCAAUUGUAUUUAUCAAGGAGUAGAUGAUGCCCAAGAACAUGAUAACAUAUUUCCUGGACAGAAUCCCUAGAUGGCUCUUGGUUAAGAGGAGAGCUAUUUAAUAACUGCAUGUUUGUGUAGGUUACAACUUAACUGAUGGAUACAGUCUGUUACCCCGCCUCCCAGCUUCAGAAGUGUUUAUGUCUGAUGGGAAACUCUUCAGCUUGUAUCAGACCCUGGAAAAACACUUUACUGUCUGAGAUUUUCUAUUUGUUUAAGAUGGCAGUAAAAGAAAUUUUGAGCAUAUGGAAUCCCCUGGUUUCAUUUUUCAGAUCUGGGGCUUUAGGCAAUGUCUGGUCAUCAUAAAUAAACUGUAGCCCUAAUUAUCUUUCCUGUAAUGUUUACAAAGGCCAAGGACAGGUUGUAAAUAGAAUAAGAGAGCAAAAUGAAAGGUGAAGGUAUUAUUGCUGAUAGUGCUUACUCAUUUGAAAUACAGGAAGUUUCUGUUUUAAAUGUAGAAUUAACUCCUGAUUCAGGAGCACUUAGAAGUAGACUUCGGAGCCCUUCAGCUUGUCUUUCAUUGUUCUCGAAGCCCUCACCUUGCAAGCAAUAGUUAUUUUUAAGUAACCAGCUAAAAGUGUGUCCAUAUAUAGUGUUGUACCAAGGUACUUUUGGGUAUAGUGGCUUUAUUCCAGAAUUGUAUGUGGUAGUGAGGCUGGGCUCACUACCCAGAGUUGAACAACUUCAGGGGACCACCUAACCCUGCCAGUUCACACCCUCUGUCAUCCUUGGGCUCUGCAAGAAUAAUUCCCACCUAAGGCUUCCUGUAAAACUGCAUCUGCCCCCGGGUCCCACGGCAGAGUCCCCCUUUAAGAAGAUAUAAAACAUGUGUCCUGGGACACCACAAAGAGGGUGGGAAUGUUAAUAUAUUUCAGAAGAAAAGAAAUUUCACAGCAAAGGGCCUCUUGAAGCAUAUUUAUAGAAGGACAGCCAUAACAAUGACAAGGAACAUACCCCCAUAAAAGCAUAAGCAGUGGGAGGCAUGGCUUCUAAGAGAGUUAAAUAGUUUAAGACCUAGAACAAUUUUCCUUCUUUUCAAUAAGGAUCCCAGUUAGAGCACAAACUCUUCGGCACAUAAUUUCUGAUGAUUUUCUUGAAGUCCAUCACUUCCUCCACUUUCCUCCUACAUGUUUGGACCCCUUCACUUCCUUAAACUGCCGUUUCCUUGUGUGGAAAACAAAGACCCUGUAGUGCCUCCCAAGGGCUAUCUACAUGGUAAAAUUUAAGAACACAAAGCCCUGUUAAAGUUUGAAGUGAUGAAAAGUUAAUAAAAAUAUUUUAAUAAUUCUCCCACAUUGAGAUAAGUUAGACAAUUUUCAAUAUAGUUCACAUUUUUUAAAAUUGAGAUAUAAUUGAGAUGUAACAUUAGAUUUGUUUCAGGUGCACAACAUAAUAAUUCUCAAUAUAUGCAUAUGAUAUAAAGUUAAAUCAUAGCAGGAUACCAUUAGUCCAUGCUGCCCACCCCCUCACUCAUCCUUCCUCUCCUCCAUCUAUUAAUUUCUCACAUAGUUGUUGUUGAGAUAGUGCUCAUAAAUCUUUGUACUAACUUAUGGGGCUGCAUGAAUGAAUAAGCAUAAGUACCUGCUCCCAGUGAAUUUAUGGUCUGGUAAGGAAGGCAAGGAAAUACUAUUAUAAUAUGAUACAUGCUAGGAGAGAGAUAUAUGCAAAAUAUUAUAGAGAGGAGGUACGUGGCUCAUCUACCUGGGUGGCUCUGGGUCAGGUAAUGGUGGCCGAUCUGGGUGUUGGAGGAUAAAUAGAAGGAUUCCAGCAGACAGAGAGAGAUUUUAAGAAAAAUAGUCAAUGAUGGGCCAACGUGCUGGGCAGAAGGAUGGCCCCAAAGACGUCCCCGUCCUAACCUCCAGAACCCUUGGUGUGUUAUCUUACAUGGCAAAGGGGAUUUAGCCGAUGUGGUUAUGGAUCUUGAGAUGAAAGAUUAUCCUGGAUUAUCUGAGCAGGACUGAUAGAAUCACUUGGGUCCUUAUAUACGAGGGUGGCAGAGGGUCGCAGUCUGAGAAAGAGACUUAAGGAAGGAGCAGUUGUCAGGAUUACAGAGAGACUGGAAGGUGCGAUGCUGCUGACUUUGCAGAUGGAAGAAGGAGCCACGAGCCAGUGCAUGCCAGUGGCCUCAAGAAGCUGAGUCAAGGCAAUGGGUUCUGCUCUAGAGCCUCCACCAAGAACCCGCCUCUGUCAACGCCUUGGUGUUAGCCCUGUAAGACCCAUUUUGGACUUCUAACCUCUGGAACUAGAAGAUAAAAUUGUGUUGCUUUAAGCCACUAAGUUUGUAGUUACUUGUUACAGCAGCAAUGGGAAAGGAAUACAUUUAAGUAGGAGCUCUGCCUCCGGCAAGAACUGUCUCUCCCUGGUGUCUCUGCACAGCGAGCUCACCACUGGCACGGGGUUUGUAUCUGUGGAGCAAACUGUGUGAAUGAGUGAGAAAGCAUGGCCUUUUGGGGAAAUUGCAGGUGGCCGUAGACUAACUGGGGCUGCUCAGCACAAACCAGAUCACAGGAAGGUGUUUGGAAAGUAUCUGGCAGCUGGAGGGAGCCCUUGGAAGGACUGCCAAUGAGGAAUGCUAGAACAUUUCUUUUUCUCAGCCCAUGAACAUGUUUCAAAAGAUUUUUUUUUUUAUUUUGUGGAAUAAAGAGAAUAUUGAUAAUAUGGGUUGAAGAAAUCAGCCAGAGAUGGAAGAAGAACACUUGAUUAGAAGGAAUGGACUGUAGUUUUCCCCAUGCCCGGACAAGCUAUGUAACCUCAGGCAAGUCAGUUCCUUUCUGUGGUGCUCAGGGUCCUUGUUGUGCAGAUAAGGGCGCUGCAUGAGAUGAACUCACAUCCUCCCCAGCCCUAACAUUCUGUCCUUUAGUGUUGAUGUCACGCUGUUUGUGAAACAGCAUCUGUGUGUAGAAAUCACAAAGCUGUACACCAUGUGGACGCAGGACUAUCUUGUUCACUGCAGUGUCUGACCCUUUGCUCACAGCAUGGUGCCUGCAAGAGUGAGUGUUGGAGAAUGAAUAAGCACAGUGACUUGCGUGCUUCCUAGAAAGUUAAAAAGGAGCAGGAAGAUCCUUCUGCUCCCAAACACAUUAUAUUGACAACAUAAUAAAUGUGUUAAAUUCAUAGUGUAUUAAAUUUAUAAUUAUUACAAUGUGAUAUCAACAAAUAUGUGAUUGUGAACACAGAAAUGGCCACUAUACUGUUGUUGGAGAGAAAAUUGACUAAAUUCUUUCCUAUUUGUAGGGCUAAAUAUCUUUCUGAAUAAAGAGAUUUUUCUUUUCCUGGUUUUGUUUUUUUGUAAGAUCCUGCCUUACCCAACACUCUACCAGGUAGUAGCAUCAGUCCAGGCAGGAGUAGAUAUUCCACAACAACAAAAAAGCCUUACUUGUGAGUAUGAACAAAUAAUAAAAAUCACAAAUGCACUUGGGGAAAUCAUUUUCAAAUUUUUAAUUAUGUUCAUCAUGUAAAUAUAAGCUGGGAUGCAGUUUUGCAUGUGACAUGAAGUACCUAAAAUGUACAAAUGCAUCAGGCCUCUGCUUUCUGGAUUUGGAUACAGGGAGGUUAAGAAAAGUAUUUGGAAGCAGCUGGAAGCAUUGCAGCUGAAUGGUGGUGGUGGUGGAUGGUGGUUCUCAAGAUGAAAUUAGGGAGGACAAAAUCAUAGACAGCAUCUCCAAGCACACAGUGGGAAUGACUUUACCCUGAAGGCCUGGGGUGAAUAUUUCAGGGGAAAUGAUUGGUAUCUAGUAUAGUUCAGAUGCCAGGAAGAAAUAUAUGUGGGGGAUAGGAGAAUAUUCCAUUCAUUUCUUCAGUGCUGGCAAGAUAUAGGCUGGAUGUUUUUGGAAGGCUACAGAGCAAAGUGCGGGCUCUUAAGACUGUCAUACCAAGGUUAAAAUCCCAACUCUGUUAUUGGCCAUACUUAUGACCUUGGCCACUUCACUUUACUGCUCUGUGCCUUCGUGUCUUCAUCUAACCUAGGGUGACAAUGCCUUCUUCACAUGUUGUUCCCAGAAUUCAAUGAAAGAAUAUGUGUAUAGAGCUUAGCGCUAUGCCUGACACAACGGAAACACUCAAUACACUCAGUAAAUGUUGUUAUUAUCAUAGCAUAUUCUGCUUUAGACCUUACAGUGUCUUAUCAUGAUCUCAUCUUAAAUCUGAAGCCACUGACCACCAGGUUAGGCAGCUGAGAAUAGAGCAGAUGUGCAAAUACACAAAACCAUACCAGGAAAAAAAAAAGUUUUUAACAAUGGUCUCUUGGUCUCUUCACUAGAGAACAGUGACCAGAUGGUGUGUGGUUUUUUAGGAACGCCCUUACAAGGGGGUGAUGGACUCUGUGUAACAAAACAUAGUAUUGGACACUAGUUCCAGAUGCAUCCAAUUAGCUGUCUGAAUGGCUUUGUUGACUGGGUCAUUCCAAGUACUUUUAAAACCUGGGCAAUUUCACAGAGACUUGUCCUGCACCUGAUGUGCAGGUGAGAUAAAUUUCGUUGAGGUCCCUCAAGAGCAUAAAGAACCAAGUUUAUCUUUUUGUUAUGUUGUCCAUUGCACACUCAGACUUAGAAAGCCCCCCCCCCCAAAAAAAAGAAAGCCCCAUGGUGGACAGAGCCAGUACAUUUUACAUAAUGAACUGUUUGAUAAAUUUGACAGUAUUUGAAUUAUCUUCUAUGAGCACAGUGAAUAGGCUGAUACCAAACCCAACAACACCUCCACGGUCCCUCUAUCUGAACCACCCCAUCUUGUUGGAAGCUCUAUUAUUUGAGUUAGGGGGUCUUGUUCCUCCUUCACUUGUGUGCUUUUUCUUUGUCAACCACUCCCUUUGUAGCAGUGAACAAAGUAUAUUGACCUCUAGGGAUAUUAUUUUAAUUGCUGCAUUUUAUCCAAGACUUAAACAUACAGAAUUACAAAAACCCCAAUUUGUAUCAUUUUCAAUGUAAUUUAGAAGGUGAAAUUGACUUUUUUGGACAUGUAUCUUUAGUUACUGGAUUUUUAAUAGCUUGGAAGUGCAGUGAUGCUUGAAAAUGUAAAUUUUUGGAAGGAAAAACUUUCGGAAAUUGUGACCUACUUAACUUUUAAUGGAUUGGACCAUUGAGCCAAGAAGCAUGGUGACCACCCACUGGGCUUUAAACAUGGUGUCAUGAUUGUCAGACUCCAGUUCUAACUAAAUGAAGACAGUCUCUAUUUGAGCCAGAGAAAUUCUAGAAUCAUCACUUGGAUUUAGUGUCUAUGUAGUAUACCAAGUAAGCCUAUCCUUAUGUCUGAACUCAAAGUCUGGCAGCUUGUGUAACUCACAUGUUUGUUGAAUGAAUUAGAAUACCACACUAUCUACUUCCAUGAUAAAAUUCUCUCCUGACUCCAUUAAAAGCAUACAAGUGAAAGCAUUAGAGGGAAUCACACUCCCAAGGCCACCCUGGAUUAGAAUAGGUGACUGUAAUAAUAACAAAACCCCUUUACAGGAAACCCUAUAUUUGGAAAAUCAUCAGCAAUAAAUCCACAUGGCUGAUUAGAAUUCAAAAGCUCUGAAAUAUAACUACCGCCUUUUCCUUUUCAGACUUCUGAGCUUAACUCCUGCUCUCCUGGUUUCAUUCUUAGUGGAUCCAAAUUGUGGCAGCAGAAAAAGACAUUCAGAGACCAGAAGCCUGGCAUGGGAGCAGCCAGAGCUCAUUCCCCACUUAGAGCUGCCCCCUGUUCUUCUCCUACCUUCACUCUCCGUGAGAGAGGCCUGCAGGUGUUUGUUUUUACUAAUUAGUACUAAUUCUAAAUGCAUUUAAUGCAGUGUGAUGGAUAAUCAUUUCACAGAACUAUAGGACCUUCUGUUUUUGUUGUGAUAGAGAUAUCAUUGACCUGGGGUAGCGGUUCUUAACUGGUGUGGCACCACUCUCGAGGCAGCGUUUGGGUCAAAGUUGUGAACAUGCAUUUGGUUAUCAUAACGAUUGGAGGAGAGCUCCUGGAGUUCAGGUUGAGAAGAACAGGGACACUAGUGACCUGCAAUGCAUAGGAUAGUCAUGCACGACCAAGACAAUGAAGAAACGUUUGUGAGUUUUUUGGACAUUCAUGUAGGUGAAAAAAAUUGUUAGUAAUUAUUUGGGUCUAGGAUCUAACUCCCGUGUCUUUGUAAACAUGCAAUUUUCUAUUUUGUGUGUAUGUGUGUGUGUGUGUGCAGAAUAUAUGUGUAUUGAAUUUUCUAAGAAUGAAACUACCUGGACAUUGAGGGAGGGUUGGACUCUGAUUCAGAACUUUCCCAGGAGCUGCUCACCAUUUUAGGCACUCCAUCCCAAUGGCCCUGCAGCUUGAGGCAUGGCAGGCACCGAGUCCUCACACUUGUCCUUGCAUUUGUAGCUGUAGUUGCUGCUCCAGAAGUGGAGGGUUCUCAUCCUUGGCACUGCUGACCUUUUGGUCUACAUGAUUCUUCUCUGUGGGGCCGUUCUGUGCAUUGUAGGAUGUUUCCCAGCAUCCCUGGUCUCUACCCUCUAGAUGCCAGUUACACACCUCCCAUGUGACAACCUAGAAUACCUCUAGACAUUGCCAGCUGUCCCUGGGGAUGGGGAUUAUGUGCAGAACUGCCUCUGGCUGAGAGCCACUGGUGGGAACCAAUAGUUUUCUGCCCUUUGCGCUCUCCUCAUUGUGAAGGAAAAUCAUUUUUAAAAAAUAUUUUUAAACGGAUGAGCUAAGUAAGGAGGCAUUUCUUUUGAAAGGAAGCGUUGCUUUCCAACUUUCAAAUUAUAUAAUUACUUUAAAUAAUCAGCUUUGUGGGUGUAAUCAAAGCCCAACUCAAUUAAAAUAAAUUUAGUAAUAAUACACAGCUAAGAAUCUGUCCCUCCAAUCAGUGCUUAGAAUAAAUAUACUUUGUUCUUCAAAUUUGACCGGAUGAUACUGAGGGAGUGAAGGCCAUCCUGAGGAGCUACUGCUGGGUCCCUUGAACAUGGGCGCUGUGGGAGCUCUGACUACCACUAUAAUUGUAGGAAGAGGAGAAGAGUUUGGAGGAGAAUGGGUUUUCUGUGCAUGGAGUGUUAGCAGAGUGUCUGCGGUUAUUGGCCCGCUUCUAGAACUUAAGGGAAAGGAUGCCUCGUCUUUAUUUAGAAUACUCGAUUUUAAUUUUUCAAAAGUGGGACAUUUCCUGUGGGCAACAUGCCCUUCUCCAUCCUUCCCCUUAUCAAAUUUUCCUAGCUACUCAUGUCACCCUUUUCCUGCACUGGGUCCCCACGAUGAUGGUAUAGGGGGACAAUGGGCCUCUAUUAUUAUCUGUAUGGAGCCUCUGGGAUGCACACCACCCUUUUGGUGCAGGUUUUCCCAACCACCUUUCUUCAGGACAUCAUACAGCAGACACACCAAGGGUUAGCCCAGCAUCAGGUGGAAUGACUCACUGGGGAGCAUCAUCAAGUGGCAGUAUUUGUUUCUACAGGGAAAUUCAUAAAUCCACUUGAUGUUUUCUGUAGCUGUAACCAACGGGGAGGACUGACUAAUUUCCAUAUUCUGGCCCUUUUCAUGUAAAGUUCUAAACAUCCUUAUUCCAGUUGUUUCUCUAAGGCCAGUGAAUCUGGCCUCCCUAAAAUGCUAAACCUGCUGGUGUUCUGUUCCUUCUUCUGUCAUCCUGUUCCUGUUGUAAGCAGCCCACGGCAUUUGGUCUCCUCUGGUGGGUUUGCCUGUUCUUUUGGACGUUACUUCAACCCCGGAAGCACCAGGAGGCCCUAGGUUCUGCUCAUUACGUUUCAGCAGUGGAAAUUUCGCUUUGCCCACUGUCUUCCUUUGAGCAUAUUUAAGCUCCAAGCACUGUCAAGCAGGGGAGAUGAGCUCUUUGAGGCUAGCUGUGUUAGGAUUUACAUCUGAGUUUUAAGUUCUCUGACAGGUGUGUUUGUUGGUUUAACUCUCUUGGAAUGAUCCAGGGAAACCUAAAGAAUUCCUUAUCAUUCCAUAAUCAUCUGAGAUGAAGUCAGCGGAGACAAGGGAAGUCUUAGAAGCCAAUGGCAUCUUCAAGGAGGAAGCAGAUGCGGCGGGAUUCCCCACACCGUUGAGUUUGGAUUAUAAAAGCAGUGUUCAUUGAAAGAUGGGAGGCUUGGGUUUCUGGCAAACAGCUGUGAGCCCAUGAGGCUGAUGUGAGAUUGGGUAGGACUUGUGUUCUGGAAGUGUGUGCCGCAGCUCUGGCAGAGGUGGUGCCGCCCAGGUCAGCGGGAGCCCCAGGGCAUUCGAAUGCAAGGAAGGGCAUGGGCCCUGGGGUUAGGGUGUCUAGAUUGGAAUCCUGGGUUUUUUUCCCUUUCGUUAGAGAACCUACAAAAUACUUCUUUCUGUGCCUCAGUUUCGGCAUAGAAUGAAGAUAAUAGAAGUACUUCCUCCACGGAGAUAAGAAUUAACUGCGUUAAUACGUUUAACGUACUUAGAACCCUGUCUGGUGCCCAGUAAUUGUAAAUGUUACCACUUGUUAUUAGCAAGAAAUGGCGAACCGCACUGUAAGGAGUGUAUCUUUCCCAUCAAGCGGACUUCCCCAUUUCCCAUUCUCCCCACUUAUAUACCAACUUCUGCAAAGGACCUCAGCCCAUUGUUUAUCUCCCUGUGCUAUUUUUAAAGAGCCAUCCUUUCAGUAGGUUUCCUUACCUCUCCAUGUCUCUCUCUCCGAUAAAUAUCCUGGCGUCGUGAAACACAUUCUUCUCUACUCUUGGGGUUAACUGGGGUAGCUAGUUAAGUCUCUGACCCCCUCUUCUUCUGAUAGCAGACUUUUACCCCUGGCCUGAGAACUGGGGACCUGAUCCAGGCCUAACCAAAAGGACCGGUCUGCUGCAAAGGGAGAUGUUCUUGGUCUGUGCAUGUGACGUCAGGUGGUCAGAGCCCUUCUAGCAUUUGCUGUACACACGUUAGGCUAAGCACGUGUUCUCUUUCUGCUGGAGCUGUGCUAAGUUGGUGGCGCCUGUCAGCGGGAAGAGCAAGUAAGGCUGACAGCAGGCUUGAGAACAGGCAAAGAAUGGGGGGUGGGGGGGUGGGGGGUUCUGUGUGAAUGCCCAGCUCCUCCCUCCAUUCUGUCACUCACCACCCUUCUUCCCAAGAGCCCAUGCAUUCCCUUCUAGCUUAGUCAUGUUUGAGCUGCACCACAGUCCACUGAACGAAUCCGAGUGCCAGAACUCAAAAACAGAAACAAAAACAAAACAAAACAAAACCAAAAAACAGCAACCGACAGAGCUAACAAGCUCUACGAGGACUGGGCAGUGAUCAUGUCUUCUGCAUCUUUAUGACGCCAGGGCCUCGUCAAGCUCCUGAGGCCCUGGGAGAAGCAGAACUCCAAGACUCACUUCUUGUGGGGCUUACAUUGGGAAAACACUGGGACCAGAAAGUGUCUCCUUGUCUCCUAUGAGAAGGGCCUCCUGGGGUUUUCACCUGGAACCGGUCAGUAGCAGUGGAUGCCACCAAGGGUGGGACUUCCUGGCAGCCCUAAGCCAUUUGGUCAUUGUCCCCUUCUCUUACUCCCACAGAUCUGAAUUCCCUUGGUGCCUGGAAGGCUCUUUUCCUUUGGGGAGUAUCAGAUGGGAUACAUAUCCCCUUAUUCCCCAGGUUCCUUUUCUCUUGCUGUUUAAAAAGAUCCCUCCCUGGGGCAUCUGCGUGGCUCAGUAGGUUAAGCAUCUGCCUUUGGCCCAGAUCAUGAUCUUGGGGUCUUGGGGUUGGGCCCCGCCGUGGGCUCCCGGCUCAACUGGGGAUCAGCUUCUCCUCUCUCUCUGCCCCCCCCAACUUGUGUUCUCUCUCACUCUCUAUCUCAAAUAAAUAAAUAAAAUCUUUUUAAAAAAAUGACCCUCCCUUUGGUUAUGUCGAAGCCUUCUUUGUAUUUGUCAUAAACCUUCACACCUUUCUUUCAUUUUAGCCUCACAUAACUAGCAACACAGUGGGACCGUUUUUAACCCUAGUGCUAACACAGAUGGGACACGGAUGCCCAGAGUCUCUCAGUGGGGCGAUCCUGGGUUAAAUGCCUGGCUUCCUUCUGUCCCCAGCCUGACAUAGGCAUGGGGGUAAGGACAGUGCGGAGGUAGGAGUGGCCCAAGAAGACAGCAUGCAUUUAAAUGCCCUGUCCGCUUUAUGUAUUUUACUAGAAAGUGUUUUAAGACUUUAAAUAGACUUUAUAGGUCAGCUUCUAGGAGCCCAAGAGAUCAUCAUUUCCCAAAUAGCUGCAGCCUGCCCUCGAAGAGUAGAUCUGGGACAAAGGAAUACAAGCCAAGCAUCCUCUGUCAUUUUGACACCUUUAUUAACGGACCAUGGUAAGGAAUGAAAUAACAUAUUCAUACAUGUUUUAGCUAAGCCUGGAAUAUACAUUUUUAAGGCAGAAGGAGGAGAAGGAGUUGAGUGGGGGAAAAAAAAAAAAACGCUAAAGGGAACCAAAAAAAAAAAAAAAAAAAAAUCUGGAUGGACUUUACAACCAUAAAUGGUAAAACUAACCCUGUUCCCCUGCCAGCUACAAGAACAGCCGAGUAAGGUUUUGAUUUACAGGAACAGCUCAGCAAGGGCCUUGUAGAGAGCUUCAUGCCUGCUAUAAAAAUGUGAUUAGCUAUAAAACAGGCAGAUUUAACAAGAGAAUUUAAGCAUAGGCAACAGACCUGCUCAAAAGUAAACAAAAACAGCAAUUGCUGCCUAUGCGUCUAACUGGACUCCACAAAGGCCGUGAAGGAUGAGGAGAAUUCUUUUUCAGGCUUGUGAUACAGUUAAUAACUUUUCACUUUGACAGUCAAAAGAAAGGAAGAGGAGAGAUAACCUUGAGCAUUACUUUCAAAGACUUCAAUCUGCCUUUCAUCAGCAGUUCUUUCAUUGGACGCUUGCGUGGUCCUAAAGCAUGAAGAACAGUUUUCUGCUCAGAGCCUCCCUGAGACGGAGGCUGUGGGGGGAAGAGAAGGCAGGGAGAGCAUCCAGGGCCUUGGGAGGGGAGAGUGUUUAAAGCUGCGAGCUCCUCAGCCUCAGGACUCCCUGUAGCCCUUCCCCCGGCUGUAUGGCUACAAAGGUCUUUGGCCCAAGGCUCAAUCAUUUCCCAGUGAUGGUCCUUUUGAGAACAAGUGCUCCUCCUCAGUUAGUCUGAAGGGGUCCGAUGGUGGAGCAGGAUGGGAAUAUUUAGUGAAAAUACCGGCACAUCUAGGUCAGGCACGGGGGUGAUUUCUUCGUAAUUAAUCACAACAGCUGUGAUCUACGGAUUUCUCACUGUGUGUCCGUCACCGUGCAAAGUACUUGGUAUGGAUUAUCUCCGUGUCUCCCAAGAAACACUCUGAAGUAGGUUUUAUUGUCUCUGUUUCACAGAUGUGGAAACCCUAUUCAGAGAGAUUAUCACACAAUAUAUAAAAGUUAGAGCUGGGCUUCAACCUGGCCUGUCUGAAUCCCGAAAUGGAGCUGCUAACCCCGUUCCAGAAAAGUGAUGGUGCUAUGAAGGGCUCUCUUCUGCUGUUUCUGGCUGUUGUUUUCUCUCUCCUGAGGAAUACCAGGUCUGCUUCCAUUCUUGGCUGAAGCCUGAGUAAGAGCGGUGCAGAAACCCUUGGAAGGUCUCUUUCUUUGCCUAGACAGGCAUGCCUGCUGAGUCCUCAGUUCACACGGGAGGUUUGCUCAGCUGCUUUUUGCCCACCCCUGUCCUACGCGCCUGUCUUGCUUAUCCUCGUCUUCCUGAAUACGUUUGGCCCAAAACCAUUGGUGUCUGGGAGGGAAACCCUGCUUUACUGGAACGCCUGUGGUGUGCUAUGGCUAACGGCAAUUCCAGGUUCUUCUGUCAUUCUGCUAAUACGUUUUACUACCCAGAGCUAAUGUAGGCCUAAUUUAGUAUUUUUAAACAUUAAAUGAUCAUUGGCGUGCAUUAAAGUUGUAGUUGUUUUUAUAGACAGCCAUUUUCUCUCCAUACCAUUAUACAUUGGACUUGAACAAGAGGAAAGGGGUGAUUUUGAAAUUGAAGGGUUUCUGGACACAUCCUAGAAUUUAAAAUAAAUAAAACCAUGAUGUGAUCUGGUUUUGUUCUCAAUUACUCUUUAGACUAUAAGUUGAACCUCCACCUCAAUUCUCAUUAAGACUAUCCUGUGUGGGCCCGUGUAUACAAACUCCAUCUUAUAAUCAUACCGUGCAACCAUCUCCAGUUUCAUUAGGAUAUUGCUUAUUACAAGUUUUCACCACUACUGGUAUUUUGAAGGAGCCUUCUAUUACAUGAAUGCUCUAUCUACCUUAAUAUAGCUUUAAACUAGAGCAGACUUUUUUCCCCCAAAUGACAUCAGAAUAAGAUCUGGAUUAGUUGUAAAGUGGGCAUUGAGAACCCAUGAAAUGGUCCCUUCUUCCUAGAAUCACACCCUUCUCUUGGGACUGUUCAUGGGACAAAUGCCAAUUUCAGCUUAGGAAUUCCUUCUUUGGAGGCCUUUUGUCACAUCUUGUGUGGUGGAAGUGUCCUACCUCACCCUUUUCUAUAACACCUUUCUGCCUUUCUCAUAACAAGUUCACCCUCAUCAUGUAAAAGGCUUGCUUAAGGUUCUUUUGAUUUUUUUUAAUUUUAAAAAGAAUUUGAGUAUAGUUGACACACAAGGUCACACUAGUUUCAGGUGUACAACUUCAUGAUUUAUAUCACCAUCAUUUAGUAGGUGAUCAAUAAAUAUUUCUGUUGAGUGAGUGAAUGAAGGAAUAGGCUUUUACAAAAUCUCAGGGCAGAUAAGGCAAGUUUGCUGGUAACUCAGUGUCCGGCAGAUUAUGGGCAGUUCUGUGAGCUACAUGCACCAUGGAAUCAAGGUCUCUGUGAGUGUGAGAUCACGUCUUCUUGGGGUCCACAGAGUGAUUUCCUGGGGCAUUUAAUAUUUCUGCUGGGGCUUGAGGAAUAGAUCCUCUGUGGCUAGGUGCAGAUUGACAGAUCAAGAAUACCAGGAUGAAGGGAUGAUAAAAUUGCAAGGUCUAGUAAAUCUAAAACCACGAUGCAUAUUCAAGAAGAGGAUGUGAGUGGAAGAUAGAGAUUCAUGUGAGAAAAGUAAGAGAUUAAUCCAUUUUGGUGACACAUUUUGAAGGGUCUUAAAUGUCUGACCAAGGAGUUAUACUUAAUUUUGAAGGCAGGUGGAAAACAAAUGUAGGUUUUUGAGCCAAAGAAUGAUAAGAUUGAAAAAGUGCCAUGAGAUUAAUAUGACCAUAGUAGGUAGUAUAUCUAAGGAUAAUAAGAAGUUAAAUGGGCAGAAAAAUCUCCUAACAGUCUAUUUUAACAUUGUAGGUUCAAGGUAAGGAGACAUAAAUUGGGAGCGGGUGGAGUGGAGACAGAAUGCUGGAGGUGACAAAGACAUUUUUCUUAAGAGUUGGCAGACCAUCUGUGCACACAAGACUUAAUUAAACUAUCAAAGGAACUCAUUUGCUUCCCUCUCUUGUACAUUUUAAAGACUUGCCUGAAAAGCAAAAUUGUGAAGUUCUUUUUCUUUUCCCUGUAGUGUAUUUAAAUACAAGCAAAGAAACCAACUCUCAACUUGAAAGCCAAUGCUGUUUGGAUUUUACCAAAACCAACCAGCAUCCUAGAGCAAAGAACUGAAGAAAUGCUAUUUUCCAAAAUCAACAAAGACUUCAAACUUAUAUUUUAGAGGGAAAUCUGAUGAUGAUUCACAGCCCUUAAAGUAACAUAGGAAGUUGCGAUGUGAAAGCUAACGGUUUCUUCCUGAUUUUUAAUGUGUCUUGCAGAAGUGGAGACACAUGGAAUUUAAGUAUAAGACAAACAAAAAGCAAUAGAAAGGGAGUGUUUUCAGAAAAAUCACCAAAAGGCAGACCAUUUGUAAUUAAAAAAAAAAAAACAAAACUGAUGGUUACCUUUUAAGUAACUGAUGGUUACCUUCAUUUAUAUGAAAGCACAACAGCUUCCAGAACAUGGUAGAGUCAGUACACGUUCUAGCCCUGUAGCUAUUGCCUAAAUCCAAAUCCUGUCUUUAAUCUCAAGGACUAAGUUGUAUACAAAUACUGCAUAUGCACAUCUGCUUUUGGGGAGCACAUUGACAAAGAUUUCACUAGUUGAUCCAAGGAGUCAUGGUGCCUAAAAAGGUUAAGAACUAUAGAGCCAAAGUAGUGAUUGUCAGAGCUAAGCUAAUCUCUUUGAUCUUUACCAGUCAAUGGUGCAGUGAGCAAAAUAAAGAUGGUGUGCUGUGUUUUCUUAUAAAUACAGAGGACUGUAUUUUACUCCUGAUUUUCAUUUAAAACAAAAAUGAUACAUUUUAAUGGACAUCUUAAGUUAUCUCCAAUUAAAAGGAGAUUUUUCCCUGUCUCUUUCUUUGCCUCUCUAAGAUCCACAGAGCUCAAGCGUGUUUGUUAAUACAGUGACUCACAAAUAGCAUGAUUGAGAUCAGUUACUUCAGCAAGAAUUUGGACUGAAAGUGUAGGAUUAUUUUCCAUAACAAAGGUUAAAAUCAAAGCCUUGCUUGAAUAAUGCUCAGUUAACCCUAAAUUAAAUCAAUUGGGAAACCCUAUUCUUUCAGACAGAGUUUGCAAACUAAUUAUAAUUGCUGGAGUAGCCUAGACUUCUCUUAAGAAGGCUGAUUCUUGCACCCUACUUGCAAGAGACUCUGACACAUUAGGUCAUAGAUGGAACUCAGGAAAGUGCACUUUUUAAUUAAGUGCUUCUCAGCUGGGUCUGAGGUCGGUGUCCUCGGAGAGCACCUUGAUCAUCACUAGAUGAGAAGGUAAAUGUAGUAUACCAGGUGAGAGAAGACAAACAUCCAGGUCUGUGUGCAGUUUGGUAAAAAUGUUCCAGCAGAAGGUAGACAACCCUGGUUGAAGGUCUGCUUCCACCAUUUCUUCCCUGAAUCCUUUUCCUGUUGUGACAUUGGCAGGUAUGUUAGUUUCCUGGAGCUGCCCUAAACUAAAUGGUUUUAAACAACAAACAUUUAUUUCCUCACAGUUCUGAAGACUGGAAGUCCAAAAUUAAGGUGUCAGCAGGGCAAGUCCCCCCUCUCAGACUUGCUAGAAUGCUUCUUUGUCUUUUCCUAGCUUCUGGUAGGGGCUAUCAAUCUUUGGCUUGUAGGGGCAGUCACUCCAUUCUCUGCCUCUGUCCCCCAUGGCAUUCUCCCUGUAUGCCUCUUUCCUCUUCCUAGAAGGACUUUGGUCAUAGUGAAUUAAGAGCUCAUUCUACUCCAGUGUGGCCUCCUUUUUACCAAGUUAAUUACAUCUACAACAAUCCUAUUGCCCAGUCAUUGGUCAUAAUCUGAGUUACUGCAGGUUAGGACUUCAACUUACCUUUUUUGCAAGACAUGACUUAACCCAUAAGAGAGGGAAAGAGGCCACAUGGCUAGAAUAAGUCAGGGACUCCCAAAUCAGAGUCCUAAAGUGAUCCAACAUGACUGUCUGGUCUCUUAACAAACAAGCUAAGGUCACAGGUGCCUUUAAACUGAGCUCCAGAUUCCGACUUAGUAAGUAUGAGAUUGUGCCUUUGAACCUGUUACUACUCUGCAGGAACCCCACCCGAAGCAUCUGCUUAAUGAUGUUUUACUGAACGCACUUGUGUAAGUGAUAAAUAAUGACUACAUAAAACUUAGGUAAUAGCCACAUAUAACUAUGUAUAGUAUCUCCACCUCACAUUGCUACCAUGUGUUCGUCUAUCUUGGCAGGAGCAGGGAAGCGGUGUUCACCGAUUAUGCUUGUUUAAUUGAUCAUUCCAUGCUUUUGAGGAAAAUUGAAGUUCCUCCUAAGAAUGAGCUUUCAUGAAAUUAAACCUAGUUUCAAUGUUUUUAUUUUUCCCCUAUCGUAAUUAUCAAGAGGAUAAUGAAAAUUGAGUCAUUCGCCCACAUUAUGACUGCUUUCAUUAGUAGUGGUAAAGGCUCUUCUUGAAGUGGAACCAAGAUAUAAAUAUGAGUUCAUCCGAACCUCUAAGGACUUCAGGAGGCCAUGCAUUUGAUCAAAAUGGCAUGCUUCACAAUUGUCCUUUCAAGAUAGAAUACAGAUAAAAUGCAGAGAAACUGAAGCCAAAAGCACUCUGCCACAGCCUCACUCAAUAACACAUAACAUUGCUAAUCCCUGGCUGUUGCAGAGUAAUUGCAGGCUUCUUCAUGGAACCAAUUUUCUGAUUUUGGAGACUAAGAUAAUUCAAAUUGCAUGUCCUUAAGUAUAAGAAGUGUAGUCUGCCAGUGGUUGCUUAUAGGAGCUGGAGGAAAGAAUUGGGCCUCCGUGUGUCUUACAAACUGUCGUUUUGUAUUGAGCUCUUUCUUCAGCAAGAGGAGUCAUGCCUAUCUAAGGAGUAACAAAUGUGUCUCGGGAUCACUGAGUUGCAUUGUCGAGUGGAAUUUAUAAUUUUAAUUAUGCAGUUUGCUCUUUCAAAUGACACAUUUUGAAAAAAACAAAUGUGGUUUAUUCUUGAAUAAUUUGUAGUCAGUUCAUAGUUUCCUUUGAGUAUUUUUAGUUACAUUUAUGUUCCAAUGGGACUUUUUCUUCUGUAGUGCCAUUGUUACUGAUCUGCAUUUAGUUUGCAAAAUCCCCUCUGGUAUAUCUGCCUCCCUGGUAAUGCUGCCUAUCAAGUGAGGUACCGAUUUUUGAUGAUUCCUCACGUAAGUCUGGUACAUAAAAUGUUUUGCCCCAAUUAUUAUUUCUUAGAAAGUGUUUUUUAGUGUGAAUUAGCCAAAUAUUUCCAUCAGUUUCGAUAUGCCUUGUGGACAUCUAGAUUUAGGGAAGAGUGUGACUGAAUGCAAAUGCUGUCUGUGAACUUUGCUCCAGGCCAGGUUGGAGAUAAAAUUAGACAAAAGCUAUCUCUAUGGAUAAUAUCUUUUUGGUUUCAUCUAGUCUCCACUGAGACUGAAACCUUGAUUUCCAGAUUCUUAGCAAAGGGUUGCAUUCUCUUGAUGGAUCUACUAUUCUUUGUGUCUCUGGGUAAAAAGUUAUCAAAGAGAAGCAGAAAAAUCCAAGCUGAAAUCACACUCCAAAUAGUCCAAAGAGUAUCUAUGACAUUCCACAUAAAUAUUCAGACCUUUGUUGGAAAACAGCUUUAAGCAAAGAGUGGUGUGUAUAGUUAAGUCUCCACGUUUAGUAGCUGGUCAUCACCACAUCUUUGGGUCUCUUUCCCUGGGCCACAGCCCAUCUUCAUUGUUAGGCUUCGGUAUUUUCAUCUGUAUUAAUGAAUUAAUUCUUAGAUAUUUUUCAAACAUUUACUGCUUGCAUUCACUUGGAUUAAAUAAUUUAAGAGAAACUCUGAGCUUAAUGGAGAAGAUUGAUCUAUGGGGAAAAAAUUUCCAACGUUGGAACGGACAUGGACGUGAUAAAUGAUAUGAUGUCCUACAAGAGCCAAACGUAGUAAGAAUGUGUAAGGAAAAACAUAAUGAGAAAUCCACAGGUAGGAAGAUGCUCCUGGUGAAAUGGACAAUCAUGUGGAUAAAGAAGUACUCCUGAUCUUUAUGAUAGUCAUUUGCCAUAUGUUUAAGUAAGCAUUUCUAUGUACUGGGCAUUGUGUUAGCGAUGACUAGAACGUGGCUUUUGCCCUAAAGACUCACAGGUGGAAGGGAAGACAGCCAAGUGAAGGAAGAAGCAUGGCACUGGGGAAAGGCUGCCUCAGAGAAUUGGCAGCUGUGUUAUGGAGCAGAGAGGAAGGGGCACCUGAGAAGUAAAUACUAGGAGGUUCUCUGGCUUGCAAAGCCCACUCAAACGAGCUCAAGUAAAGUGGGGUCAUUGAGAAACAUCAGGAAUUCUCACAGAAACAAAAUGCAGGGAGUAUCUGGUCUCAAUAGAACUGGGCAUCAGGCAGGCACUCCGUAUGUCUGUCUGUCUCUAAGUGAUCUGGUUUUGUUUUGCUUCUUUCUAUAUAUGCUUUGUCUAAUACGGAGUCACGGGUAUUUUACUGAACGAUGUUUUUUUUUCAAUAGAUCUUCUUCUUCCUUGUUUAAUUAAAUUGCCUGAGUCAUCUUUAAGGUAGCAUUUUAUGGUUAACAAAUUGGAAAUCAUUGUAAUUUCCAAUUGACUCUUGUCUGGAGAGUCUUGUAAUUGAGAAAAUACUCUUUACAGUUGCUGAAGUACCUACUAAGUUUGGAGCAAAUUCUGCUGGAGCCUAUUUUUAAUUCUAACCUUUAGUAUUUAACUCUGUAAUUAUUUCAGCCAGAAUAUUUGCACACUUUAUUUACAAUGUUAAAAUUUUAAACUGAGUUUACACUGGUCAUCCACGAUAAUGUCAGAUGUUUCACCUUCAAAAGAAUCAAUUUCCAAAAAUGUACUUUGAUUCUAUGAAUUGGAUGAUGCAAACCAGAUUAUUGUUGGAACUAGCAUUAUUUUGCACAUGAAGCAUCUACUGAUACUGACAUAAAAUUUGCAUCAUUUAACUUUGUGGGAAGUUCUGCUAAUGGAGCCAAAAUAUUGACUGUCACUGCUUCCCGUUUUGUAUAUGCAUACUACAACUUGAAACUGAGAAUAAGGAAAAUUAAUUCAGCAAAGCAUUGACUGAUCUAAAUGAAAAGUGCUGGUUCAUGGACUGAUUCGAAAAUUCACCUUUCAUAGCUACAGAUGUUAAAUUGUUCAUUUUAGGCACAGUCUUCCUAAAAUAACUUCUAACUUUUGACAGCACUUGUUGAUCCUUCUUCCACAGAUCAUGUCUUGUGGAUUUCAUGUGGUCAUAAAAGUUUUGGUAAGUGGUGAGGCCAGAAGCUAGAUGACAAUUAAGGAGGUGCUAAUUUUGAAGGGAGUGGCCCAGUUGAUUCAAAAGUGGAGUGUUGGACUUUUAUUUUUAAUAAUGUAAUUUUUAGAAUAAUGCAAUGUCCAAUUCAGUCUCCUCCAUGAAAAUAACCUCACUGUAACUGAAAAAGUGCACCAUAUUGAGGUAAAGACAUACAAUAACAAAUAGAAUUAUAAUUCUGCCAUGACGCAAGGAUACGGCCAGCCUACAAUGUACCGAGCAGACAAACAAAGUCACACUUGGGCAGCGGCACGUUCUGGUUUCUGAGUUUCAGUUCUGAGUCUUAGGCUGGCAUAGUGCUAAAACUCUCACUCCUCCAUGUUCCUUCUCCAGGGCCGGGAUUUCUGCUCCCUCUGCUGCCCCAGGUGGUUCAGGCAAAAUGUGAUGGGAGGACAUUGACAACUAGCAUUGGGGAGCCAGAUGAGGAGGGCAGCAGCUCUUCCUGGAAGAGUGAAGAGUUUACUCUUCAAGUCAGCAAAGUUAAAUUUUCUUGUGCUCCUCAUUAACAUGGUGACUUGGGGAAAUCCUUUGGUCUCUCGAGAUCUCAGUUCUCUCGUUUAUAAAAUGAAGAAUUGGCACAAUGGCCCCUCUAACUUUGUAAUUUGGAGACCCCAGGUUCUGUAAUUCAAGGCAGAACUCUUCCCAUCCCUCUCUUCUCCUCCCCUACCCUGCCCUUCCCCCUUGCUCUUUCCUCUCCUUGCCCUCCCUCCCUCCCUUCCUCUUUCUUUCUUUCUUUCUUUCUUUCUUUCUUUCUUUCUUUCUUUCUUUCUUUCUUUCUUUCUUUCUUUCUUUCUUCUUUCUUCUUUCUUUCUUUCUUUCUUUCUUUCUUUCUUUCUUUCUUUCUUUCUUUCUUUCUUUCGUGUGUACUUAUUACUGAAUUUACAAUCUAUUUGUUUUGACCUUUGAAUAUAAGGCAAUUCCUUGAGGUAAAAGAAAGUUUUCUAAGAUUUUUCAGGUAGAACCUUAGCAUUUGACACAGGGCUUCUGAAAGACAAUUACAGGAAACUGUGAUGCAGAACCCCAAGUGGGAUGUCAAAUCCAAGGAUUAGACUCAAAUCCCCUGAGCAUCCCAUCUCCUAUCUUUAGUGAUCCAGUCAAGACAUAGAGCGUUUCCUCUGUUUCGUAGUUGGAGUUAAAUUCUGCUGGAGACUAGACUGUAUGUUUUUAUUUAUUUUUUAAAUCCAGAAUGCUCUUUGUCAUUUGACAGUGCAACAUACUAAACUAUUUAAAAUACUUUGUGAGUGAAAUCACAAGUCUGAGAUGUGGUGUGUGUUGCUAGAGCACGUGAAGGGCAGGACUUGGGCUGGGCAGUCUCCUUCAUCUUACCUCCUUUCUUAAUCCGAGGCAUGCUUUUCUUCUCUCUCUCUCAAACCCUAGUAAUUAUCGUAGACAUAAAGCAGAUUUCAAUGCAUAGACAGUUCAUUCAGAUUGGUGGGUUGGAUUAUGUCAAAAAAUUAUUUGGGCAAUUUUUAUCUGGUUUAAGUGGGUUAAAAGAAUGAUGGCACCCAGAGCUGCGCGGCUGCCCUCUCCUCUGAUUUUGUAUUCUGCCACAUCUCUGUGAUCUGUCCAAUUCUCCGUGAUCCAAAGAAGCAUUGCAUUGAAUUUCCAUCAAUUCAUACUUCUUUUCCUUCUUCAAAACUUCACAUUGUUUUGAGGUGAACCCAGAGAUACAUAUUGAUGAUCCCAGUGUUAGAGACCAAGUACUGUAACGACCACAUUUAAGCUCACGUACACAGAACAGUGAGCUCACAAGGGCAGGGAUUUCUCUUUGUUUACUGUUACAUUCCUUUCACCUUCAACAGUGCAUGGUGCAAAAGGGUGAGGGUGACCCCUGCUCACUUGCGGAUGAGAAUCUUGCCUGUUUUGUACCGCUCUGCACUGCAGCCCCUGGAACAAUGUCUGCCUCUCAUUUGUUGAGCGAGUGAAUGAACUUAAGAAUUUGAUCCUUUCUGUUACAGAGUUUACAGUCUGGUUGGGAAGGCAGAUUGGCAAAAUUGUACAGAGCAGUAAUUAUCUGGGUUCACAAAGGAAAAUUAUCUCAGGACAGUUGUAUUUUAAUUGUCCAAUUAAUGACAUAAGUAGUUGUCCUCAAUAUUCGAAGUAGGAAAGUAAUAUAAACAAGAAUCGGCCCCCAGCAGACUUUGGCAUCCUUGGAUUUUUAUUUGUUUGUUUGGUUGUUUAAAUAAAUCUUUGAGUGUCUCUAUGUUCCAGGCAGACUAUCAGGUGCUGGAAAGUCAAAAGUGAAUAAGAUAGAUGCAGGUCUUGCCCAAAUUAAACUCAUAACUGAAUGGGGAAAACAGUCAAAAAACAAUAAUUAAAAAUGUUAUUUUCUGCGGGCACCCGGGUGGCUCUGUCGGUUAAGUAUCCGACUGUUGAUUUUGGCUCAGGUUGUGAUCUCAAGGUUAUGGGAUCGAGCCCCACAUCAGGCACUGUGUUCAGCACAGAGUCUGCCUGAGAUUCUCCCUCCCUCUCUCUCUGCCCCUUCCCUCUCUCUCAUGUGCUCUCCAAAUAAAUAAAUAAAUAAAUCUUUAAAAAAUGUUAUUUUCUGAAAAAAAGACAUAUUGAGUUACAGAAUAACAGAGAAGGCUACUCUAAAGGGGAUGAACUACAAAAAUGGAACAUUUAAGCUGAACUUGGAGGAUGAGAAGGAACCAGCUCUGUGAAGAGCAUUCCAGGCAGAGGAAAGUGUAUGUACAAAGGCCCUGGGGCCCAAAAGCAGUAUGGAACUCAGUCGCCAAGAGAACUGUUCCAGACAGUGGUGAACAAAGAGUCAGGUACUGAAAGGUUUAGCUCAAGGGGACAUGGUACACCAGUGUACCAUGAGGCACAACACUCAUUCUUGCUCAGAUGUGGAGAAUGGAUUGUGGUGCCCAAGAAUGGAAGGAGGGAUUUGCUUUAAUAGUUCACCCAAAAAAUGAUGGCCAACUUGCUCCUGAAGUAGCAGCAGUGAAGAACACAAGGUAUGGCAGGAUGUGAGGUAGAAUGAAAGAAUUUGCUGUUGGAAAAAAAUGGGGGAGUGUUAAGGGGAAAGCAGGAAAGAUGCAGUACUCCUAGGUUUCUGAUUUAAACAGUGGGUAGACAGGGGUUCUCUUGACUGAGGGGGUAAUACCAGUGCAAAUCUGGGGUGAGAAGAAAGCAUGGAUUUAGUGGUGGACAGGUUAAGUGUGAGAUGUCUGCUGGACAAACUCAGAGUUGUCAGAUAGCAGGAGGGAACCAGGUGUGUGUGUAUGGAUCUCAGAAAAAAAGUCUGAGCUCAUGACAUAAAUGUGAGAACCCUCAACAUGUUGAGGGCACAGUGAUGGCAAACUAGCUGGACAUAUUAAAAUUCACGCCUUCAGUUUACAUAACAUGUAUCCGGAGCAGUGAACUACUGCAAAUGCUUUUUCACCCCCCAUUAUUUUACCCACCCUGACUUUCUCAGCCUGGUCCUGUACUUUUUGUACUUGCCACAGGACCCUUGUCCACACAUUUGCCCUCCUUGAUCAUGACUCCAUUUUUUAUUCUCUUUUACACCUGCUCUACGUUACCCUGUCAUCUCUCACUUCUCCACUGCAGCCCAUAGGCCUUCCAACCUCCUAAGCUGGUGCCUCCACCAGCUGCUUCUCAACCUUUGGACCCUCCCGGUGUGCUGUAUACAGCGAUCCACAAAUUGUAGUGCCCUGGUGGUAUUUGUUAAAUAAUGACAAUAUUCUUAAGUUCUGUGAGUCUUUUAAUGUGAGGCUCUUUUUCCAAUAUCAUGAGAUGUCCUACCUACUUCACUAAAAAUGAGGCUCAAGUCCUACAAAGGAAGAAGAAUAAAGGGGGAGAAUUUUUGGUUAUAGGGCAUUUGUAGAUCAGGUUGAAUUGGUAUGUGAAUCAGGCAUGAAAUUUGUUUUCUUGAGUCAUCUUACCAAAUUUUUCAAAUAAUGCUAUGAAUUAGAAACAUUUUAUCCACCAUGAAGACAAGAUACUAGAUGAUAAAGCUUCUCUAUAGCAUUUGAACUCCCUCUCAGCACCAUGAAUACCCAUGGAAGUACAUUAUUUGAUACAUUAUAAAGUCUUCAUCUGUAGUUACUGAUUAAUGAAAUUUGUUCUAUAAAUAUAUCCAAAGGUUUUGAGAAGCAUCAUUGCACGAUACUGCAUGUGACUACUCAAUUUUAACUGGUCAUACCCUCAUUCUUACAUGUCUGUUGUUUGCUUAUCCACAUCCUUGCUUCCUUCUUGGGUUGGACGCAGAGGUUCUGAGGUCUCAUUUUUCUCCCAAAUUACCAUCCUAAUCUGAUGAGUGUCUAAAAAAAAAAAAAAAGUCAAUUUACAAUAAUAGUUCUGUAUCAACUGUAGGCAUGUUCAGUUAUAGAUGACAGAUACUCAAGUGUUGAUUCCUGAAAGUAAAAUCUGCUAAUAAUCCAGUUCAAAUAUUUUGCCUAUUCACAGAUCUGGAAAAGAACAGUGUAUGCAAAUUAUGCAAAUAUUUUUAAUAUUCUUUACUACCUGCAUAAAAUGAGAAUGAAUUCCUCCUUGAGAUAUACAUUUAGUAUUUGAACAGGGAUUUCAUCUGUUAGUUGAUAUUUUGCUAAAUUUACAAAAGCAAAUAUCAUGAUAGUUUUUUCUAGACUACCUGGAUCACUCUAUGCACAUAUAUCAUUAUAGGUAUCUCUCAUUUUUAAUAAAGAAAUUUUAUAGUGUGUUUGAAAAGUCUAAAGGAUAAAGAUCUAAUUUUUUUUAAACUAAACAUAUUUAGAAUAAACACAUUAUAUGCUUGUUGGUGACAGCUACUCUGUGCAGGGAGAUUGUUGGUGGCUCCAUAGCUGUACAAAGACAUCCAAGAUAAAAGAAAGAUGACAAGGUCUUUGCAUUUGUCAGGUUGAAGCCAGGAGCUUCACGAGGAAUAUGAAGACUCUUUGGAAUUCCUCAAAUUCUUUGGAGUCAGAAGAGACAUAGAGUCCCAGAAGGCUGCAUGCAAUGUGACAGUGGAGUCCCACAGAAUGUUGUCACAAAGAACUAAGCAAUCAUGAGAAGAAGGUCUGACCCAUGGCUUUCUAGAGUCUUCCACAUGAAAAGCUGCUGAUUGGAUCUGUUAGAAAUGAUUGCCUCCUCAAAACCCCCUUUCCCAGGACAAUAAUGUAGUGUGAGUCAAAAGGUAAACACAAUCCAAUUUACAGAAAUAAGUUUUAUUGCUCAUUUGCUAGAUCCACACCAUGAACUAUGGAAAGUGCGUGUGUAACAGGUAGAAUGGGUUCAUCUGUCCACCAUGAAGUGCUGUGGGCAUCCAACCUUCUUUAGAGCAAAUUUUUUUUUUUUUUUUUGGCCACAUGCCUACCUUUGGAUAUUGAUUUCUUCUCAUACUAUUUUUACCGCAUGUCUUCCCCUUCUCAAAGGACUAUCCUACACUUUUCCUGCCAAUACAGAAUUUCCAGGGGAGAAAUAAGGGUCUGCCUUGCUCUUUAAGUGCUGUAUUAAAAUAUUCACCUUUCAACUACGUUCAACAAAUAUGUAUUGAGCCCCUACUUUGAAAUUUCUGCACAGGACAAGAGUCUAAAGUACAGAUUAGUGGGAUGUUUUCUGUCUGAGUUGGACCGAGUCCGGUCAAUUAGUAUGCCAGAAGCCACUUCAAGUUUUCUCGAAGCACCUCUGUGCAUGCCACUCUUCCUGGGAGAUCCUGCUCUGCCCACUGUGGGAAUGUACAGGUACCCAGGAGUGGUGCCGGGGAUUUCUUCCAUAUGUGUCUCCAGCCUUCCCCCAUCCACCCUGUGUCCUUCCUCUUCUUCCAGCUCCUCUUGCCUUCCCCUUUAUUUUCUGUCUCACCUCUAUAACAGCAUCUGUCUUCUUGCUUUGUACUACUUCAUCUUGCUCUCUUCCUAAAUGGGCCCACAACCAUUUUUAUUUGUAUUUUUAAGCCAAGCUUUGAGUGUGCAUUUCCUGCAAGACCUGAAAUGCUUUUCUGCUUCCAGUUUCUCUCUCCAUUUUAGAUCUCUUUGUGCCCAGGGGUUGGGCUAGUGUCUGAUCGGGGAUGGUACGUGGCUACCCUGGUCUCUGUUGAAAAGAAUAGAGAUCUGACAUCUGAAGACCAGUCACAGCCACCUUGCCCGAUAUUGCCCACUUGCUGUGGUGGUCUUACAAGCAGCCCCAUCCCUGGAGAUGAAGAAAGUCAGGCCUGUCGCCUGGUUCCCAUCUCAGCUAGUGGAACAGAGGUACAAACCUGCAAAAUAAGAAGUUUGUUUCCAAAUGAAAACCAGAUGUGCCGAAUCCCAGUGUAGUGCUCGGUCCACUCUCAGCCCUGUGUCUUAGCAGAUACGGAGGGGUACCCUUCCCUCAUGUGCCCUGCUCAUCAACUCCAGCAUUCCAUUACCUAAAAAACCAGUACUCCAAAUAAACUUUCAGUUACUGGAGCUAGAAAUUGCAAUCGCUGGCAUUCAGGGAGCCGAACUGACAGUUGCUGGUGCCCAAAUACCAUGUUGCCUGACAUCUCAAUGCUGAGGAAUUCUCUUUGCCAGUUAAUUUUUGCUUCAGGGAAUGAACAAUUGCUUAUCAGAUUCCCUGACCAUUUGUAUAAAUCUCUGAGACAUUAUUCUCAGAAGAGUCCAUUUUCUUCCUCUUUCACAUAAAGCAACCCGAGCCAGUAAUCUGAUAUGCUUUUGUUUUCAGUUCUAUUCUCAUGAAUUCUCCAAGUUACGUCUUUUUCUUUGGGGUUUAAUUUGUUGUCCAACCAGAAGGGCACUUUAAGUAAAAUCUAUGGAAUUUUAAAAUGUCCAGGGCUUGUGACUGGAAUAUUUGAAUAUAGUUAAACUUACAGCAAUAAACUUAUGUGUUAUAGGGCAUGGGGCAAGGGAUCAAGGUUGUGGGUUGUCCCAGGAAACGUUUGUCACAUAGUUGGUCAUCGACUCAAAUGACAGGUGUUCUGGAACCAUACUUGUAUGGCAUCGGUGGGUCUCUGGACAUGGUUAGUUCCUUGUUAGUGAAUGAAUCUGAUCAAGAAUGUGUUCGAAAUGCAGUCCCCAUUCUUGCUUUCUGUAAGAUGAAGUCUCUGGGGACACCUAAGACUUAGGCCUGCCCACAAGGAGCUUACAGUCCAUUUGGGAAGUUAAGACAUGAUGUUGUGAUCCGAAAGCCAUCAUUAACAUUUCAGACUCUGUCAGCUCUACCUUCAGAACAUUAUCUGGUCAUUGCCACCUGCUCUAAGCCCCCUCCCCUUAUUUCCCAUCCCAGUUGUUGUCUUAUCUCCCAUAUGGCAUCCCUGCACUUCCACUGCUGCCCUCUUCAGCCUGUUCUCAAUAUUAUAAUCAGGGUGAUCUGGUCAUGUCAGUCCUCUUUUGAGUACCCCUUGGGCCCCCCCCCCCAGUCUGCUCAGCAUAGAGCUAGUAUCCUUGCAACACAGACUAUACCCUACACACAGUCCAGCCACAUGCACUCUCAGUGACUCUCUGCUCCCAGCGUUCUUGCACACCAUGCUCCAUCUGUGCUCACCUCCUUGCUUCUCCUGGAGAACACGAGGAAUUGCUACCACAGGGCCUUUGCACUUACUGGUCUCUCUGCUUGGAAACCUUUUUCCCUCAGAUGGUUCACUUUCUUCCAUAUUCAGGUUUUCACUCAGAGUGAGGUCUUCUUAGGCCACAUUCUGUUAAAUUGGACUCACACACGCAUAUGCACACACACACAAACACACUUUCUGGCUUUCCUCUUUUCUUUCCAUAUAGAUAUCGUGUGAAAUUCUAAUAUUUUGUGUAUUGUCUAUCUUUUCCCCAGUAGGAAGUAAGUUCCAUGAAGGCAGGGUUUUUUUUUUUUUUUCCAGUUUUCCAUCUUAGUAUGUGGAACGAUACCUGACACACAGUAGAUAACCAAUAAAAACUUACUGAAUGAUUAUGUUAUUGCUCCAAACAUGAAGUGGCAUGUUAGUUUCCUAGGGCUGCUGUAACACAAAUUUCAGGUGUCUGCAGAACCAUGCUCUUCUGAAAUUCUAGAAGGGAAUCCUGGCUUGCCUCUUUCAGCGUCUGGUUCUGGCUUGUAGUAUUCAGUCUCUGCCCACAUCAUCACAUGGCAAGCUCUCCGCAUGUGUCGGUGACCUCACAUGGUACUCUCCUUUCUGUGGGGGUCUGUGGCCUCAUAGGUGGACACAAGUCACCUUGGAGUAAGGGUCCACCUUACCCUGGUGUGACCCCAUCUUAAUUUAAUGAAUUACAUCUGCAACAAUUUUCAAAUAAAGUCACACUCUGAGAUACCGGAAAUCAAGACUUAAGUAUAUCUUUCUGGGGGACAGCUAAAUCCAUAAGAGCCAGUAAAGGGCUGAAUUAAUUAGAGAUGAAGGAAAUGGGGACAUGGAAAACAAAUGGCUGGCAUGAGAUUUGAAGGAAGAGCACACAGGGAUCCCCAUAAUAUGUGCCUCUGGAGUGUGAGGAGAUAGAAGCUGGGGAUGGAAAAGCAUCUCAAUCCCAGCAUGGGUAGAUGGGAAGGUUGGAAGCCAAGUCCAUGUCCCCUAGUAGUGCUAGCAUCCUAGGUCCAGUCUUCUCCUCCGUAAGCUGCCCCACAUCCCAGAGGCAGCCAAUGCCUAGGGCAGGUUAUGUGUCUCCUGGAACUCUUACCAAGACACAAGUGAAUCAAAGACUGUCUUUCUGCUUUCAAGAAACAGAUUGUUGAAGAGCUAGUGGAAAGUGGGGGAGGAGGUGAGUGCUAAUUUUCAUCAUGUCAAAUAACAAAUUGGUUGCACAUUUUAAAUUCUCCCACUUUCUUCACAUCACCAAGAAUUCCUAUUGAAACUUUCAUUUAUGAUUCAUGUUCCUAUGAGAAAUACUAUGUAUAUCAUCACAUAACCUGUGACCCAUCUAAUUUGUAAGAUUUGCUCCUACCUAUACCCCUUGCUGCAUCCCGGCACAUGUUUCUUUUUAUGCUUUUCUUUUAACCCUUAUCAAGUACAGCCAUUACUUACAGCCUUUUCUGCCAUCCUCUUUCCUAGGUCCAGCUUGUCCAUCUUCAAAUGCAAGUUAACCCCUAACCUUUUGGUGGCAUUCAUUAUUUCCUACCCUGCCUUUUAGGUGUACGUGAAUGAAGUUUUUGUCUCUUCUAAAUUAGGAUGCUAAACAUGCCAAGAGUAUGAUUCUUUUGUUAACACUUUUCAGGAAACUGUAGAUAUAAAUUCUGAUUUAAUUUUUGUUGUUCUGAACAAAAAAAAAUGUGAAGUUUCAAAUGUAAGAAUAUGAUAUCCCUCAGUUGUUUUCUGAGACAGCAAUACACGACAAUGAAAAGGGGUUAAGAUUCAGAGAAGGGUUUGAGAAAGAAGAAUUAAGAAAUGUGGAGAAAGUUUGGUGGACAUUUAAAAGUCUAUAUUAUAGUAUACUUGGCCAUCUUUGGUUUUGUUUUUCAAGCAUCUAUGCUCUUUUUUUGGAAAAUAAAUUAUUUUACGUAUGUGGUAGACCAAAUAAUGUCCCUCCAAAGAUAGCCCCAUCCUAAUUCCUGGAACCUAUGAAUAUAGUAGAUUACAUGGGAAAAGGGACUUUGCAGGGAUGAUUAAGCUAAGGAUUUUGAGAUAGGGAGAUUAUUCUGAAUUAUCUGGCUUUGUCCAAUGUAGUAACAAGGGCUCUUACUAAGAGAGAGGAAAGAAGGUUUUGUAAUGACAAAAAACAGAGAGCAAAACAAAGACAUCAUGACAACAGAGCAUUGAGAGAUUCAAUUGCUGGCAUUGACUAUGGAGGAUAGGGCCACAAGCCAAAGGAUGCAGGUAGCUUCUGGAAGCUAGAAAAAAGCAAGGAAAUGAAAUCUUCCCUGGAGCCUGUAGACGGAAUGCAGACCUACUGACACCUUGAUUUUAGAACUUAUGACCUUCAAAACUGUAAGAUAAUAAAUUUCUGUUGUUUUAAGUCAACUAAUUUGUGGUAAUUUAUUACAAUGGCAAAAGGAAACUAACACACAUAUUUUAAGGGAGAGAAAUUAAGACCCUGACAAUUAAAAGCAGAGACUAGGGCUUGGCAAUCUUUUCUGUAAAGGACCAGAUAGUAAAUAUUUUAGGCUGUGUGGGCCAUAUGGUCUCUGUCAUGACUACUCAACUCUGUCAUGUAGCAUGAAAAUAGCCAGAGGCAAUAUGUAAAUAAAUGGAUAUGGCUGUGUUCCAAUAAAACUUUAUUUACAAAAAUAAGCAAUAGCCUGGAUUUGGCCCAUGGGCUGCAGCUUGCAGAUACAUGGUAUAAACCUAUGUCUCAUCAUUAUUUAUUCUUUUAAUUUAUAUUUUGUCAUAUUCUGGAAUCUAUUCCUAUUUAAGUGUGCCACAUGACCCACUGAACUAACUAUAGAACAGUCAUCGAUGGUCUGUAGUUUGUUCUCCCACCAGUAACAUUAAGAUGUUUAAUCUGUAAAAAUCAAGUUCAUUAAGACUCUAUAGUUAUCUUUAUUUUUUUUAAAAAGAUUUUAUUUAUUUGACAGAGAGAGACACAGCGAGAGAGAGAACACAAGCAGAGGGAGUGGGAGAGGGAGAAGCAGGCUUCCCGCCAAUCAGGGAGCCCAAUGCGGGGCUCCAUCCCAGGACCCUGGGAUCAUGACCUGAGCCGAAGGCAGACGCUUAAGGACUGAGCCACCCAGGUGCCCCUCUAUAGUUAUCUUUAAUUCCUCAGUAUUUGCCCACUGGAAAAGUUGUGUUUUGGCAGUGUAAAUAGUAGUGCUAAAUUACUCUGGCUUGAUUUGCGCAAGUGAGAAGAUCAUACUGUAUUUUCACGAAGCAGCCAGCAUUUCUAAUGCUGAGAAUAUGCACAUCUCAUAAAAAUGUAUUUCAUCAAGCACUGUCUACAGAGGAUUAAACUAAACUGUAAAACCAUGUUUUUGUGUACAGCUUUCAAGAUUGCUAAUGCUCUUUUGUUUAUCAUUUCUCCAUGGGACAUCUCUCUUGAGGCAAAUGUUCUCUCAGCAGAGAACUGUACAGACGGUGUGAUUUUUAGCCAAAGAAAUUGCUGCAUACAAGGAUUCUUAUUAGGCUCAUGUCAUACAUGAGUACUUUGUGCUUGUGUGAACCUGACCCCAAACAUCUGUAUAUAUGUGGCAAGUUAAAACAGCCUGCUAAUACCUGGCUUGCCAGAUACGGUUUUGUCCGCAUCAUGUUUAUAUUAGGAUUAUGUGACAUUGACCCCCUUCCUGUGUCUAUUGGCUUCUUUCUCCCUUCCUCCUUGCCUGUCAUGCUGACUCCAGCCUGACCAGCUUAGAUCCAAUCCUGCCCACUCCCAGGUCAGUCCUGAAUCACGAUUACUUCCUCUACAACUUCUCUUAAUAUCCUUCUGGUCUGUAUGUUGGUUAGUUCAUUAAUGUCACAUGAAGUUUUACUGUUUACAUGAUUUUUGCAUUCAUCCUGUGAAAUUAUAGAUGCUCAUAUUCAGAAACUAGCUUAUAAUUUGUUUACAGUUCAUAAUGCAUAAGUAUAUUUAAUAAAUAUUUUCUGGCUUAUUUAAUUGCUAGAUUCUAUUACUUAAUUUGAGCCUUCUUUGGAUUUUUAUUUAAAAACUUUAUUUUUUUAAGAAUAUUUUUAGGUUUACCACAUUGAGGCAGGUGUAGAGAUUUCUCAUAUCCCUCCCCCCCCCACACACAUUUAUAGCCCUCCCCCCCGCCCAUUAUCAACAUCAUUCACCAGAAUGGUACAUUUUUUACCUGGGAUGAACCUACAUUGAACCCAAAGCUCAUAGUUUACUUUAGGGUUCCCUUUGGGUAUUGUAUAUUUUAUGGGUUUGGACAAAUUCCAUCAUUAUAAUAUCAUACAGAGUAUUUUUAUUGCCCUAAACAUUCUUUGUGCUCUGCCUAUUCAUCUCUUCCCCUCCAAACACUUCUAGCAACCACUUGUCUUUUUAUCAUCUCCGUAGUUUUGCCUUUUCCUAAAUGUCAUAUAGUUGGGAUCAUACAGCAUGUAACCUUUCCAGAUUGGCUUUUUUCACCUAGUAAUAUACACUAAAGGUUCCUCCAUGUCUUGUCAUGACUUGAUAGCUCAUUUCUCAAAGCACUGAAUAAUUAUUCCAUUGUCUGAUGUACCACAGUUUGUCCAUUCACUUACUGAAGGACAUCUUGGUUGCUUCAGAGUUUGGGCAAUUAUGGAUAAAGCUGGUAUAAAUACCUAUAUGCAGAUUUUUGUGUAGGCAUAAGCUUUCUAUUCCCUUGGGGAAGUACCAACGAGCACUGGAUCAUAUGGUAAAAUUAUGUUUAGUUUUUUAAGAAACUACCAAAAUAACUAUACCAUUUUGCAUUACUACUACCAGUAUAUGAGAGUUCCUAUUGCUCCACAAUCCUUGUCAGCUUUUGGUGUUGUCAGUUUAUUGGAUUUUGACCAUUAUAAUAGGUGUGUAGUACAAUCUCAGUGUUGUUUUAAUUUGCAUUUCCCUGACAACAAAAGCUUUCAUGAGUGUUUUUACCAUCUAUAUAUCUUCCUCAGUGACGUGUCUGUUAAGGUCUUUGGUCUAUUUUUUAAAUAGGCUCUUUUCUUAUUACUGAGUUUUAAAAAUUCUUUGUAUAUUUUGGUAACAGUCCUUUGUCAGAUGCACCUAUUGCAAAUAUUUUCUCUGAGUCUGUAUCUUGUUUUGUCAUUCUCUUGAUAUUGUCUUUCACAGAGGAGAAAUUUUUAAUCUAAACAAAGUUCAAGUUAUUAUUUCUUUCAUGGGUUAGGACUUUGGUGUUGUAUCUAAAAAGGCUCUGCUAUGCCCAAGGUCAAGCAGACUCCCCACUGAGCACGGAGCCAGACUAGGGGCUUGAUCCCAUGACCCUGAGAUCAUGACCUGAGCUGAAAGCAAGAGGCAGAUGCUCAACUGACUGAGCCACCCAGGUUCCCCUGUGUUUUACAUUUAGAUUCAUGAUCCACGUUGAGUUAAUUUUUGUGAAAGAUGUUAAGUUCUGUGUCUAGAUUCUUUUUUUUUUUUUAAAUGUGGAUAUCAGUUGUUCCAGCACUGUCUGUUGAAGAGACUAUCUUUAUUCAUUGUAUUAUUGCCUUUAUUCCUUUGGCAAAGAUCAGUUGACUGUAUUUAUGGGGAUCUAUUUCUAGGCUCUGUAUUCUGUUCCAUUGAUCUAUUUGUCUAUCCUUUCACCCAUACCACCCUGUAUUGAUUACUAUAGCUUUAUAUUAAGUCUUGAAGUCAGUAAGUGUCAUUGUUCUAACUUUGUUGUUCUACUUUAUUAUUGUAUUGGCUAUUCUGGAUCUUUUGCCUCUUUGUAUAAACUUUAGAGUGAGUUUGUUGAUAUCUUAAAAUAACUUCCCGUGUUUUGAUUGUGAUUGCAUUGAGUCUAUAGAUCAAGUAGAGAAGAACUGACAUCUUGGCAGUAUUGAGUCUUUUCCAUCUGUGAACACAGAAUAUCUCUCCAUUUAUUUAUUUCUUCUUUGGUUUCAUUCAUCAGAGUUCUGUAGUUUUCCUUACACGGAUCUUGUACAUAUUUAGUUAGACUUAUUAAGUAUUUCAUUUUUGGGGGGUGCUAAUGUAAAUGGCAUUAUAUUUUUUAAAUUUGUUUUAUUUUUAUUUUUUUAUUAUGCUAUGUUAGUCACCAUACAGUACAUCAUUAGUUUUUGAUGUAGUGAUCCACGAUUCUUUGUUUUCAUAUAACACCCAGUGCUCCAUGCAGUACAUGCCCUCCUUAAUACCCAUCACCGGGCUAACCAAUCCCCCCUCCCCCCUCCCCUCUAAAACCUUCUGAGAAACAAACUGAGGGCAUUGCAUCUUUUAUUUCAAAUUCCAUUUCUUCAUUGUUGGUAUAUAGGAAAGCAGUUGACUUUUAUAUAAUAAUCUUGUAUCUUGCAACCUUACUGUAAUAACUUAUUUAUUAUAGGAGAUAUCUGUUGAUAUUUUUGGAUUUUCUUUCUUCCCCCCAAGUUUUUACUUAAAUUCCAGCUAGUUAACGUAGAGUGCAAUACUAGUUUCAGGUGUAGAAUUUAGUGAUUCAUCACUUACAUAAAACACCCAUGCUCAUCACAACAAGCUGUCCUUAAUACCCAUUACCUAUUUAACCCAUCCCCCUGCCCACCUUCCCUCCGGUAACCAUCAAUUUGUUGUCUAUAGGUAAGAGUCUGGUUCUUUCUUUCCCCUAUGUUCAUUUGUUUUGUUUCUUAACUUACACAUAUGAGUGAAAUCAUAUGGUGUUUGUCUUUCUUUGAUUGACUUAUUUUGCUUAGCAUUAUGCUCUCUAGCUCCAUCCACAUCAUUGCAUGGCAAGAUUUCAUUCUUUUUUAUGGCUGAGUAAUAUUCCAUUAUAUAUAUUAUAUAUGUGUGCAUGUGUGUGUGUGUAUAUGUAUAUACAUAUACACACACACAUCACAUCUUCUUUAUCCAUUCAUCAGUCAAUGGAUAUAUGGGCUGUUUCCAUAAUUUGGCUAUAGUUGAUAAUGCUGCUAUAAACUUUGGGGCACAUAUGUCUCUUUGGAUCAGUACUUUUUAUCCUUUGGGUAAAUACCUAGUAGUGCAGUUGCUGGAUUGUAGGGUAGUUAUGUUUUUAAAUUUUUGAGGAACCUCCAUACUCUUUUCCAGAGUGGCUGCCCCAGUUUGCAUUCUCACUAACAGUGUAAGAGGAUUUCCCUUUCUCCACAUCCUUGCCAACACCUUUUGUUUCCUGUGCUGUUAAUUAUUGCAAUUCUGACUGGUGUGAGGUGAUAUCUCAUUGUAAUUUUGAUUUGUAUUUCCCUGAUGAUGAGUGAUAUUGGGCAUCUUUUCAUGUGUCUGUUGGCCAUCUGGAUGUCUUCUUUGGAAAAAGGUCUAUUCAUGUCUUCUGUCCAUUUUUUAUUCUUUUUAUUUUAUUGAUUUAUUUGACAGAGAGAGACACAGCAAGAGAGGGACCACAAGCAGAGGGAGUGGGAGAGGAAGAAGCAGGCCUCUCACUGAGUAGGGAGCCCGAUGUGGGGCUUGAUCCCAGGACACUGGGAUCAUGACCUGAGCCAUAGGCAGAUGCUUAAUGACUGAGCCACCCAGGCGCCCCUUCUGUCCAUUUUUUACCUGGAUUAUUUGUUUUUUGGGUGCUCAGUUUUAUAAAUUCUUUUUGUUUAAGCUAAAUGCCCAGUGUGGAGCCCAACGUGGGGCUUGAACUCACAACCCUGAGAUCAAGACCUGAGCUGAGAUCAGGAGUUAGACACUUAAUCAAUUGAGCCACCCAGGCAUCUCAUAAAUUCUUUAUAUAUUUUGGAUACUAACCCUUUAUCAGAUAUGUCAUUUGCAAAUAUUUUCCCCCUCCCCAAAUAGGUUGCCUUUUAGUUUUGUGCUUGUUUUCUUUGUUGUGCAGAAGUUUUUUAUUUUGAUGAAGUCCCAAUAGUUUAUUUUUGCUUUUGUUCCCCAAAAACUUUGGAUUCUCUGUGUAAACAAUCAUGUUAUCUGUGAACAAAGACACUUUUAAGUCUUCUGUCCCUAUAUAUGACUUUUAUUUCCUUUUCUUGACUUAUUGCAUUAGCAACAUCCAGUGUGAUGUUGGAAAGGAAUGGUGAGAGGGACAUUCUUGCUUUGUAUUUGAUCUUAAUGGGAAAGCUUUGAGUUUCAUACUAUUAAGUAUGAUGUUAGUUAUAGGGUUUUUUUGUGGCUAGUCCUUAUCAAGUUGAGAAAGUUUCCCUCUAUUCCUAAUUUACUGAGCAUUUUUAUCAUGAAUAGGUGUUAGAUUUUGUCAAAUCCUUUUUCUGUAUCUACUGAUAUGAUCGUAUGUUUUAUUUUGUUGUUUUUUUUUUUUUUUGUCUGUUGAUGUGAUGGAUUACAUUAAUUGAAUUUUGAAUGUUGAGCCAGUCAUGCAUACCUGGGGUAAAUCCCACUUGGUUAUGGUGUGUACUUCUUUUUAUACUCUUUUCAGUUCAGUUUGCUAAUAUUCUGUUGAGGAUUUUUGCAUUUGUGUUCAUGAGAUGUAUUAGUCUGUAGUUUCUUUUUCUUCUUAUAUCUUUGUCUAGUUUUGAUAUUAGGGUAAUAAAAUGAGUUAGGAAAUAUUCCCUCUGCUUCUAUCCUCUGAAAAAGAUUGUAGAAUUGGUAUAAUUUCUUCCUUAAAUGUUUGGUAGAAGUCACUACUGAGUUCAUCUGGGCUUGGCACUUUUGGUUUUAGAAGAUAAUUAAUAAUUAAUUCAAUUUAUUUAAUAAAUACAGGCCUAUUCAGAUCAUCUGUUUCUUCUUGUGAGAGUUUUGGUAGAUUGUGUCUUUCAAGGAAAGGGUCCAUUUCGCCUAGGUUAUCAAAUUUGUGGGCAUAGUUGUUCAUAAUAUUCUCAUUAUGCUUGUAAUUUCCAUAAAAAUCUGUACUGAUGUCCCCCUUUUCCUUUCUAAUAUUAGUAAUUUGUGUCCCCUCUCUUUUUUUUUUAGUUACCUUGGCUAGAGGCUUAUCAAUUCUAUUGAUCUUUUGGAAGAACCAGUUUUUGGUUUUGUUGAUUUUCUGUGUUGAUUUUCUGUUUUCAAUUUCAUUUUCAAUUUCUGCUCUAAUGCUUAUUAUUUCUUUUUUUUUUCUGUUUACUUUGGAUUUAUUUUAUUUUAUUUUUCUCCUUACUCUGAAUUUAAUUUGUUCUUCUUUUUAUAGUUUUCUUAAGGUAGAAAUUUAAAUUAUUGAUUUUUGUUCUUCUUUUCUGAUCUAUGCAUUCAGUACUAUAAGUUUCCCUCUAAGCAUUGCCACAGAUUUUGAUAAGUUGUUUUUAUUUUCAUUUAGUUAAGAGUAUUUUUUAGUUUAUCUUGAGAAUUCUUCUUUCAUCCACGUAUUAUGUAGAAAUAUGCUGCUUAAUCUCCACAUACUUUGGGAUUUUCCAGUUAUUUUUUCUUUUAUUGAUUUCCAGUUUAAAUCUCUUAUGGUCUGAGAGCAGACAUUUUAUAUUUCUACUCUUUUACAGUUGUCAGGGUGUGUUUUAUGGCCCAGAAUGUGAUCUACCUUGGUGAAUGUUCCAUCUGUGCUUGAGAAAAAUAGAUACUCUGUUGCUGUUGGAUGAAGUAGCCUAUAGAUAUCAGUUAUAUCUGGUUGAUUGUGGGUGUUCAACUAUGUCCUUACUGACUUCCUGCCUGCUGGAUUUGCCCACUUCUGAGAAAAGACUCUUUGGAUUUUAGUGUAGGUGUAUGACAAUAUAUUGAGAAAUACUAGUGGUUUACAACAGGAUCCUUACUUUCAUUUUACCAUUUAAGUUGCAGCAAGUGUUCACCCCCUCCCUUAAUAUUUUCUCUUUUUUUAAUUUUAAAAAAUUUUCCCUCCCUUAAUGUUUUUAGAGAAAGCAAUCUACUCUCAUUUCUAGAUUUUUGCUUAGUGGGUAUCAUUUAUGUUUAAAAAUCAUAUUUGAUAAUAAUAUUUAAUUAAUGUCUUGGAAGCAAAGUAUAAUUAGGCUGUAUGCCUGAACCUUUUUGGUUUUGGCUUGACUUCACCUAAGCUAUUCCAGAUGAUUAAGCAUUUUUAUUAUCUUCAAACACUUACAUAGAAGGCAAGGCUUGAGUCUCCUGACAUGGAUUGAUUCUAGUUUAAAUAAAUCUGCCAUUCUACACAUUGGCCAGGCCUCCAUGAAUAUACCACUUGGUAUGGAGAGCUGUGUUUGGUAGUGCAUUUCUGACUUCUUUCCAGUUCUCAGGAAUACCUCCUCCUUGUAUUCCAAUGUCUCAUAGGUGUGAUGACUAUGUGGUUGGCCUGGUUUGCAGUGUAUACUUCCAUCCACUCAGCAGAUGUAAAAAGUAGAAUUCCCCUGAGACUCCACCAUAAAGUAUUCUAAGGACAUUUAGAAUAAGUGCUGAGCAUCUAAACCAUUCCUCUUUUUAAUUGUCUCUGCACCCGCUCCACUGAAAAAUUAUGAUUUAGUGGAUCUUCUGAUGUCUAAAGGUAUUGCAAGCUAGUGGUCAGGACAUUAGAAUAAUAAGAGAUAGCUAAAAGUGCUUGCUUGCCCCCUUGUAGUCAUACUGUUUGGAUGAGUGCGAAAAGAUGAGUGACAAGUUGAGAUCAACUAAUUACAUAAAAAUAGACACAAGACAUUGCUCCUCAACAGCACCUCUGAUGUACACCUGCCAAAAAUGUGUGUUACCUGGAACUAAGUGUGGGAAAACAGAUGGAUCCAAAUGGAGGCACAUUAUGCAAAAUAAAUGGCCAUGGGCUCUUGCAAAAUGCCAAUGUCUUUAAAGUCAAAGAGCCCGAGGAAACGUUCCAGAAUAAAGAAUCCCUGAUUGGAUCCUAAAUUCAAAAAUAAGAUUUCUCAGUUUUACAGGGCAUUACUGCAUCAGUGGAAAAAAUUUAAAUACGGAGUGCAUGUUAAGAGGAUCAAAUUAUUGUUAAAUUUUCUGUGUGUGGAGAAUUAUAUUGAAGUGAUGGGGGUUAAUAUCCUUCAUGGAAGGUACAUGGUGAAGUAUUUUAGGGAUUCAGAGUAAAAGAUUUGCCACUAACUCCCAAGUAAUUGAGAAUAAGAGAAUGUGUAUGUGUGUAUACCUAUGCAUACAUACCUAUGAAUGCACAUACACUCAUCUGUAUACAUAUAUAGGCAAAUGCAAACAUAAACGAGAGAAAGAAUGUAGUAAAUGUUAACAAUUAGUAAAUCUUGGUAUAUGGGUGUUUGUUAUAAUAUCCUUCCAAUUUUUCCAUAGGUUUGACAUUUUUCAAAAUAAAAUGUUGGGGGGAAAAAGACAAAUCCCAGUGUCUUUUCCCUGGCUUUGGUUUGGCUAUUAGUUAAGGUUCAGAUAAACUGAAGUGGAAAAUCCCCAAGCUACUAAAAGAAAUAAUCUGUUCUAAUCCUUUACAAUAUUUGGAUAUUUUGGCAAUUAUAAACAAGGGCAGUUGAAGGCUAACUAAACAAAUACGUCUUCAUAUAUGUUUGACCCUGUAAGGGAUGCCUGUUAAAUAUACAAACAAAUAAAAUAACACAGCCAGGCAUCCAGGCAUGGUGAUAAUCACAAGUUUUUGAUUUGGAAAUGUUUCCCAGUUUGAGAGUUAUUGCUUUCAGCUGUGAUAAUAACGGGCUUUUCCGCUAAGGGAAAAAUACAUAGUGUUUAAAAUAAAUAUCGUCAGUACAGUUUUGCAGUGUUGAGGAAACAUGAAUGACCUUUUUUCCUUUUCUUUAAACAUUAUAAUCACUUGAAGUUCUCAUGAAUGUUUGUUGGGGGAAACAGAAUUCUGAUGGACUAAAGGUGAAAAAAAAAGAUUGGUUACAAAAGGGCUUGCCCAUCAUUUUAAACAAAGCUCAACUGUUUCUAUUUGUCGCCUUCACCCAAGGAGAAGCCCAGAUUUUUGCCCAAGCAUGUUGGCUACGCUUUUUUAUGAAAUCUGGAUUUUUCCUGUUGAAUGCAAUUCAGAAUGGAAUUAUAAGCUCAGGGGACGUCAUUACUUACUUCCUAGGAAUUGACUCAAACCAGUGUUGUUCUGAGCAUUGCAGCUGUCUUUACAGUUACCCUGAGACCAGUUUUAAAAGAAUCCACACAUUGCUCCAAGGACCAGCAAAAGGUUUGAAGACAUCUUCUUGAUGUGAUUUCACACUCUCUUUUUUUUUCCUUAUGGAAAAGUAGUAACAAGUUGGGACCUCCCUCAAUCUGACAUGAUAAAUCUUUCAGCAAGAAGGUUAAAGAAUUAUUCAGUUAUCACACUAAAUUCUAUUUCUGUUUUUUUUUUCUUUUUUUCUCUAAUAGCCAAAAUACCAAGAACUAUAGCGAAUACCAUUUAUCGAGUAGCCAUGAUGUUUCUGACAUCAUGCUCGGUGAACUACCUACAGUCAUCAGAUACAAACACCACAAGAGCUCUGUCGCUUCUAUUAUCUUACUUUACAGAGAAGGAACAUUUUAUAGCUAAAUUAAUAGGUGGUGCUUGGUCUGAUAAUAAAGCCUUGCUUUUACCACUACAGUAUACUGCUUCCUGCCAAUGAAGGGCAUUUAUUUUUCUUUAUUCCAUCCUCCACUUCAGAAUGUGACAGAUAGCAUACAGAAGCACAGCCAAAUGGAUUGAAACAAAUCCUUUUCAGGUGGCAAUUUUAUUACUUUUCUCUACCAGCUGGACCAUUAGGUAUUUUAUGAGUGUGUUUAUUUUUCUAGAGUCUUAACAAGGACGGGCAUUUAUUUGUCAAUUAAAAUCCAUACCACCAACUAAAGGAAGUAUCAGACAUUCUGCAGGAAUCAUUCAUGUCAAGGUAAUUUGCCUUGAUUUAGACCAAUGAUCAUGGAAGAAUUCAGCCGAAUUCUCAAGGACCCUCCUUGGAAGGGAGAGAAAACAACAGGGGGAGUUUCUAAAGCAAGAAGGCUACUCAACUGAUGCCCAUUCACUGACUCAAAAAGACUUGGCAGGUGGGAAGUUGAGUGCAUAUUCAACAUCCAGUAGCUACUGCUUCUUGUUUGUUCAACAAACAUGAUCAUCAGAUCUGUGCCAGGCACUGGAGUCAUUCAGAGGCUACAGUUGCCUGCAAGUCUAAAUUCCUAAUCUCUAUUGAAUUGCUAUGCAAAGUAGGAUGUUAGGAAUAAACGAUAAUACCAAUACCAAUACUAAACCAGUCACUUAUUAGUAAUCAUGACUAUUAGCAUUAUCUUUAAAAUAUAGUAAUAAAUCAUUUUGGAUGCACCCAGGACAUUUUCCUCAUAGUGUUUUUUAAAUCUUUUUCUAAAAACAGUCACGAAUCAGGUGGAAGAUAACCAAUUAGAAACUUCCAUGUUGUAAACAUUAAACUUUGAUUAUAUUUACCUUGGAUGACUAAGUAAGUUGCUUCACUUUUCUCCAUGCUUAAAAUGGUGUUAUAUAGCCACAUUGUGCUUGAUUACAUGAUUCAUUUCUAUGGUGAACCCUUGGAAACAUGCAUAUAGGUUGUACACAUUGGGAAGCCAUUUAAUAAUUCAUUAAAACUUAAUAUGUUUUAAAUUGUAAGCCUGAUUUUGCAUUUAUACCUAGCUAAUUUUAUUUUGCUGAAAUGUGUUGAUCAACGAUUAUUUUUUCUAAUAUGACCCAUCAUUAUGAACAUUAAGCCACCAACUUUGGCAACAAUGUCAUCAGCUACAAUCUGUUUUCAUCUGUUUUCUUUCAAACUGGUUUAUUGGAAGGAGUAUAAUAUUAUAGAAUCACAAAAUGAUUAUAACAAGUUAAUAUGAGUUUUUUCACUUAAAUUGGUAGUUACCCCUGCUUCUCUGAAAAAAGAAUCUGGGAGGAAAAUGCCAAAAUUGUAAGACCUCCUAUGAUAGGUUCAGAGAAUGAGUUUGUUCUGGAACACAGUGGGUGUUUUUUAGAGUGCAAAUUAUUUGUUAAAUAAAGGCAACAAUUAAUCAAGUGAGAAAUUUGACUGAAAGUAAUACUUUUCAAAGGUAGUAUUUUUUCUUCUUCUACUGAAUUAUGUUCAUUGUGCAACUUCCCCUGUAGAAAAGAUACCUGUUUUUAAUUCUUGAGUAUUUUACUUUUAAAAUGCUCCUAUCUUAAAUUCAAAAUUACAUAUUUGCUUUUAUGAUAGAAUAUUUAUGACAGUUGUAAUUGAUAGCGGUUUGUGUAAUGCUCAUUCACACACAUCUUUGAAGCUCCAUAUUUUAUUUUAUUAUAGGGACUAUGUGAAUUUUCAUUUUCUGCUUAUAGACUUUAUCUUGGAUUUUCUUUUUUUUUUUUAAAGAUUUUAUUUAUUUGCGAGAGAGAGAAUGAGAGACAGAGAGCAUGAGAGGGAGGAGGGUCAGAGGGAGAAGCAGACUCCCUGCCGAGCAGGGAGCCCGAUGCGGGACUCGAUCCCGGGACUCCAGGAUCAUGACCUGAGCCGAAGGCAGUCGCUUAACCAACUGAGCCACCCAGGCGCCCUAUGCAAUAUUCUUUAUAGUCAUAUUUAUGUAACCAAUUGAUUAUGACAGAAUGCUUUAACUGAUAUUUUAUCUGUACCCAACCUAUGGUUGCAAUUGGUGAAUGAGUGUAGUACAGAAUAAUGGAGGAUAUUCCUGUUUAUGUUAACAAGUUAUACAAAAGUGAAACAAUAAGAUGUGUUGAAAAUUCACCAUUUGUCAGCGACAUUAAUGACUUCUUUGUUAAAUCAGAUAAUAACAUUUGAGUACUGGAAAAAUCUUUUCUUAAUUUUUUUGUACUACUCACAGUGUAAUGACCAUAGACAUGAUACACUUUUAAGUUUAAUCUGCAUUAUUAACAAUUUUUCCAUUAUGCUCCUUUGUCUGGACAAUACAAAAAAAUAACAAAUCAAGCUCUGAUUUCUAACAUGGAACAUUUCCUUGGUAUAAAUACUUUCCAAAUUGCCAAUGUCAAGCUAUUACCAGGGCAUUGCUGAACACAGAGCUAGGAAAACACAUGCAGUAGUCCACAUUACUCAGUGUUUCCACCAUACAGAUCAAAAGACACACGGAACAUGCAACUUAAUAAACUGCAGUAAAAAUAAGGAAGUGAUGAAUUUUGAGUAUUUAUUUUGUUAUUAAUAUGAUUUACUUAAUUUUAAGUUUAUGCAGUUUAGUUGUUAAUAAUGGCCAUAUUAACAAAUAGCUUGUAAAUUUUUUUAAAAUUUCACAGUGAGCUAUUGUCAGCUGGUUCAAACCAGAUUCAGUGCAGUGUUGCCCAGCGCCACUGACUGACUAGUCUGUGUGGAAAGUUUCUGGGUUUGCUAAUCCAUUCUGUGGUCCUAUUUACUUAUUUCUGCUCCAGUACAACCCUAUUAAUUAGUUCAGUUUUAAAACUCAACUUGAGGGGCGCCUGGGUAGCUCAGUCAGUUAAGCAGCCGACUCUUGAUUUCGGCUCAGGUCAUGAUCUCAGGGUCAUGGGAUCGAGCCCCAUGUUGGGCUCUGAGCUCAGUGCAGAGUCUGCUCAAGAUUCUUUCUCUCCCUCUCCCUCUGCCCCUCCCCCUGCUGUCACACUUCCUCUCUUUCUCUCUCUAAAAUAAAUAAAAAUAAAUUAAAUUCAGCUUGAUAUCUGGACGAGCAAUCCUUUCACAGUUCUUUUUUUUUUUUUUCUGGAAUCUUUUUGCUGUUCUCGUAAAGGGAUAUCUUGAGACUUCCAUCUUCACUGUACAUUUUAUCAUUAUUUUGUGAAUUUCACAAAAAAAUGUCUUGGAACUUUGGAUGAAAUCCCACUGAAUAAUGGGUCAGUUUGGUGAGAACAGAUAUCUGUAUGAUCCUGAGUUUUCUUACGCAUUAAUACUGUAUUGUUCUCCUUUUUAAGUCUCUUUCACAUUUUUAAUAUAAUCUUAAAAGGUUUAAAACUUCUUUUUUAGAUUUAUUCCUAAAUAUUUUAUAUUUUUGGUUGCAGGUGUAAAGACUUUUUUAUCUUCCUUUUUUUUCUCUUAAGUCACCUCCUUUGAGAUGUAAUUUACAUAGAGUGGAUGCACAAACUUUGUAUGUGUGGUUUGAAUAAAUUUUGACAAGUGUGUACACUCAUGUCACCACCUCCACAAUCAGGAUGUAAAACAGUCCUGUCAUCCCAGGAAGUCCUUAGGGCCCCAUUUCAGUCAAAUCCUCACUCCCUUCCAAAUCCCGGGAAGUCACUGAUUGACUUUUUGUCACUGCAGAUUAGUUUUGCCUGUUCUGGACGUUCAUAUAAAUGGAAUUAUACAGUAUGUACAUUUUUGCAUCUGGCUCUUUUUGCCAAGCAGAAUAUUCUUCUCCAGACACUUUAUUUAUAAACUUGCUGGUAUGUGGCAGUGAAAUUUGUGUUUUGUGAAAAUUGAUGUUAUGUACAGUUAUUUUGUUAAACCUUUUUAGUAAACCCAAUAAUUUAUCUGGGACUAUUUUAGUUUUUUAAUGUGAAUAAUAACAGAAUCUGGAGAUAAUGACAUUUUGAUUUUUUUCCUUUCCAACCCUUAUACCCUUUAUUUAUUUUUCUUGUCUUAUUAUGCUAGCCAGACCAUUCAGAGCUAAAUUGAAGUUGUAACAGUAGGCAUCAUCAUGUUUCUCUUAUUUCCCACAAGAAUGCUUCUCUAUAUUGCACCAUUAAAUUUAAUAAUUGCUGUAGGUGUUAUAUAAACAGAUUUUAUUAGGCUAAGGAAAUUUCUUUCCAUUUCCAGUUUGCUAACAUUUUUAAAAGUCAUUAAUGUGUAUUGGAUUUUAUUAACUACUUUUUACUAUAGCUAUUGAUAAUUUUUUUUCUUUUAAUGUCCCAUUUACAUAUAUAUUCAUGAGUGAGAUUGGCUUCAAAGACCAAGAUUUGGCAAACUUUUUCGUAAAGAGUCAGUUGAUAAAUAUUUUUAGCUUGCAGGCCAUACAGUCCAUCACAACUUCUCAGCUUUUCUAUUAUAGUAUAAAAGCAACCAUAGAUAAUAUGUAAGCAAAUAUUUAUGUCUGUGUUUCAAUAAAGCUUUAUAUGAAAAUAAAGGCAGCCAGGAGUGCCUGGGUGGCUCAGUUGGUUAAGUGUCUGACUCUUGAUUUCAGCUCAGGUCAUGAUCUCAGGGUCAUGAGAUCGAGCCCUGGGUUGGGCUCUGCACUGGGUGUGGAGCCUGCUUAAGACUCUCUCUCUUCUCUCCCUCUGCCCCUUCCCCUCACUUGCCCACACUAUCUCUUUCUCUCAAAAAAUUUUUUAAAAAAGGAAAAAAGACAGCCCGUAGAUUAUAUUUUGCUGGCUCCUUUCAGUAAAACAGAUUUAAAUACCUUUAUGACACUAGAAUGAUUUAUAUUUUCUAUGUCUUCUUGAAUCAGUUUUGUUAAGUUACAUUUUCUAAUAUUCUCUCCAUUUCAUCUAAGUUUUAAAAUUGAUUUUACAGCUGUGUUAUUUGUAGUUCUCCUUUAUUUUAUUUCAUCCUACUUUCUUGCAAGAUGUUUUAAUUUGAGACUUUUCUCUUUUCUUGAUCGAUCUUAGAAUUUUUUUUACCAAACUUUAAGCACAGCCAAGGAAGUGGUGACAUCAUGUUUGUCAUCCAUUUAACUCACAAAUAAUUUGACUUAUCUACAGAUGGUAGAUCACUCCUCCAUAUGGUUCAUCCAUCUCUGUUCAAUGUUGCAUCCUUUCUUAAACUACAUGCUCAAAUAAAGUGGUCAUCUUUCAUAUGUAGAAGAAGACACUUCAUUCGGUGGUGUAGGAUAUUGGUUCCUUUUUAAUGGAUACUGAAAGGAAGCACUCUUUAAACACUUAGUGUUUGCCAAGCACUCUACUGCAUGUUUCACGUAUAUCAUCUCACUUAGUCUUCCUUUUUAAGUUUUUAUUUAAAUUGCAGUUCGUUAACAUACAGUGUAAUAUUAGUUUCAGGUAUACACCUUAGUGAUUCAGCACUUCAUACAACACUUGGUGCUCAUCAAAACAAGUGCCCUCCUUAAUCCCCGUCACUGAUUUCACCAUCCCCCACCCACCAGUUUGUUUUCUGUAGUUAAGAGCCCGUGUCUUGGUUUUCCUCUCACUUUUUCCCCCUCAUGAUGGUUUGUUUUGUUUCCUAAAUUCCGUAUAUGUCAUCUCACUCAGUCUUCCAGUUGUUUUACUAAGUUUUAUCAUUACUUCUGUCUUUUCAGAAAAAGAAAGUGGGGCUUGGAGAAAUUAAUAGCCAGAAAAGUAAUGGUGGGCCAGGAUUCUAAACUCAGGCCGUGUGAUUCCAGAGUUUUGCCCUUAACCUCAGGAAAAGUUGUCUGCUACUUUUCCUCUAAUUCUGUGCUCAAAACACUAAACUUUUAAUGCAUAACUUAGUGUCCAAAGAGGAUAUGGCCAUUAUGAAGAAAGCCUAGACCAAUUAUGUCCUACAAUUUAAGUUUAAAGUGGGAUUCUAGUUUGUAAUUAAUUCUCUUGUGAGAUUGAUUCUUGCCUAAAACACUAGGAUUGUAUUUUUGAUUGUUACUAAGCGAAGGCCAGAUCAUGAACAAUGGUUCCAUUUCUGUGUAAUAUUUCUUUUUUUUCUGUAUAAUAUUUUCUAAUUUUCAAAGGCUUUUUACAAAAAUCUCAUGUUAUCCUCACAAUAUGUCUUUGAAAAGUGAUAAUUAUUUUUUUCUGUUUCAGAAUUAAGUACAUUGAGGCUGAGAGAUUGAAGUAAUUAGGUCAAAACUGAAAAUUUCCGAGCGUGAAGCUCAGAUGUAAAUGAAGCUCUUCUCUUUUGCCGUAUAGGACUCUUCUCCAGUACAACAUAAAUCAGACAUUUCGUGAAUCCUUGCCUGAAACUGCCAGAUGAUCUGACUCUUACAUCAUCUGAUUUUGCUCAGGGUUGUAGAAUUAAGAAUUGGAUGAUGAGUAACUUACUAGUGUGUCAGAGGACUGCAGUAUUUAAUGCAUGUAUGUACCUAAUUUGCUAAAUGAGCAAAGUAACCUCCAGAGAGUUAAUGCAUGACAGAAAUGUGUUGAAAUGAGAACUAGAAUAUAUAUAAUUAAAGAACCCAUUUCUCCACUGGACAAAACAAGUCAAGAAGGUGGACAGAAUUUUUUCUAUGUACUUCUUCCUAGAGUAUUCCCACAUCAGCUAGGCCUGCAGAUACUUGUCAGUUUUUGAAAGCUUGAUUUUCAGUUUUUUAAUUUAUUGGUCUGGAUAAUUUAGUGUUCCCUGUGUUGUUUUUUUUUUAACACCAGCAAAGAACCUGUGUAUGGUUGGCUGACUUCUCAGGGUCUUUUGACAAUGCUGUUCCCCCAAGGCCCAUCAAACUGAUGUCGACUUGUUUUAAUGACCAAUGUUCCAAAUAAUGACAUGUAAAAUAUCUGUUGUGAACCUCUUUCCUUGACUAUGAUUUCUUUAUAAGGGAGAAAGGAAAAAAAACAAAAACAAAACUCCAGGGUGAUUCCAAACCAGCCCUAAAUUUAAUAGAAGUGGACAUACAACCUUCAUUGGGAGGAAAUACAGUUGCAUAGUCUAUUGGUAAUGAUGUGUAUCUUUUCUUUACGGCAGAGUUCGUGUUCUGAUUGUGCACUGUUACGCUGUAUGUGCAGACAUUGUUAUGUGUAGUACAUAGACAUAAAUAUUAAUAGUAAAUCCUAAUGAUAAUUUUAGGCAUAACUAACAUUUUAGUUCUUGACUCUGCUCCAGGCACUGUCAUAAGUAAUUUAAUUUGAUCCUCACAACAAACCUAAAAGGUUGGCACUAAUUAUCACCAUUUUACAAAUGACUAAAAUGACACCCAAAGAAAUGAAGCAGGUCAGCCAAUUCACACUAGUAGUUAAAGUGCUGGGUCCAGAUUCCACAUUCUGAACUAUAUGCUGUAAGCCAUUUGACAUAUGGUUGAAGAAAAAAGGUAUUGGGAUUUGCAUGAGAAACAAGUACCUACCUCACAAAAACAAAUGCAGAGCAUUAGACCACUAGCCCGUCCUGUUAUCAAGGUAAUAAGUUCAGUGGCCAGGAAGAUAGAUGCAUGUUUGAAUUCUCUUGAAUCACAGGAUGUAGAAAUAGAAUAAAUUUUAAAGUCAUUUUUUUCUGUUUGGCAUAGUCUCCACUUUAUGAGAACAGAAACGUUUGGAAGAAAUUUCCCUCAGAUUUUCAUGUAUUUUUCUCUCGAAUAGACAUUGUGAGUCUUAUAACUGAUCAUGUUUGCCUAUUUUCUUUGACUACUAAGAAGUUUGGAACCAAAUGUGCAGCCUACCUAUAAUAAUUGUGUAGGAUUUUAGGAUGCCCUGAUACUAAACCUGUCCUUACUUUUUAUUAUUUCUCUACCCCAUUUUUCAUGGGCCCUGGUUUCUUGAGCUGUUUACUCUUUAUUCUGUUGUAUGGUAAAAAAUCCUUCAGGGCACCUCAAAAUCAUACUAAGGUGUGGACAUCAAAAAUAAAAUAGGUAAGAUAAAAAUUCAAAAUAGGUAAUUUUAUUUAAAGUCACAGAAUUGUCAUAAAUAUGGACCAGGGAGAUUUUCUGUUAAAUUAAAAAAGACACUUAGUUUAGUUUGGUUUGGUUUGAAGAAUAGAGCAUAUAUAUAUAUAAGUACAUUAUUACAUGAAACUCUGUUUCACGUAUCCUACUGUAAAAAAAUAAGGUUUUUCUUUUGCUUUGUUUUGUUUUUGUUUUGUUUUUUGGAGUUUUUGUUUGUUUGUUUUUGGUGGGCAGCAAAGCAAGGUUUAUUGAGUGAUAGCAAAGUGAUAGUACAAAGCUCCCGAGGAGGGAGGGGACCCAAGAGGGUUGCCCAAUAAGUUUUAUCCUAUUUUGGUGAAACUAUUUCUAAAGCAUAUUUUUCCAUUUCACAGUUAGUUGUGUGACACAUAGGGACAGUUUUCUGGUGCUUAAUAACAAAUGUUAAAGGUGAAUGUCUCCAUAAUACUGUGUAGCUUAUAAAAUAGUGUUAUUUCGGAUGACCUCAUAACACACCUAAUCCCCACCACUUUUCUGUGACGCCACCAUUGAUCAUUCUGACAAACGAGAGAUGGAACCUCCAUGCCAAUUAUUCAGAUGAGUUGAAGAGGUCACAUUUGAAACCAGGGUGUUAAGCUCUCUUGGUCGUGAUGUCUGGGAGCAUCUCAUUAUCAGUGUGGCCAAGAGAGAACAAUGUUUCUAAGCAGCACCAGCCCCAGAGAUACAACUGCAGAUACAUAACCUGUCUGUCUACUGAUGCAAGAUGAGUCCAUUCUUGUUUACAAGAGGGAAAGUGACUGAAAAAGGAAAAAAAAAAUUACUCUAUCAUAUCCCAAGGAAGGGAGAAGAGGAAGGAUCCUGGGACAGUGGGAGAGGGGUGGAGCUGGGGGAGGAAAAAGAAAAUAUUGCUUCUGGAUGAAAAAAUUAAUGAGCACAGGACACAGACCACCAAGAUAAGAUAAGUCAGUGCAGAGAGUCAGCUUCCUGACAGCCCCUAGUGAGUCGUGUGUGGCGUGUCGCAGAUCCCGUGAUUACCUUUCAUUCCGAGAGCGGUGCUGCUAGAAAGUUGAGAUGAUGAGUUUUCAUGAUGGAUGGAAUUCCUGAGUGUGCUUGGAGGGUAGAGGCAGAUAAAGGAGGCUGUGCUGGGGCUCUAAUCUCCUCGCAGAAACUGGCAGCUGCCUUUUCCUGGCUGGCUCCUCGACUUCGUGGGUCCUGUGCGGAGCGCCAGGCGCCAGAAACAACAAUCAUGUCAAGUCGCACUUCAGGACUGAACAAAGUUAUCUCUGUCCAGCACGUUUCCAAAGGCAGUGAAAAAAAAGGUCUGAACAGAUGGACGAAUUUACUUGUGCCAUUUCCCUCUGGUGAAUCUUACGAGCUCUUUUGCUCACGGUGUGUUUGUUUUCCAUACUUUGAACAUUUUUUUCCCCCAGAUAUAAAAUUUGAUAUUUGAAAGUUGGUUCUGGCAAAGUUAACCAAAUAAUUCUUAAGUUAAUUCCACAGAUGUGUUUAUUGAUUCAUGUCUAAAAUUCUUUCUUUCCACAUGUCAGUAAUUAGCUAUUCUUUCAGAAUUUAAGGGUCACUCUAUUUGUUAGCCAAACAAAUAAACAAACAAGAUACACAAGAGAAAGAGAAGCUUCAUUAAUACCAAAUGAGUAUUAGUGAUUUGUAAUUUGUAUUAAUUAACGUAUACUAAGUAACAAUACCAGUGAAACUAUUUUAGUGAUUAAAAUGAAGCUUUCAAUAUUUAUUCUUAUUUAUCACUUUUAUUUAUAUUUUCUUUGAUUCUUCAUUGCCCUCUUUGUUAGGUAAAAGAAGCCCCAGUGUGUCAGAUGCAGGAUUCCCAUAUUUAUUAAUUUGCAGAGGCAUAUGUGUGGCCAAGUUAGGGAGCUCUCUUCUAAAGGUGGCAUGGUUGAAGGUCGGAAUUAUGGCAAAUGGUUGUAUAUUUUAAGAUCACAAUCUAUAGAAACCCUACUUAGUCUAAACUAUAAUCCUUGCAUGUUUGGAACCACAACUUAAUGUCAAAAAGGGUUCCCUUCCAUGUGCAGUUUCCUCUUUCAACUGCCUACAGUCAAAUACAGAAAAUGAAAUGCCAUCCAGAGUAAUAACGUUGCCCUUGGACUCUAAUCCAGAAACAGCGAAGGAGCUGUGCACCUUUAGGACUUCCCUCUCUUCGGGGAUUAAGUGAUGUCAGCUUGGCUGUCUAUUUAGGAUUAUAAUAGAGUUUAGUACAGAACUAUUACACUUAAGAGGUAAAGCUUAUCCACAUUAUAGAAAUGAUCAUGUUCUGACAAGCAUGAUGGUGAGUGCUGCGUUGGUUCUCACUGACUGGGAAUAGUAGAACUUAAUUUAACAUGAAUACAAUCACAGGAAGAUGAAAUUAGUGCACCAUCACUUUUUUCUAAAAUGACUGAUGGAGUCUGAACAAAACUCAUGGAUUUAACACAAUAUGUAAUGAGUGUUUUCCAUGUGAAAGGCACUGUCCUGGGAAAAGCUUAUGCUAUGAAGAUGACUCGGCCAUCACUGUCAUAACACAACAUAUUCUAGCACAAGCUAGAAUUUGGGGUUCCACAAAAGUAUAAGGUAACUGGGGCGACUGGGUGGCUCAGUCGGUUGAGCGUCUGCCUUCGGCUCAGGUCAUGAUCCCAGGGUCCUGAGAUCGAGCCCCGCAUCGGGCUCCCUGCUCGGUAGGGAGCCUGCUUCUCCCUCUCCCUCUGCCUGCCACUCUGCCUACUUGUGCUCUCUCUCUAUCUCUCUGUGCUCUCUAUCUCUCUGUCUCAUUUAUUUAUAAAUAAAUAAAAUAUUUUAAAAAAAAGUAUAAGGUAACUAAAAUGUUUGUUGGGGAGGGUGGGUGCAGCAGAGACAGUGUGCCUCGCCAAAAGUAGACGGUGACCAAAUUAAGAAAAAAAGCUUUGUGAUAAAUUGCAGGGUAGUGUUUUUCAGGCAUAGUAUUUUUUAUUGUAUAAUUAUUUUCUUUUCCAUAAAGUAACUGUUAAUGUCCUUGCUACAGCCCAGUCUCUGGUCUUGCUGCCCCAAAGGUGGCUGAGUCCACCCCUUUGGGCCACCGUCUGCUACCCGGUCCUCGUUCCCUCCAACGUGGUGCUGCCUCUGGGCCAGGCUGAGUGAGCUGUGCUAGUCGGCUUCCCCAGCCUGGCUGUGGCAUUUCACAUGUCCUCAUGGUUGUGGCCCAAAUGCUUCUGAUGCUACACAGUGUCUCUUCCCCCUGACCUCCGUGGGACACGCACUCCCUCCUGAUUCUGUGGCCUCUUCCCACGUGCCGCUAGCUUUCUGAGCCACCAAUCACACCCAUGACUUCAGUCUCUGCUCUAGAUGCUACCAGCAGCUUAGACUUAGGGCAAGGCAUUUAAUUUCUUGAUUUGUGUCCUCUUCUGAAAAAAAUGGAUUACUAUAAGGGAUAAGAUUUCAUAGGACUGGUUGUUGUAAAUAUCAGGUGAGUAACAAGUGAGGAAGAUGCUGAAAGAGGACCUGUCCCAGAGCAGACCCCAGAGAUAUCCAUGAACCUUCUCCUCCCUCCCUCCCUCUCUCCAUUCUUUCUUUCCUCCUUUUCUUUAUCUAUUUCUUGCCUGCUUUCCUUCUUCUACUCUACUUCUUUUCAUUCUCUCUUCUUUCCUUUCCUUUUCUUUAUUUUGUUUAGUUUUUGGAGAUCUUAAACCCACAAAAGAAGGAUCUGUGAUGUGUUUGGAGUUCAGAAAAGAAGGAGAUUUCGGACAAUGGAAGCAUGAGAGAGAUUCAGGGAGAGCAUUUGAUAUAGGUCUUAAAGUUUGAAUAGAUUUUAUACAUGUGGAAAAGAGAGGAAGAACAUGAUGGAGACUGGUGGAUGGGAAGUUAGAACCAUCACGGAGGCCUUGCAUUCUAUGUGGAAGUGUUUGUAAUCUAUCAGGCAGGAUGGAGCCUUGAAGGGGUGUGUGUGAGUGUGUGUGUGUGUGUGUGUGUGUGUUUUAAUCAUGUCAUAGGUAUGGCAGAGGGGUUGAUACUGAAAAUGGCUUUUGUGAUUAAUUGAAUAGGUAGAGAAGAGAACAGGGAGACCAUUCAGGGGACUUGAAUCAGGUAGUGACAAACAAAAAAUAGGAAGGGUUGUUGAGAAAUAAAUUACAAUCUCAGUAGGACUCACUCAGCUAAUGGUGUGUAGGGCACAAAGCAUGUGGUGGAAGCAAAGGUGUUUGAGUUUUAAGCUUAGUGAUGGGAAGGAUAGAAGUAACAAUACUGUGGAGAGGAAAUCUAUGGAAAGAAGGAUUUUUGCAAAGGAAGUUUGAGGUGUCAGCUGGAAAUUUGGGAAGUCGUGUUUCUAAAGUAAUGGCAAAUAUAAGCCUUGAAGUUCUCAGCUACUUCAGCACCAUUUAUGUGGAGUUUGGAAUAGAGAUUAAAUGACCAGGAAACACCCAAGGGUAAUAAAUGUCAGAGGAGAACAGGGCUUGAGAUGCAGUGAUGUGAGGGGUAGUGAGACUGACUUUCAGAAUGAUAACCACUGAUCCAGAGAAAUCAGAAUAGAAACCUGAACUCCUCAAAACGAUGGGAUAGAAUUUGGUUUCAUGGUUUUCAAUUAAGGUUUGUUUCUUACUAGUUGUUUUCAGUGUAGGAUUUGGUGUUUUUUAUGUUUUACAAAAAUCAUUUGUACCAACUUCUGCUUCUUUUAAUGAAUAUUCAGUAUACUAAAGUUGCAAAUUCCAAAACCUAAUUUUUCUUAAGCUCUUACAUUCAGACUCUCAUCAUUCUAUUUAUAAAUCUGGUACAGUUUAGCAAUCACUUUCAAGGGGACUUUCGCAACUACGUUAAUUAGAUUUCAUUAAAUAUUUAAAUAGCAUUCACAAAUUUAAUAUAUUCAUUUCUCGUUUUUAAGCCUUUCAAUGGUCUAGCAAACUAAAUGGCCCCAAAUUCUGGAGAAAUCUACUUAAAUAUAGGAAAUUGAAUUUAUAAGGAUGUGACCCUUCAGUUGGCAUGAACAUUACAAUAUUGUUUUUUUUUAAAAAAAAAAGAUUUUAUUUAUUUAUUUGCGAGAGAGAGAAUGAGAGACAGAGAGCAUGAGAGGGAGGAAGGUCAGAGGGAGAAGCAGACUCCCUGCCGAGCAGGGAGCCCGAUGCGGGACUAGAUCCCGGGACUCCAGGAUCAUGACCUGAGCCGAAGGCAGUCGCUUAACCAACUGAGCCACCCAGGCGCCCUACAAUAUUAUUUUAUAAACUCAUAAAUUUUUCUUGCUUAUAAUUAAAACAACAAAUCUGAAUAAAUUACCCAAUCUUAAAUUUGAUAAAUACAUAAAACGGAAAAUAUACACAAAUGAUUUUUAAACACAAAUAUGUUAGGGCACUGGGCUUGUUUUUGGUUCAUCACCUUUGUCCCUCACUCUAAACGUGGCUGGUUUUUUAUUUAUUUAUUUAUUUAUUUAUUUUUUAAUUUUUAUUUUUUUAAGAUUUUAUUUAUUUAUUUGACAGAGACAGAGACAGCGAGAACAGGAACACAAGCAGGGGGAGUGGGAGAGGGAGAAACAGGCUUCCCGCGGAGCAGGGAGCCCGAUGCGGGGCUUGAUCCCAGGACCUGGAAUCAUGACCUGAGCCGAAGGCAGACGCUUAACGACUGAGCCACCCAGGCGCCCAGUUUUUUAAAAAAUUAUACACCAAGGAAACAAUUCUGCCACCCAAGGUCUGGUCUCCUUAGCAACAGUUCCCUUUGCCUUCCUCCAACUUAAAAACCGGAAAGUGAAGUAUUCAAAUUCUCAGCCUCUCUUGCAGCCAUAGAGGGCCACUUGACAUACUUCUGUCCAAUGGGAUAUAUAGAUAGUUCUGUCUAUUUUAUUUUCUGGAUAAAAAAGCAGUAGAUAUUUGCUCAUUGCCACAGUAAAUGAGACCUACUAGUUAUCAUAUCCGAAAUGUAUGUGAUCCUCACCAUGUUUCAAAAACCAUUUCAUGUGCUUUCUUUGAGCUAAUUGUAAUGCCUAUAACAACUCUAUGAGGGAGAUACAAUUAUCAUUACACUUCAUAGAUGAGGAGACAAUAACACAGGGAGGUUACUAAGUUGCCCAGAGUCACACAGCCAGUAAGUGGGCAAAGUUAAGAUUUGAGACCCAGCACCCUAAAUCCAGAGUCACAUUCACCUCUCCACUGUAGUCACCACUUCUGACAGGUGCCUGAAGCUCGUUGCUGUAUCUGUUCUGCAACGUUGACGGCAUGCUCUUACAUCUAACAGUUAGUUUCCGUGUCUUCCCCAUUAGACUAAGUGGCCCUUAGCCAUGUGCCUCUUUUACACACAAAUCACAGCCCCAGAACUUGUCUCCCACAGAUGUUCAACAAAUACUUCAAUGAAUGCAUGCCUUAAGAUCUGCAAAAUUACAGAUGUCACAGAGAUAAGCUUAUUUUGAAAACCUCAAUAUGUCAAACCCUUGAAGUAGAGAGGCAGAAAAGUGACUUUUGGACUCUGUAAGGAGGGUGUCACUUUGUGUAGUGACCACUUUGCCUACUGCCACCAUAGAAAGGGAGCUGGGAAGCCCCUCACCAGAUCCCGUAAGGAAGGAGAUCCAACAUUGGGCCAUUGUGUGUUUUUCCAUGAAUGACAGUGUCAUUAUCUUACACUUUGAUAAGUGUCUGGCUAUAGAGCAAGAAAAUAACAAUGCCCUUUUCAGGUCUGUGAUUUCCCUUGAGAAAAGCUGAGGUGUGAUUGGAUCCCUGGGCCCCUAUGUAGAGCUGAUAUCUGCCCUCCCAUGUACGAAAGUAGCACCAGAGUCUCCAGGACCCAGGAUGUGGUCCAUAGAAAAUGGGUGUCAUUGACAGAUUAAGAGAUCAUGUCAAGCUUCAUGAUAUAGUGUAUUUAUUUGGUUUGGAUGAAAUGAUGUAUUAGAGUUUUACAGAGAAACAGAACCAAUGGGAGAUAUAUAUGUAUAUAUAUGUAUAUGUGUAUCUGAUAUACUAUGAGGUAUUGGUUCACACACUUAUGGACACUGAGAAGUCGUAUGAUCUGCUGUCUAUCAGCUGGAGACCAGGAAAGUUGGUGGUGCCAUUCAGCCCAAGUACAAAGAUAUGAGAACCAGAAGCACCAGGAGAAGGAGAUGAUGCAUGUCUCUGCUCAAAAAACUUAGGCAGGGAGGGCUGAAUUCUGCCUUCUUGUGCCUUUUUGUUCUGUUUGAGUCCUCAGUAGAUGGAUGAUAUCCACCCACAAUGAGGAGGGUGAACUGCUUCACUGAGUCCACCAAGGCAAAUACUAAUUUCAUCCAGAAACACACUCAAAAACACAGCCAGAAAUAAUGUUCAGGUAAAUAUCUGGGCCUCCCAUGAUCCAGUCAAGUUGACACAUAAAAUUAACAAUGACAAAUAAAUAUGUAACACUUGGGAAAAAAUGUGUGAAUGUUAUGUCAGACAAGUAUGGCUCAUGGCCCAUGUUCAUUCAGCAAAGCUAUUUUGUCAUUACUCAGUAGGAGCCCACCCUGCCUCCCUGGGCGAGCACUCACAUGGACCCAGACUCUCCAAUUGCUCUUAAAGGAGGUGUAAAGACAACCUUAUUUCAGUCAUUCCAUUGUCCAGACCCUUAUAGUCAUGGAGCCUCCAACUCAGUGGAAGGUGGCUUCCUCCCUCCCUCAAUGGGAGGGCCGCAGGUAGAAAGCCCACAGCCUGCAGUUGGAGGAGGCAGAGUUUGAUCGUUUCUCCUGCUACCAACCUCCCCCUUGUAACCAGGGAUUCUGAGACCUCCAGGGGGCAGGGGGGCGGGGGCAAGAGGGAAAGGGGGUUCUUGCUCAUGGUGGCUGUGGUUAAGCCCAGGGGCCCCAGGACCCAGACAGGUCCACCCCCGCUGGGGUGGAAGGGGAGCCUGAUCACCUCCCAAAGACCUCUUAGAGGUCUCACAGAUAGGGAUUCCCAGGGAGGGAAUUUAAUAACUUCUGGAGUGUGAAUGUGUGAGUGAAUGUGCCAUCCAACCUGGCUUGCUCAAGCGUACUGAUUCUGUGACUCCACGGGCGGGCAUCCUUAAAGUCCCCAGAAGCCUACGGAGUCUGAGUGGACCCGUCUGCGAUUCCGUGGUGAAUGGCAUAUAGUCUAUGGCGGCGUCGGAAUAGUUUCCGAUCGUAACUCACAACGCUGAGACCACUAGGGCUAAGCCUCACCUAAGCUCCUUCAGGACAUGGCCAGACAGGCAUCUGAUUGGUCUCCUCAUCUCAGGAGGCACCCCCCCUUUGUCUGUCUCCGCGCCACCACACACAGGGACGUCACCAUGGGGUCAGGGCAGAGUAAACCUACAGUUCUAGAGAUCAUGAGCAAAAACUUAAAGAAGAGGUUUUCGGGAGACUAUGGAGUCAGAAUGAACCCCGGCAAGUUGAGAACCAUAACCCAGAAGCCUAUGGAGUCUACCCACAAGCCAUGGUAGACCUCAUAGAAUCCAUCUUCCAGACUCAUCGGGCAACCUGGGAAGACUGCCAGCAGUUACUCUGUACCCUGUUUAACACAGAGGAAAGGAGGAGAAUAAUGAAAGUUGCACGGCAGUACCUGGAAGAGCACGCACCAGCGGGAGUCAUCAACUCUGCUGCCUGGGCUAAUACAGCUGCACCCAAAGAGCGCCUAGCAUGGGACUUCACCACAACCAAGGAACAGACCCACAUCCGCCGGUACCAGGAGGCCCUCCUCUGGGGAAUCCGGGCGGGAGAUUAGAAACCCAUGAACAUGACUAAGGUAUCCUCGGUCACUUAACAACCAGGGGAGUCCCCUGGGGACUACUACAAAAGACUAUGUGAAGCCUACAGCAUAUACACACCAUUUGACCCCGAGGCACAGGAAAGCCAACAGAUGGUAAACACCUCCUUUGUGGCUCAGGCCUCCCCAGACAUCAGAAAAAAACUUCAGAAACUAGAGGGUUUUGCCGGAAUGAACAUCACCCAACUAAUAGAGAUUGCCAAUAAGGUCUACAUGAACAGGGAGGUCACAGCCAAAUGGGAAGCUGACAAAAAGAUGAAAAAGAAAUUCAGCCUCCAUGCUGCCACCCUGAAAGAAAAAGACAACACAAAGAUGGGAAGACCCCAACCACCGUAAGGGGGAAAGCCCAGAAAUCCCUUGGCAAGGGAUCAAUGUGCCUACUGUAAAGAGAAAGGGCAUUGGAAAAACGAAUGUUGCAACCAGGGAAAGGCUCAAAAGCCCAGCUGCUACAAGGAAGAACCCCAAGUGGAGGACCUCAUAGGCCUUGUGGGAAUGGACUCAGACUGAGGGGGACCGGGCUCUUUCCUCCUUGGCCCCCAUGGGCCCAUGGUCAAAAUGAAGGUGGGGGGCCAACCAGUGAUUUUAUGGUUGAUACUGGGGUUGAGCACUCUUGUCACCUCCCCAGUGGUCCCUUUCAGCAAAAGGACUACGACCGUCCUUAGGGCCACCAGGACGCGGGCAAUACAACAGCCCUUUUACCAGUCUUGCCAGUGCGAACUCAGGGGCCACAAGGUCUGACACAAAUUCCUUUAUCUGCCCAAUUGCCCCAUUCCUCUCCUGGGCCGAGACAUACUCUCCAAGCUUAGGGCUCAGAUAACCUUUGAGCCCACUGGACACAUUAGCCUCCAAUUGAACCCAAGGCAAGAGGAAACAGGGUCUCUAAUACUAGCAAUUACCACACCAAGGGAAGAAGAAUGCAGGCUAUUCUGUGCCCAGACCCAACCAAGCAGCACACUGGAAUUCAGACUCGCCUUCCCUUCAGUAUGGGCUGAAAACAACCCACCUGGACUAGCCCAGGAUCGGGCCCCUAUCAUUGUUGAACUGAUCCCAGGAGCCCAACCUCAGAGGCAAAGGCAAUACCCCCUUCCACAAGAAGCUAAAAUCGGCAUCCAAGAACAUAUGACCAAACUCAAAGAAGCAGGUAUUCUAGUCAAGUGCCAGUUGGCCUGGAAUACCCCAUUCCUGCCAGUCAGGAAGCCAGGAGGGGGAUACCAACUAGUUCAAGACCUGUGGGCCAUCAACAAAGUGACCAUCUCUGCACCCAGUGGUCCUGAAUCCAUAUACCCUUCUAGGCCAAAUCCCAGGGUUGGCCAGAUGGUUCACUUGCCUAGAUUUGAAAGAUGCUUUCUUCUGCCUCUACUUAGCUCCCCAGGGCCAGCCACUAUUUGCCUUUGAAUGGUCUGAACCUGAUACAUGGCACCAAAUGCAACUGAUUUGGAUGCGCCUCCUGCAGGGUUUUAAAAACUCAUCAACCCUCUUUGAGGAAGCACUGGCCAUGGACCUCGCCAGCUUCCCAGGAGAGGCCACACGAUGCACCAUCCUCCAGUAUGUGGGUGACCUCCUCCUUGCCAGUGACACACAAGAAGACUGCACAAAAGGCACAAAGGCCCUCCUACAGCUCCUGUCAGACUCAGGAUACCGAGCCUCAUGAAAGAAGGCACAAAUCUGCCAACAACAGGUCUGAUACGUUGGUUUCCUCCUCACCCAAGAGAAAAGAGAACUAGGGCCGGAGAGGAAAAGGGUCAUCAUCUCUCUGCCAGAGCCCCAGACAAAAAGGGGCCUACGAGAAUUCCUGGGGGCUGCAGGAUUCUGCCGCAUCUGGAUCCCUGGGUUCUCGGCAAUAGCAAGACCCCUUUAUGAUCUCUUAGGGGGACCAGAUCAAGAACCCCCUACCUGGACUAAGGAAGCAGAAGCUGCUUUCACAGAGAUAAAGACCGCCCUGGGGCCGGCUCCAGCCCUGGCCUACCAGAUGUAGAAAAACCCUUCAAUCUCUA